rnacentral:lncRNA from 1 species
AAUGCAUGAGUGCGAUACAAUACUCUUCAUCUCUACCCGUUAAUUCAUAUAAUAAAACACGCGGACCUGCACAUCGCAUACCAUGCAUUUUACCUCUACAGUAGUGGUUCGAAUGUUCUAAUAUACAAAUUAACCCCCUGUAACUCAAUCAUCCCAAUUUCCCUUUUUGUUAGUCAUAUUGCCAAAACCUUCGUCGCCAGUCCCGAAUUACCCUUAAAGAAUUUGUGUAUUGUGGGCUCGCCUGAGACCUAGUACCUGCUAAGAGUUUGGCUAAACUACACAAAGGAUCAUUUCCAACUACCCUCAUUUCCAGUUCCUUUCUCAACAUCGAACUUCCAACUAUUCUCAUACAUGAGUAAUGCACAAAUAAUCUCAUUUCAUCAUUCACAUGUACCACAACAUAUUCUCAGCGAAUAGCAUUUCACCAAUAAUUCUAUAACCAAUAACAAAUAAACACACAAGAGCAGUAUUUGUCCAAUUAGUAAACCAGAUCACAUUAAUCAACCAACAAGAUCAAUAACAAUAAUAAUAUAAUGUUUCACGAAAUUUAAUAAAGCCAGUCUCCGUAAAGGUCUGCCAUAUUUCCCCUACCUGGAUUCCAAAGCAUAGCUCCGAGAUAAUAACACAAAGAAGUAUAAGAAAAUCACUAUAUGCAAGACAAGAACUUUAAUCCCAGUCAAAGCACUUGAGAUUACUAACUUAACAACACCCAUUUCAAAUACCCUUUUGAUUGAUCUAAAAUAAUGACAUGGUCAUAAGAGAACAUUUGAAUGAGUACAACUUGCAGAAAAAGGGACAGGUGAAAUACAAAUAUAAAUAUGCAUGCUGUCUUCUUGGUGUAUAAGCUGGGAACAUAACUUUAGCCAAUAAUUAAAUAAAGUCUUACAUAUGAUUAAUGAAUAAGUAAACUAAACCACAUAUAUAAGCAAAUUACCAAAUGUAUGACAUGAACUCUAAUCCUAAUUAACAUAUUUAAGUUUAGCGAUUCCGCAAUACUAAUUCACAAGUUAUUAUAUAUACAUCAACUCCAAACACAUGCUUUACUUGAUACAGUUGAAACUAUACCUAUGAACAUAUGCGGAUAGUUCCAUGCCGAGAAAGCUAGCUUGGUUUACUCUGGCUUGUGCAAAGUUAUAUGCAUGAAUACCAGCAUAUACGUAAAUAGUUUCUCUCAAAACCAAUAAGAAAGAUAUAUGUGCGAAUUAAUAUGCUCAAGUCCUCUUUUAUACAACAACCUCUAAUAAAGGGAAGAUAUAAUAUUUAGCAUGUGAUAAUUAUAUAUAGGCUCAAUCUUAUCACUUUUGUGUAGGUAAGAUGAUCUCCAAUUGUAAAGUCUGAUAGCCAAACGUCUAUGCAGAUAUACUUACAUAUAUACUACAAACCAACAGAGAUGAAACACGACUGAGUUGUACAAUAUAUAGAGCUAUGGAAAGACUAAAAAAUAUGAGAAUCAUUACCCAUAUUUACCCUGCUACAGAUUUGACACCGCCGAUUAAGAAGCACCUCAGCUUCCGGUUUCUUACACCCUUCUCUUUCUCUCACUCUCUUUUCCUCGUAAGAUACUAAUGUCCAAAACGAAAUGCAAGUGUAGCUCCCUAUUUAUAGUCAGAGAAGGCAGCAACUUCUUAGAGUGCUGAACAAGCACUUAGAGCACCUUGCUGGCAACACCCCAGCCACCCUUAUCCAUAUAUUUCUUUGGCCAUCUAUAAACUUCACACGUCCAGCUUGAAAGAGUGCUUAGCAAGCACCACUAAUGGCUGCCUUAGAAAUUGAGACACCUCAUAAGACAAAUAAAAUAUAAACUAGUAAAAAGAAUAUAAACCAUUACAAAAUUAAAAUGAAUAAUUUAAAAAUAUAGUUUUUAAGUCAAAUAAUACUGAAAAAGUCUAUUAGACUUAUUUGAUCAAAAUAAAUAUUUUUUUUAUAUAAAUAUAAAAUACAGGUCUUCACAACCUUCAAUUCCUUAGUUUCUGGUAAGAGUGUGCUAAUAACGUGUUGUAGGCAUAUUUGACUGAACUAUAUUUAGGACUAGAAAAGGGAGAGAGGCCGGUGGCAAGAAAGAGAGAAGAGAAAAAUUUAAUUGUGAGGUGUGUGUUGUAUCACCACAUUGUGCCUUUAUUUAUAGCAAUAUGAUAGAUUAAAUCCUUACCCUAAUAGGAUUACAACUAUAAUAGGAUAAUAACUACUAAAGGGAAUAUUCAGAGGUAUCACUAAAUACACUAGGAUUUACACAACACAUUCCUAUUCUAAAUAUGAUUGCAAUAUUAUUCAAUUUUUUUUAACAAACAAUAUUAUCUACACUAAGAGGGAGCAUGUGGGCUUAGCCUCAUAAUGGGCUAGCAAUAAUGUGGUUCAAAAUCGUUUUUAGUGAGAAUCGAACCUAAGAUGUCUAAUUUACAAGUGAAGAGGAAUACCACUAGACCGUAGUACUAAGUGACGUUAUUCAAAAUUUAAAAUAGAAUUCUCAGUCAAGUAUUGAAUUGUCCUUAUGAAAAAGAUUCGCGAUUGUAUUUUUUUUCUUUUCAUUAGAAAACAAAAUUAGGGGAAGGGAGGUUAUUCCAUUCCAAGACUAGAGCGUAUCACAAGAUUUUUUAAGGAUUCACAGAGGGGGCUUCAGUCUUUUUUUUAUUUAUUUAUAAAUUAUAUAGAUUUCACGCAAGAGGGAUUGUCGGCAACAGGACUCGAACCUAAGUCUUGAUCUAUUAAAGAAAAAUAUCUUUAUCAACUCAAAUAAUUCUGAAUAAAAUUUGUGUUUAUAUCUUACAUUUGAUAACUAUUUCAAUUUUUCGUUUCAUGUGCAAGUGAAAUUUCACUUGGUGGUCAAAUUGUGAAUUCGAGGUCAUAAUGAAUGGGCAAGUGAUAAAUAGCAUGUAGCAUGUUGAUAAAAAACAAAUCGAAGGUAUGAUGAAUUUUUGGUUGGCAAACGAAAAUUAAAAUUGAAAUUGGUUUUACACAGAUUUCAAAGAUUGCAUUGAUUUUGAAAUUGAGAAAUGUUAAGGAGAGUUUCUCGAACUCUCCGUCACCUUAUGUUUUUAAUUGGGUUCUUUAGAAAAUGGCCCUUGAAACUCUUAUUUUCCAAACAAAAACCCACCUAAUAUUAAAUAUCCAAAUAAAACCCAAAUUUCAAAUAGAGUACCAUGUAGACAAAUAUGUAACCAAUUAUUAUCACAUAUUUACAACUUAUGCCACAAAACCCUAAUUAUGUCAAUAAAUAUUAUUACUUACCCUAAUUAUGAUUAGUAAUUAACCCCAUAUGGAAAAUUUCACCUUUCUUGUAUGGUAAAUAUUAGGAAUAUUAUAAUAUAUAUAUAUAUAUAUAUAUAUAUAUAUAUAUUAUAUGUAUUAAUUUAACCAUGUUCAUAAACAAUUAUGGGCACAUUUUUCAUAUGAAAAAAAAAAUCCUUGUACAAUCAGUUAUUUUGCAUCAAAUAAUAUUGUUGGAUAAAAAACAAUAAAAAACCAAUUAAUAUUCUUUUAUGUUGUAGGUAAAUUAUUUUACCUAGAUUAUUACAUACGUUAGGCAUAUUUUGUUUGUUAUCAUAUAUGCUUGUUAAAAAUAAUUUAUCUAUAUUUGUAUGUAAAAUAUAAGUAAAUUAAUUUUGAAUCAAAUAGCAUUUAUUUUGUAGGUAAAUUAAAAUAGUAGUUCCAUUAUUUUGGUAAAGUUAAACAGUGCCUAAAUUAUUUCGUAAGAAUUAAACCAAGACAAAUUAUCUCUACUAAAAUAAAACAGUAGAUAUUCGACAAAAAAUAAAUAAAAAAUAAAACAGUAGAUACAUUAUUUUCUUAUAAGAUUAAACAAUAGGUAAAUUAUAUUGUAGGUACAUUAUGUUUGUAAUAUAAAAAAAAGAAAUUGAAAUUUAUAAACAAAAAGUAGUAGAUAUAUUAUUUUUUAAUCAAAUUUCCUUUAUUUGUAGGUGAAUUAUUUCAUCAUAUAUUUUUCAUUUUAUGCAUUAUUAUAUAUAUUGGGCACAUUUUACUACUAAUAUAUAUGUGUGCAAUAAUUUACCUAUAUUAUUAUAUAAAAUAUAGAUAAAUUUAUUUUGAAAUCAAAUAACAUUUUUUAUAUUACAAACAUAAUGUACCUACAAUAUAAUUUACUGGAUAUCCGAUCCCGUCCUACACCUAUUAGGACUAUGAACCUAGUCCUUAGCUAUUAGGACUAUGAACCUAGUCCUUAGCUAUUAGGACUAUGAACCUAGUCCUUAGCUAAGCUGGAUUAAUUUCCUGGAUAUCCGAUCCCGUCGAGACUCCCCAUUGCACUAGGAUUCGUCUUAACCGCCCUAGGUUUGGACUCCCACGGGUUGACCGAUCCAUGGUCCUUUUGCCGCCCGGCCUCCUGGGCCGAGAGUGAUCCUACCCUCGGCCCAAACUAUUAUUUUGGGCCCAAACACAUCCAUACAUAACAAUUGGUGUGGUAUAUUCAUAUCACAACAUAAUGAACAGUAAGAACUAGCAUUCUUGAGACUAGAACUCGUAGGGAUAAAAAUAGAUUACGGAUAGAAUCAAAUUUGCGAAUACAAUCUCCUUAGAAAGAAAAUCAUGUCUCAUAUUAGCCUGCUUUGGUUUCCUUGCGAAACUUUUGUUAUCGGGCUAGCAUACACUCUAUAUGUUUCUAGUGAUUCACAUGAUAUUAUCAAAUGAAAGUCUUGGAUAAGAAUUUAUAACGCACUAUGACGUUCUUGUUGACGAUCCUUUACUCCGAUAGCAUCUAGAGUUCAUCUCUUUGAAAUUGCUUUCGUUUUUCAAAAACCAACGGGGAAAUUCAGUUUUCAAAUCAUAAUUGUCACAAAAAUAAAUGUUUUCGUUCAGGAUUGUGGGUGACUUGUAAUACCAAAUCAUGUUAUGUGCCAGCGUAGAGUUUUACGUGGAGGUAAAACUAUAGUCCCAAUAUAUUUUCAUAUAGCUUUUAUUAAAGAACGAGAUCCACGUGACUUUUGGCAUCACCUAUUCUUCCUAGUCCCUAAAUUAUAGACCAUUAUUUAUUUAUGAUUGUGACAGUUUGUCACGAAUCAUUACGCUCGUACAAGGUUCUUACUCUCAUUAUUAAUGAGAGACUUAUUUUCUACACAUCUUUUUAUAUGUGGUGAAUUUUCAAGCUUAGUACGUAGAGCACGUGUAGCUUUUAGAAUUCACAUGACAACUUGCUCUAAUACUAUGAAAAAAGUUGAGGUUCCACCAUAAAAUCUAUUGGUAUAGAGAGUAUGCCAACUUACUUAUAAAUUCAUGCAAAGUCUCUCCUAUCAAUAUGAGAUUUAUUCUUAAUAAGAAUAAAACACUAGCACUACGGUGUAUUGAUAUUGUUCUGCAACUUGUAAGUGAUGAGUCUCAUAUUCAACUUCUACAAAUGAUGAAUCUAAUAUCUUAUUCUUGUGGCUAGUAGUGCGCGUCUUAUCUCAAUUCUCACACUAGCACUAUAGUCAGGUGAAGUUAUUCUCCAACUAUAUGUAAGGUGAACUUUAACUCUUAUAAACUAUAAAUUCAAAGGAAAAUUAAUGAAAAUGCUUGAAAACUUAUAGUUUUAACGAUAAGGAUAAAAUAAAUGGUAAAAUGAAUAGUACUAUGAUUGAUUUUUAAGUAUAAUAAUAUAAUUUUUUAUUAAAGUAAACAAUACCAAGAACUUUUCGAUAAAGUUUUCUAAAUUCAAUACCUAAUUACUAUGAUUAGUUAGCGUGCGACUUAGAACAUCCUUCUAGAGAAAAAGUAGAUAAUAAAAUUUUCUCCAGCAAACUUAUUCAAACUCUCUGACCCCAUCUUAUUUGCUUCACCAACUUAAAAAACCUGACUUAAUUAUUAGGCACAAUGUAUCAACUGACCAAUCGUCCACUUGUUGCGUAAGAACAAAACCACCAAUAUCAGUUUGUCAACCGUUUGGAUUUGAGAAUCAAAUUAGUAUUUAAUUAAUGAAGUAAUUAAGUUUACAAUAGUACCUGCAUAAUCCUAAAUCCUUGCGUACACUUCCGGAUUACAAUGUAUUAGUUCGUUCAGAUCAUAUUCUUAUAGGAGUCCUGGGUUGAUAUGUAAUUUAAUUUCUAAUUUACUCAAAAGGAACGAGUAAGAUGUGAUGUAGAAUAGAAGGUUGAGAGAAUCGAAGAACAAUUAAAAAUGCGUAAGGCCCAAACACUACAAAUUUAGACUUCAAAUUUUUAUUUGUGCCCAUAAUCUAUCGUUUCAAAGACAAUGGCGAGGUGAACAAGACACAAUGCUCGACGUAUGAAUAUUUUUGGCCAAAUUCCUUUGUUUACUAGCCUCAAACGAGAUUUUACAAUUUUUUGGACCCUUAUGUAAUUUGGUUUUCCCAUUUUUACUCUAAGAGCAACUUCACCGCUAAACAAACCCUAGGCAAUAGGCAACUCAAUCUCCCAAAGUGAACAACAACUGUCCUUAGUGAACCGUAACUGUCCAAGUGUAUCUCCACUCCUAAAUUGAAUAGCCCAGGCUAUUGGAAUUAAAAUAUUUGUUUAUAAAAUAAUAAAAGAUAAUUUUGUUUUUAAUUUUGGACGUUUAACCAAAUCUCGGUGGAAGAGCAAUGUUAGGUAUUUAUAGAACUAUAAAUUUUUUUGUUAACCUUUUCAAUAUUUUUAAUAAAUUUUCUGUAUUUUUUUAAUAAUUUGUAUCUAACCUAAUUAAUAUGGACCAUUUGAUUACAUUGUAUGAUUAAUCCAAAAGCCCAAUUUAGACACGUAAUUUCAACGGUAAUAAUAGGAUUUUCUCUUUUUAAUUUUUUUUUAAGCUCGAAAAAUUUGGACCAAUAUCUAACAGACCAGAUUCCGCCACGUGGACAAGCCGUUAUUUCGAAUCCAAAUUUUUUUAACCAUAAGAAAUCCAAUGGCCGAGAAAUUUAACGGUUGAAAAUCCGACGGUAAAGGUGCCGUAGCCCCUAAUUCUAAAGCACUGGGUGCGCCUGCAGCGCGAGCCCGCCCGAUUUCUUGUCGGCUCACCCACCGAUUGUUGCACGUGUAGUUCGCGAGCCCAGCACAUAAAAAAAGAAGGCUAAUAUGGCUGACGUCACUCUAUCCAGUCGUUGGGCCUGGAGAUUGAUAUGGGCCGGAGUUGCUCUAAAAACGUUUUAAGGCUAAGGGGCACUUUAAAAGUAACAAAUUCAACAUGUGGAGGGUCAUCAUUGCAAAUGAUUGUUACUUGGCCACAAAUGAGGCUUUUGUACCAAAGUUUCAAACUCUAAAGAAAAUGGAAUGAAAUUGUUGCCACGUGGCACGUCACUAGCUAGGUGGUUCAUAAAACUAAAGUCACGGCAGGUAAUGGGAUAACGAUUAGAAAAUUGCCUUUUGAAAUUGUUGCCACGUGGCACGUCACUAGCUGGCUUGGUGGGUCGCCAUUGCCUUUUGAAAAUUGCGCAUAAGGAUUUCAGACUGGUGAAGAAUUUGGGCGCGUUUGCCGUUCGAAAUCCAGUUGAUUGAUGGAGAAGGAAGGAAUUGGAUUCCAUUCAAAUUUACUUUAUAUAGGAAUUUUAAGAAUCCUUACAUUUUAAUCAUUCAUCGUAUAUCGAGAAGAUUAGAAAAUAUUUUACUUUUUUAUUUAAAAUUCAGCAUAAAUAAUAUCUGAUAAAAAUUAACUGUACAAUGUACGAUAACCGUUAAAAUGUGGAGAUUUUAUUUUCGAGAAGGGAGGGCCCAACGCAACGCACGCUUACCCUGACAGCGCAAUAUUCCAAUUUCUUCCUCAACUGCCUCUCUUUUUUCCAUUUAUUUAUUUAUUUUAAAUUCAUAAUGUUCUCUUGCUGUCUCUACUAACGUAAGCCGCAUGGUUGGUUUUUGUAAUCUCACGAUAUUCUACUCCCAUUUCACCUAGUCUCGAGAAGAACUCACAUCUAUUAACGCAUGUGCGAGCGAUCGCCAGUAAUAUUUGCCGGUAACAUAUUGCCUUAACAAAAAUCUCCUCAAGUACGUUGGAAUUAGAAAUUAAGGCAGACUAAAAUGCACCGGUUCUAAUUAUUUUCGUAACAAAAAAACCGAUAAAUGAAAAACUAAUUUGUCUUAAAAUCUUGAUUAUCAUCUCACACGUUAUCGGUUCAUUUUAGAGAUGAAAAUGCUAUUUACUCUUCGAAAAAUAAUAAUUAAUUUUUUCGCUUAAUCGCAAAUAAAUAAAAUAAAAUAAAAUACACAUGUUUUUAGACAAACAAUGAAUACCAGACAGCGAUUCUCUCUCCUCUCAUCUCACUCUCUUGUUUCCAGUUUCCACGCCCAGUUUUCCAUCCUGUCACGAUUUCCCCAAAAUUCAUUUUUCUGCAAUUUUUUGCUGUUAUUAUUUUUGAGUAAAUAAAGUUUCGAUUUUUUACCCAAGGAGUAAGACCGUGGAGGAUUGCAGUUAGGGUUUCGUCGUUAAACCUCCUGCAAAUCUCGUUCGGAGGCGACAGAAGCUGUGGAGUGUUUCGGAAUCGUAGAAAGGGGGAAGGUUAGGUUUUCUUGCGGACUCGAUUUGGGAGGGGUUAGUCUCUGGCGACAAUGGCCAGCAACUUGCCGAUGAGCCCGCAGUUGGAGCAGAUCCAUGGCGAAAUCCACGACAAUUUUCGAGCCCUCGCGUAUGUCUCUGUAUUUUCGAGUUAGCAUUUCGAUUUUCAUCGGUUACUGAAUAAAUUUCAGAGCUUUGAUAUUUCUUCAAGUGUUUGAAUUUUAUGAGCAUUGUUGAUUGUGUGAAUUCGAUGAUUUCUGAGAGUCCUAGAAUGUUUGACAUUUGACGAAAGAAAUUAGAGGGAUGGGAAAAUCAAUUUGCUUGUUUUGUAAUUCGUUUGUGUAUUCUUACGAAAUUUAGUUAGAUUGAUGACCGUAAACUGUAGUUGAGCAUUAUUGAUUUACCGUAGAUUCAGUUGCUAAGGCGAUUCGAAGAGGAUAUGUGCUUCCUCAGCUGUUCCAAUAAUACUCAACCUCUUUUCGAUGUUUUCGGGAGUGUUGAGUAACAUUGUUUCUCUUUGGAAACUUAAAGUGGGUGUCUUUUGGAUAACACAAAUAAAUUUACUAGCUUUCAAGACUCGAGUUGCUCUAUCGAUUUUGCACAUUGAUGCAUAAAGCAUUGGCAUUGGUUAUGCGAGGGAACCAAAUACUGAAGUGAAAAAAUUUAUUUUGGCCAUGCUCUUGAUGAUUCAUUACUACUCCCGUGCUACCUAGAGGGCAAUAAUGUUAUUGCUUCCACAGCCGCUUAAAUUUUUUUUGGCAUCCAUACUUGAAACCCGAGGGCAGCAACAACCAUGAUAUACUAUCUGGAAACUGAUGGAUAAUGAGGGAGAUAUUAGUCAAAUAGUAGCCAUUGCUUAGUAUUUGUUCUUUAUUAGAGUCUCAUUUAGCUUCCACUUGUUUAGGUGGUUGCUGAAACCAGAUGCCAUUGUUGUAUCACAGUUCUUCACUGCCUCCGUCGGACCCAGUGUACUCUUUAUUAUCACUAACCAUCGUGAUUGUGCAGUGCAUUUUGUUAAUCUCUCAUGUUUGUGUCACCAACUGCACAUGAUACUUCUUGUUGUGCACCAUCUUACGUGUUAACUGUUUGUCUAUUUUUCUUCUACAAGGUGUAGUCACUUAAUGAAAGAACAAUUCAUCUCUUUGCGGACUAUUUCUUUGUUUCAUUUGUUGGGGGAAGUGCUGGGGUUGUUGCACUAGAUACAUGUAUUCCACUUUCCGUAUUAAACUGAUCACGUUAUAAUUAUUGUGAGUUCGUUUUUUGUUUCAGAAAUGGCUUCCAGAAGCUGGAUAAGAUCAAAGACUCCAAUAGACAAAGUAAACAGCUGGAGGAACUUACAGGAAAGAUGAGGGAAUGUAAAAGGUAUGCCACAUAUGGGAUUUUACUCUCUGACCCUUUGUCUGAUACUUUUAGUAACUGAGGAUCUUGGACAAUCUUAAUUUUCACAUUCUUUGAAGAGAGAAAAUAAGACAGACAAAAUGUUGUCACAACAUCCAAUGCAAUGUCCAAAAUUCAACAAUUCUUGCUCAAAGACUUCAUUAGGUUACUUUGGAAGUUUGAAGAAUUAGUAACUUAUUAACAAAGACAAAUUAGGUUGGAGCCAUAAAAGUUUCCUCAAGUAUAACUAGGAUCUUGAUGUGAGCGACUUUAAGUCAUGCUUAUAUACAAGCCCCACAUCCUGUUCCUGGACUCCCAUGCAUCUCUUCAUUUUUUAUUUUUUUGGGGGAUAUUGGAAGAAUUCAGGCGUGCGAUGAUUGCCGUUAUGCUACAUGAAAGAAAAAAAUAGCUAAAAAGGGAAAUAGAAUCUCAGUUAUUGAGGUAUUUUGUUUUAGAUAAAUUGCAGAGUAUGAUCUUGUAAAUACUUUGUUUCAGAUUAAUUAAAGAGUUUGAUCGUGAAGUCAAGGACGAGGAGAGCCGAAAUCCUCCUGACGUGAAUAAACAGCUUAAUGAUGAAAAGCAAUCUAUGGUAAGUUGUUGUGAGCUUUUGUCUUUUUCCAUCACAUAAAUGCACAGGUACACUGUACCACUUGCAUUUUUACAAACUCUGUGACUACUUUUGACCGGUCUAUUAGUGCACAAGACCUUUCCGGGUACACAAUAUCUAUUAGUUUCUGCUAGUGUAACAACUCCAUCUAAUUAUCAUGCUUCAUUUUGCAGAUCAAAGAGCUGAAUUCAUAUGUGCAAUUGAGAAAAACGUAAGUCCAGUAUGCAUUCUAUGUUAUUGUCAAUACUAUGGAGUCUAAUUGGUUUAGCAUGUUGCCUUCAGUCCUAAUAUUCAUGGGAUAAAUAAAUUAAUCGACAAACACAACAAAUUAUUGUAUAUUACAGUCCUUGAAUUCUAAACCCUGUCACUCUUCGUGCUCUGGGUAUCUGUGAUUUUUUAAAGUGAUUUUCAUACUGUAGCUGAACUGCAGGUAUAUGAAUAGCCUUGGUAACAAGAAAGUCGAACUCUUUGAUAUGGGAGCAGGAAUUAGUGAACCCACUGCUGAUGAGAAUGUUCAAAUGGCUUCAGGUAGUUUUGUCAUUCUGCAUAUCUUUGAGCUUAGUUUGAAUUUGUAGAAAUGAGCUUUUUCCUAUAUCUCUUUCAAGCUUUAGCCGUUAAUCAUGCUAUGUUAAUCAGCAUGCGGUCUUUUAAUGAUAGUACAAAGUAAAGGUGUAUCAAACUUUGUAAAGAUCAAUCUGCUUGGACCAUUCUAUCUAUGUCUUCUUGUUUUGUGCCUGAUUUGAUGAAAAGAUUUGUCUGACCACCUUUCUAAUUGGCAUGUAUUUCUGAUAGCUAUGUCAAAUCAAGAACUAAUCAAUUCUGGGAUGAAAACAAUGGAUGAGACUGAUCAGGUCAUUGAACGCUCUAAAAAGGUGAACAGCUAUCCCAGAAAAAAAAACCUUCAACUUUAAGUUUGAGUAUUUUAUUUUGCCGGCAAUUUUAACUCGAUAGUUUGUGAUAGGUUGUUGAGCAAACAGUUGAAGUGGGAACUCAAACUGCUGUUACCUUAAAGGGCCAAGUCAGUGUGUUCACCUAUUGUCUCUAUACCUCUCAUUUCAAGAGUUUAGACUAACAUUGUUCAACUCCAUAACUUGUAGACUGACCAAAUGGGCCACAUUGUAAAUGAGCUGGACACAAUUCAGUUUUCAAUUAGGAAGGCCUCUCAGCUUGUAAAGGAGAUUGGUAGACAGGUCAGUGAGAUCUCACCCCUUAGAUACUCUACUUGUAUAUUUUUCUAACAAACGCUAUUUUUUUCCUCUAUAUUUUCAGGUGGCAACAGAUAAAUGCAUCAUGCUUUUUCUUUUGCUUAUUGUAAUUGGUGUAAUAGCAAUUAUUGUUGUGAAGGUAUGCUGUUUGAUUCAUUUAUCUAUUGCCGUAGAUUUGCUACCCAUUUUACACAUUUUUUUUAAUACUCAGGAAGUCACACAUUUAAGUUACAGAGAUAUCUGCAGAGUUGUAUUAUAGGAACUUUUUCCGGAGGAAAUUUGUUGAUGAGUUUGGCAAGUUAUUUCUGACGGAUUGUGAACCCUGCUACCUAUUUUCCUCUCCCUGUUAAAUUGUUAGUAAUGCAUGGGAAAAUUGAUGCUUUCCUUCUCAGGAGUGUGUUCAAAUCCUCCUGGCAAAAAAUUCAAAGUUGAGAAAUGACUACAUCUGUUCCUAACUGUAAUGUCUGUUUAUAUUUCAGAUUGUGAACCCCAGCAAUAAAAACAUAAGGGAUAUCCCUGGAUUGGCGCCGCCUGCUGCAAGGAGGCUUUUGUCAACGAGUCUUCUGCAACAGUUCGAAUAGUUUCCUCCUCUUUUUCAGGAUUCAAUUUUUCCGACAUAGGUACUAUGAUUCAUGUUCUGGGGAUGCGGAGGAGGCUCAGAGGAAUACUUGUGCAUUGAUCGGUCUUUUCUUUUACUUAUACAUUAUUCUUGCCCGAGUUGUGCAUAUUGUUUGUGAUUCUCUAUGUAAAUCACGCGUGAGUCCUUUUUUUUUUGCUUUGGUUUGAAUGGCCAUCCACGGUUCUUUCUGUAAUCUUUCCAAGACUGUUUUAGUUAUAGAGAGAUGCACUUUGCUCUAUAUCUACCUGCGAUUUAGAUGUAUUGCCUUCCAAUAUGUAUUCACAUUGUUUUAUUCUAAUUUCUAGUGAAUAUCGAAGCGCCUUGUUGCAAGUUCUGUGCCAUUUUCUGCUCCGUCACAGGUUCACACAAUGUGGGAGGGCCUGCGUGUUUCGAGUUCCAGCAAUAAACGGUAAUUACAACAGUAAACGAGAUUGAAGUCCGUAUCGAGCUUCAUCAACAGCGCGGUAAGUAGCAGUUUAUCCAAAAAAAUAUAACUCGCAAUUGAGAAUCAAUUCGUAACAUCUGAGACUACUCAUGAAUCAGAGCUCAUGUUCUAACCACAAAACUCCAGCAACAGAAAAAAUACAGAGAACAGACAGACCGCCGCAUGAUAAACUUUGGGUUUCUCCAUUACUACCUGGACUACAUAUAACAAGGAGAAAUGCGUAAUUCGUCAAGGCUCUUGACAAAUUAAUGGUGAGCUUGUUCACCCGAUGACCAUGGGUCAUAAGCUACCAUCUACAAAAUUCAACCGGCAAAUCAUGCAUUCACUUCCUAAAACCGAAAGUAAUACAACGAACUGCCCCCGUGGUUCAGCGCUUUAAAGUCUGUUCCCUGGAAAGAAUUAAGGGUCUAGAGUUUGAAAAGAAUCUGCAUACUCCGUUUCUGGACUUUCCUUUUCCAAACAUCAAUCUACACGCGAGUUCGUGAAUCAUGCGGCAUAGUUGCCAGCCUGUGUUCGUCCAAUGUGAGACAACCUUGUUGAUUGAGUUAAGGGUGUUUCUUCAUCAACAUCAUCAGAGGCUGAACCAGCCCCUCCAGGGAUAAAAAUAUCAGAGGACUUUUUCUCCAUCUUCCAAUCCUGUAUUGGCCAGCACAGAGAACACGUGUUACAAAAAAAUUAUGGGAACUUUAAUGAAAAGCUCCAGAUACUGUUCACUUUAACGAAAAACACAUUUUAACACUAAAAAGUCAAUCAUAAUACUAUUCACUUUACCUUUUAUUUUGUCUUUAUCGGUUAAUACUCAAAGUUUUCAAACCUUUUUCAUUAGUUUUCCUUUUUAUAAGGGGAUCAAGGACUCCAAACAUUUUACCGGAAAUCAAAUUCUAGAGAAAGCAAACCUUCGAAAUUCUCUCAGGAAUGCUUUCAGAAGGUAGCUGAGAUGCACGAACAUCCUUGACCUUUAUGUAAUUGUACAUGACAACACCACACAGCUGCAGGCCAAAUUGACUGGUCAGCCAAAACUUCACAUUUAAACAUGUAUAAAAUGCAGUUGUAACUUCGAAACUUUCAAGUUAAGAUAUAUGGAGAGCUACCUAUGGCAUAACCGAUUAUGUUCAGCCUGGUUAUAAUAGACUCUGGAAAUAUAACAGUUGAAAGGGCAAUCAAUAUCCAGUCUUUCAGAACACCAGCAACCCGGAUGGUAACUGCUCCAGUUCUACCAAUUACUAAGAAUAUGGAGAAGUUCAAAGCCAAAGCACAAAGAGCAUUGGAGAAAAAGAUCCAGAAGUUGAACUGAAACUGUGAAUAUUCUAUUGCAGACUUCUCAAGUAACAACCAAGGCACAAACAGGAAGACAAAACUGCAAAAAUAAAUGAAACAAUAAUGGUGAGAUGCUGAAGCUAUGGCAUGCCUGUCAAUAGUUUACACUUAAUUUUGAUUUUCCUGUUUCUACUUCCACAAGCAUCAAUGGAAAAAGUCAAUUGAGUACAGAACCGUGUUUAAAUCACAUGCAUCCAUCAAUAAGGAGAUGUAGAACUUCAUCAGAAUAAGGGUGUAAACAGAAGGAAUGGAGAUUUCCCAUGGUACAGAUGGAUCGUUCUUAUACUGAUAGUAAGCUUACCAAAAUUGUGAAUCCCAGCCAUAUACCAUAAGUUACAGAUUCAGAAACUCAAAAUUACGAGAAAUAGUAAGUUAAAGAAUAAUUGGCGUUCACUAUCAGAACUAAAUUCUAGAAAUGAGUCACUAUUCUCUAUCAAGAUUGUUACGGAUGCCAAAGAACUAAUAUGCUACUUAUUCAUACUUUGCAAUUGGAAAAAGUAGAGUUCAUAUAUUGCGAUUGGAAAAAAUAGUGUUUGCCUAAAUUCCAACUCCUAUGAUGCAUACAAGUCCAAGCAUGAUAGUAUAAUACCUGCAUGGGGCGAUAUAGUACAAACUGGUGAUUGGAUUUAGAGUCAAGCCCUUCUUCUGUAGAAGGACUUGUGUUAAGACCAGUCUAAGAGCUUCUGCAAAGAUGCCCGUAACCUGGUACACUGUACCAACUACAUUAAAAUGAAUCUCCCCGUAUGAGGAAAUGACAACUCCAACACUGACCAGCAACAUGUUUGUGAACACAUCGCACCUUGGUUUGUCAGUGCCACACAAUACAGCCAUGAUAAAAGUAGCCACUGGCACUGCAGUAUUGAAUGUACAUAGAUAUAAGCAGUCAUUUGCGUUUAAAAGCAUCAUUAUUGUAGUAAAAUAGAUAUCAUGAGUCUCUGCAUCAGCACACAUACUUAGAGCUUUAAGCAUUUGGAUGAACGCCACUGAAAUAUGCAAGUAAGCAGUGUUUCCAAACCUGUAAUGACAGAAAAAGAAAAGUUCAAAACAAAAAAACUUGAAUUCUCGUCUUGAAUCUUGAUAAGUGCAAUUUACAACAAUGCAAAACUUGACAAGCAUACAAUUCCUAAAUGUGGGCAUUGCAUUUGAGCCCAAAUCUGGACAACUCAACCAACAAGGGACACCAAUUCUUGAAGGAAGUUCGGACAUUCUACAUCAGGGAAUCUAAGCAUAAGUCCAUUGUUUACCACAAAAUGAGAAAUUGUAAGAGAACAGAUUGGCACAAGUAACAUUAAGUCUCUACGCAUUUUAGUAUUUUCAUCGUUGAGAGGCAUGAGCCUAGUUACAGUCAAAUCUGAAAAUUUUGACCGUAACCUUUACAUAAAAAUAUGACAAUAACCAUCUCAGCCAAAACAAUCCAUGCCCUUAUUAGUUGCAUUAUUAGCCAAAACACCCAAUUACAUUUCAAUUCAGUGCUUACCAAAGACUUGAUGCAAAGAACGCACUGAUUGGAAUUACACAUGUUGCAUAUCUGCCAUAUAAAGGGAAAAAAAAAAUAAGAAAAACAAUUUGGACAAAAAAAAUUAAUAACAAGUCGGAGCCUAAAUUCAGCCUACAUACUUACAUUUCAAAUGUCAUUUUGACAGGAGCUACAACCUGCAAAUUCACAGAGGAAUAAAUAAGGAGAACAAAAGCAAUAAAUGAAUACAACAAAAACAAAAAUAUGGAGUAGUGACACAUGCAUAACAGAAAACUGAUACUUGCAUAAGAUGCAGCCAAAAAAAAAAAAAAGGAAAGAAACUAGAGCACACCGUGUGUACCCUAACUCUGCACAAUUGAUGACAAACUAUAAAUUUUGAAAUUCAAUAAAAUUUCAAAAUUGGCUUCUAUAGCUCCAGUUAAAUCCUAUUUCACUCUGGCCAUAUAGGACAUCAGUUACAUGCCUUGUCCCGCUAUAGACUAACCUAACCCACUAUCUUUUUGGCAGUCUCCCUUCUCAUUCAGAGUUGGGUAGCAUCAGUUUCGAAAUCAUUCAUGUAUUAACUACUGAUAAGAGCAAAUUCAGGAAAAGCAGAGAAGGUAAGAAUCCUAAUGGACACAAACAGCAGACAUCAACUCAACCAAGAUCUCAAGGUAAUCAAAGUGAUGUGAAUCACAGAUGAGUUCCAGUCAGAUAAAGUUAAUAGCGAGGAUUAAUAUGUCAGGGAAAUUAUAUGAUAUCACUUCGAUUGUCAACUAAACGAAAAUCCACUACCUGUCAAUACGUUAAACUGGCUUGACAGAGAUAUCAACACCUAUGUCAAAAGUAAUUUGGAGAUACAAAAAGCAUAUCCAAAAAUAAAGAGUCAGUCAUACCUUGAAAACACGAACAAGUAAAAAUGCUACUAGUCCAGAAAAUCCCAUAUGAAUCAUUGUAAGUGAUGGGUAAUGGAAAAUUGAAGUAUUUUGGAGACAGAACCCACUGCAAGGAAAUUCACCCAGAAAAUCUUCAGUAAAACAAGGAGGAAAAUAAUAGCUCAGAGUUUCAGUUUAACCAAUAAAGACUAUCGGUAACCCGCAAUAUAGAUAUAAACAUGCAAAUCAGUAAUGGCAAGAUAUAAAAAUGAAGUACUGAGGAGGAAGGACCUUGUUGUACAAUAUAACGCCGGACGAAAGCAGAAUGUAGAUGAACAGGUAAAAAUAAGUCAGCAACAGCGGUUUGCUGAUCAUCUUGGGCAUUUUUUCUUUUAUCAAACGACCUAAUGUAUGAUUUUCUGGCCUUUAAACCAUCUUAUUCAACAUUUUUCACUCCGCAAAUGUUAUGCAGUCCUAAACCCAGAACCGGAAGAGGACCUCCUCGUGCCCUCAAUCACAGAUUUGUGUGAGGAUCAAAUAUUGCAAUGGCUGCACCGACUCGAAUGCUUAAAUCCUGAAAGUGAAGGCACAAAUGAGAGAAACAUACUACAGUACCAUACACCUUAACCAAACAACAAGGAAAGCAUCAAACAUUUGUUUAUUAAAAUAGUAGGAAAUGGUACAAAAAUUAAAAGUGGAAGCUGCAGAGAAAUUGGGGAAAUGGGCAAGCACAGAAUCUGAUCCAAGACACUUAGCAACAAGCAUUCAACAAAGAAUCACGCCAUGGUUUCUUCAAGAACUAACAAAACCAACAUUUCGCAAUUGGAAACCGAAAAGGGCAGAUCUAAAAGGGACCCAAAACAACAAAGCGAGAGAAGCCCAAUUCAGAUUCUGAUCCAAAACACAAAACCCAUGUCGAAUUCAAGACGAACGAGCUUACCCAACAGUCGAAAUCAACUGGAACUCGCUUCGAAUCUGAAAAACCCCCGCUUAAUUUCAGAGAUCUACCCACUUGGGAAAGAAGACAAAGCGACACGGAGUAAAGGAGAAAGAGAGGGAGAGAGGGAGAGAGAAAUGGGAUCAAGGACUGGGAAAUGGUUGGUGACAGUGGGUGGGCAAAUGAGUACAAUAAAUAAGGCUGGGAAAGCUAAGAGAGGGAAGAAAGUGGGGUUAUCGAUGAAUCACAGAGAGAGAGCACGUGGGGUAGCCUGAAUCAGAAGAAAGAAGGGAAAUUUACGACUAGCAACAAGCAAACCAGCAAAGAGAGCAAGAAAGAAAGGGGCCCGCUCGCCUUGCCCUCCUUCUCCUACCUAGUGAGAGAGAGAGAGAGAGAGAGAGAGAGAGAGAGAGAAUGCAAGACCAAGCGUUAUCUGGGCCUUCCUCUCACUGUCUGAUUGCGACUUACUGGCUUUGUUUGCCACAGAAAGAGGAGAGCGAAGAAUAAUAAGCGUUUUUCUAUAAAUCCCGCGUUUUUGUUCUCUCUCUCUCUCUCUCUCUCUCUCUCUCUCUCUCUACUAUUUUACCGGACGGUUUUGUUUUAUUACGUGUUGUUGAUUAUGACUUUCAUAAAACAAUUUCACUAUUAGCGUCACGUUUUGGUUUAAUAAUGUGUAAAUUUCUCUCUGCACGUUAUUGGGUUGUUGAAACGAGAUUGAAUCUUUGGUUUAAUAAUGUAUAAAUUUCUCUCUGCACGUUAUUAGGUUGUUGAAACGAGAUUGAAUCUUUCAGUAAAUCUGUUGCUUUCAUUCUUAAGACUUCUCUUUGGUCAGUCACUCACUCAUUUUCUAACUGAGUAUGCAUGUCGAAUUGUCAAUCUCAUAAUCAAAGACUAAACAUCACUGCAAUUGCGUAGAGUUGUGCACUGUACGAUAUAGUGCGCCGUCAAGGUUCCUUCAAUGAACGGUCGCUCAUGCAUAGCGGGUAAGUGAUUCUUUAUCGUAGACGUACGUGAAUUUUACAAUAAAUUCCAUAUGCAUUAGCAGUUACGUACACCCACUAACGACUGACUAGCAUUAUCAUUCUUCCCAAACCGUACAAUUGAUGGAAAGAUUAACCUUCCUAGUUGUUGUGCACGAAAUAAUACCACGUGUUUUAUAAAGGAAGUGUCGCAAGUUGGACGUAGGGACACAUAUUACACGAUGGUUAAAAGCUGGUAUGAGCCAAAAAAAACAUUUCAUUUACUUGUCACUUUAGUACUAGGAUAGAAGCAUAGAGCCAUUUCAAAUCGACCUGGAUUGUCGGCCCUCUCCUAUCUCAUCUUAUUCUAUUUAUGUGGUCACGAUUAAGCCACGUUAAUAUUUUAUAUUGAUUUUUUUUAUAGAAAUAAUAAGACAAAAAACAAUGAGAAUAUAAAAUGUUGACGUGGUUUAACCGUGACCACAGAAAUAGGAAGGGAUGAGAAAGGUAUGGGAUGAUGAGGGCUGACAAUCCAGAUCCAUUUCUGAUACCCGAAAGGUUAUGGGUGCCUCCAAAGUUGUCAGGCUGGAAUGGCUAGAACCUAGAGAGGUUCCCCUUUAUAAUAUAUAUUGGAGUUUGGAGUCUUUUGACCUUCCUAAUAGUGGUUAGUGUAUAUUUUGGCUUUGCCCUAGCUGUAUAUGAAUUCUGAUGUAAUGACAUUCUAACCACAACAAACUCAAUUAGUAGUUUUUAUCAGAAAAAAAAAAAAAAAAAACUCAAUUAGUCAAGCUAUAAUCUAAAUAUUUUAUGGUGCUCCAUAGUAUAUUUAAUUUCACAGAGUACUCUAGAGUUGAUCAUUGUGAUUCUCCAUAACUUUUCAACAAAUUGAAUUGAUUUAGUCGGCAAAAACUUGAGUGUAAUUGGGAAUAUAUUUUGAUCAAGGAGUAUUUUGUAUGAUCAAUUUUCAUGUAAUGAUCGGGUGCAAAAUACAAUUUUCUUAGCUAGGUAUGGGAUGAUAAUUGACAUUAGUAUAUUGUUGUGAGUAUUGUUGGAUAUAUGUCAACAAUCCGUAAUAAAAUAAAUAUGCUAAUAAUAAAUACGAAUAAAUGUAUUCCAGAGACUCAACAAGAUGAAAUAUUAAUUAAGCAGAGUAAUAAAAGAUUGAGGCUUGCGUACCGUAAUGUCCUUGAAACAAAAAUUUCGCCCCUACUCAGUGCUUGUAGUUCUACGGACGUCUGCUUCACCAGGAUUCAAUGAUCUAAGUCAGAAAUUCCAGCACCGGAAAAUUGACUUCUGGCGAAUAUUAAUGUGGUUCUCUCAUAAAGGAUGUUUAUGAUUGCAGGAGAAGAUUUAUGAUUUUUUUUUUUUUUUGUAUUCUAAAUGUCAUGCAGAUGAAUGUAUAUAUAUCAGAUAGAUGCAUGUUUGCAACAGGUAUGAGAAUGGGGUGUGACUGUUGGGAGACAUCUCUUCAGAGGGGUGCUUUACUCUGUGUUCAGAAAGAACUCUCAGACUUCAUCUGAAAGGAUGAAUCUUUUCAUAAAAAAUAAAUAAAUAAUUAAAUUCAAAUUUAAUUAAAAAUAAUUAAGUAAAUCCAAAAAAUAAUUAAUUAAAUAAUUUAAUUAUUAGAGCCCAAGAGCCCCACCCAUCUUUUGACAAUUAAAUAUAUAUUAUUUAUAAUUAAUUAUAUAUUAAUUACCAAUUAAUUAGUACACCCCAAAGCCCAACCCCAAGGAUGAGCCCAAUUUUAGUCUCCAUGCCUAUUACUCCAAUCACUUUCUCUAAAGGACGAAGCCUUAUAAAGUGAUAAAAUCUUUUGGGAAUGGCCAAUGUGGGACAAAGAAAUUUAUACUCAAACUACUCAAAUUUCCAACAAGUAUGAAUUCUAUAUUUGAAAAGAGAAGUUUUGCUUACUGAUUUAAAUAAUCCUAAGAGACUCUCUUGUACUGCCAAUUGAUUUUAGGUUGGAAGAAAAGGAAAGUCUUGCCUACUUAUUUAAGUAAUUAUAAGCCUGUCUCUCCUGAUUUGAAAAGAGAAGUCUUGCCUAUUGAAUGACUAAAUGACGUUAGUUUUAAUUGAUUUUUUGUAGAGAACAUAUUUACAUAAUGAUUUAUAAUAUAAACAUUUCUUAUUAUAAACACAAAGUUCUAUAAAUCGAUCUCACAUUAGUUGGUCAAGUGUAAUGUGACAAUAAUUAACAAGGCUCGCAGCAUGAAUGAGUCAAAAUCAAAUUCGAUGGCUCAAUGAAAGUAAUGCAAUUGAUAUUUGAUAUUCCUGCCAAAAACUCUUGCAAUUUGUAUUAUGAGGGGUCUUUUUUCAUGAAUAUUCAUGGACAAAGACAAGAUGAUGGAAUAUAUACAUCUAACUUUCUAUUCACUAAUGGGAUUCAAGCGUCUGUAUAGACAUUUUAGAUGUAGCUGUUGAAAUCCCUCGAGCAAUGCGUGCAGUUUGAUAAAUUUUCAUCAACAAAUUAAUGGUCAGAAAGUGGAUGGGACUAGAGAAAUUUAGAAUAUAGGGUUUGGACCACGACUGAAAACAAAUUAAAUUAACAUCACACAUCACAAUUAAUUGGAAUCAUCGGACAGGCCAACUACUCUAAUACAGCUGCAUAAUUACUAUUUUUAAUCAUUUUUAGGUCACAUUAUUUCUCUAAUCCCAUCCCAAAAGCCUUCUUAUGGAGAUAUCUUAAUAAACGCUACAAGAAGAAGCACCAUUUUUGGCUUCUAACCUGAAUUCGAUACAAUUAAUAGGAUAUGAAAUGACAUUUGACUUGAUCUGUUUACGUGUCUAGUUGAAUGAUGGUGUAUAUAGUUCUUGGCAUAUGAUAGAGAGGGAAUCCCAAAGUGUACAUGAUGUCGUCGAAUAUAAUGUAAAUACUCUUAACCACUUGAGUAACAAACUUUUUGAAAACAUCUUGCAAGACAUUGCAUUAAAACAAUUCGAAAGGAGUUGUACCAACCAUGCUACUUAGACACAUAAAAUUGACCACAUUGCUGACUACUUUUUUAACAUAGGUGAAUUCUACACACAACUGUGAAGUCCAUCUAUAGAAGAAAGGUGGUCGACAAUAUAGUUUUUUUAUGUGUCUAAGUAGUAUUAUUGGUUUCGAGCUAUUUGUGUCCAUGACCACAUGGUCUAGUGGCACCUCAUAUUUCACUUUAUUGAAGGAAGUUUAAGUUCAAAUUUCAUGAACAAUAGUUUGUUAAAUUCAGAAUAGAAAAGAAAACAAGUCUAGAAUCCCUUUAUUUAAUUUGGGCCUUACUAUUUUUGGGCGGACUCAAACACAUUUCAAAUUUUGGGCCUCAAGAACUUUGAACACAUCCAACGGCCACAAAAUCAAGUGUCUUUCCCAACACAGAAGUAGUAUUCUGGGGUCCUAAGUUGUUCCUCUGUAUCUUUCUAAACAGAAGAAGUUUAUCUUGAAGUAAGUGCUCCAAGUCCAAUUUUUUUAGCCUUCAUCAUUAAGCUGGAAAAAGGGAGUGUGACACAACCAUAUUGAAUUCAUAUGGAAAAUUAGGAAUCACUCUUCUACAGUCGGAGAAAAAUUGAGUGUAAUACCAAUUUAAAGAACUCACGAGUUCGAUAUAUCAAACUUAAGAGUGUGUUACCAAUGAACUCAUACUAGUGUAACAAUAGUAUUACAGUAAUCAAACUUAGAUAUUUGAUUCUUAUAUAUAUGUAUCACACUCACCUAAAUCACUGUGGAGGGCUUUACAAACCAUAAACAAAAAAUUAAGUGAUUAUGUCAUAGUUAGGCCUAAAAAUUCUGUGAGAUUUGCAAUUAUGGUGUCAAAAGUUCAAUGGAAUGAGCCACAUCAACAACAACGUUGGAGAUUGGAGGUUAAUAGAAAAUUCCAAAUAAUAUAAUUAGGGGAAAAUAUAAUUUCAUUAGAAAAAUUUAUUUCAUUAAUUAUUGCAUUAAAACUGCAUUAAUUAUAAAUUAAUCAAAUCAGUAACAUAAGUUGAUGCUUCCCAGCUAACAACCGUAUAUUAUCUAAACAGAAACAGAUGUUGCUGUUUCAACAACUGAUGCAAUAUGUCAUCAGCUGCAUAAUUACUAUUUUAAACCAUUUUCAGGUCACAUUAUAUCUUUACCAAUUGUACACACGUUAUGUAUGUGCUUAAUAUUUUGAGAAUAACAUUUACAAUGAGAGAAAAUAUAAUAUGGUCACUAAAGUUUUUUGAUGUCGACCUUGAACAAUUUUUCGUUGCUGAAGAGAUUAUUCACAUCUUUAGCGACUAUUUCGUCACUAAAAGUUUAUUUUAUUUGGAAGAAAAACUUGGAAGAUAAAAUGAGGGCAACUGAUAUAGUUACCUAGCUAUGAGGCUUUAAAAAAAAUGAGUUUUAACGAAAAGCCCACGGUAUUGUUCACUUUAACGAAAAACCACAUUUUAACACUAAAAAGUCAAACUCAAUUUACCCUUUAUUUUGUCUUUAUUGUAAAAACUCAAAGUUUUCAAGCCCUUUCAUUAGUUUUCCUUUUAAAAAAACAAUAAAAUUUUUUUGUGCUUAAAUAACUAUAUUGCCCAUAAUUUUUAUUUUGGUUAUUUUCUUAGUUUUAGUCUCUUUUGGUUGAUAAAGAGAAUAGUGUUAAUAAGUUGUUUAGAUAAUUAAAUGUACAAGUGCAUAAGCAUGCUAAUUUAAACAUUAUUCUUCUUCCAUGAAAAUUCCAAGAGCAUGCAAAUUGGGGAUCAUGAGAAUAAAUUAGAGUUUGAAAUGCCCAUUGGCUUCUUCCUAUCAUCCUGUCCAAGCCUUGCUCUAACUACCAACAUCAAAGAUUCCUUUUUAGUUGAUCAAGUUUGGCUUCAUAAUAUAUUGGGAACCAAAUCUAUAUAAGAAAAGUUGAUUGGGUUUGCCACUCUCAAUUCACUCAAAUUAUAACACACGUAUUGACCUUUGAGCUCGUAAUUUUAGGCUGUUUAUAAUUUAGUUUUUUAGAUACAAAUAAAAAACAUGAGUUAUAUUGUUAGAUAAACUGAUACAUUAUAUUAACAUGUCUAUCACAUAGAGUAUCAUAUAAAGUAUAUAUAUUAUUAGUUCACUACAUUUAUCUUUAUGGUAAAGAGCAUAUUCUAUUUCGAUAGGGUCAUCUACUAAUAUUAUCAAUAGCUUAUUAUCAUAUCGACAAUUUAUCAUUUAGUAAAGAAGUAUAACUAGAAAUAAACUGAUCGUAAUAUUAUAUAUGCCAUGCGGAUCGUUGUAUAUACAGAAUUAUUGUAAUCCAAUCCAAAUUUUUUUUUUUUUUGGUAUGCUUUAGGUUAAGAGACAAGUAGAAGAUUUAAUUUGGACCAUCGUCUAUGUGACCUGUAUGAAACCCUAAAGAACCUGUUAAGCUUUAAGAUUUGGGACUAUAAAAUAUAUGAACCUGUAUAUAUAUCACGCUUGCCCUCAAAACAUAGGACAUUGAGUUCCCUUGAGGAUUCUGUACAGCACAUUCUUUUUCCUACUUUUUCAUUAAAAUACAAGGCAAAAUGCAUGAUCAAACUUGACCUUGAUUUUCCUUGCUGCUACAAAAUUGCAAAACCUAAUUAUACUGCCGACGAAAGAGAAAAAAAACAAGAAAAACCUGACUUUAUAUAUUUUUAGCAUCUGCAUCAAGAAUUAAGAAUAAAAAUAGAGAAAAAUGUUUCUUUAACAACCGAAGAAACUUUGAGAGUCUCUUAAGUCACUUAAUAGUACGGUUUAGUGAUAAUUUUUUCAUUUGUAAACGAAUGGUCUUGAGUUUGAAUCUCGUAAAAGAUGAGUUCGAUAUCAAAUUAUUCUUGUAAUGCAAAUAUGUUGUAGUAUAAAUAAAAAAAAUAACACAUUGUAGCUAUCUACUCAUGUUGAGAAUAUAGUUACUUAAGUUUGGCUGUUUAGUUUUAGAAACCCUAACCACUGUCUUAACAAUUUCUUAAUUGGAUGAUUAUAUUAUAUUAAACAGGUGACCGACACCUACUAGCUUACAAGAUGACAUUGUUAGCAUCAUUCGAUUUUAAGUUAACAUUUGAACUGUUAGAUAUUUUCCUACUUUUUCCCAAUUAAGCAUGAAAUUUAACACACUUUUGUGAGAAGUCAAUAAUAUUUGCGUGUGGGGAAGAACUAUGCCAACCUUUUAUUAGCAUAUUCAAUCUUGACGGAGCUGGUCCCAUAGGAUAAGUUUUCCUGGAAGACAACAACACAUCAAAGUAGUUUCUAUUUUAGAGAUUGAAUAAAAAUUUUAUUAACAACGACCAAUAAUACAUAAGGUGAACAUGUUAAACGUAAUCAAGAGAUUACAUACGCUAAAUAAAGCAUUACAAAUUUAUAGUUACAAACUCAUGAGCGUCAUACAAUUCCUUAGUUACGAAGGACCCUACCACAAAAAAGAUAAUGCCCUCAAGGACUAAACCUUGCAAAUUGUCGAACUACCGUAAAGGUACCAUGAGAAAAAGACUGCACAGACCUCUGAUGAUCUUGCAACUGUCCGCAAAGAAGCACUGCUAUGAGUCACCUCUAACAAGUAUCAAACUUCCUCUUCACAAUCAUUUGACAUGUGCACAAUACCACACAAGAAACCCAAAACCAACUCCCUCGACUCUGAACAAUAGCCAUCACUCAAAGAUUUGAGUUUGAGCAGUAAGUCAUAGGCGCUACAAAGACUUUCUCAAGAGAGCGAGAGCGAUCAUAACCAAAAAAUAUAGAUAGUCAGAAGAUACGAUAAACAUAAAGGAAAAGGGAAGGAAGAGAUUGUCGCUAAGACCAAACAGGGUCCGCGACGAAGGGUUUUUCUCUCUAUCGGCUAUAUAUCGCAUGAGUUGAAGUUAACACAUGCAAUAAGAAAAUCACUAGCGAAUGCACUACGACUAACUAAACUGAAAUAUUGGUUUUUUCAAUAUUUUGUUUCACAUAAUUUUUUUUGACCUUACGUGGUUAAGAACAGUUAUUCAGGAGUUCUUGGUACCGGCCAAGCAAAAAUAAUAUGAAUAGCGAGCCAUCUACACGAGGCAAAUGCUUGUUCUUAUGCUUUUUUAAUAUAGGGCGGUGACUAACUAAAACAUUGAUUUAUAGAGCCAUAUUUUGCUAAGAUAAAACACACCAUUAAGGCUUGUUUAGUCAGUUGUCUCAAACUGACAAGAAAGGCAGUUGAGAUGUAAACAUGUGAGUUUUUAGGUGGAAGCUUCUAUCAUAUAUAUGUUCACGAUUUAAUAUCGAACUAACUAUAAAUAUAUCGGCAUUGCAUUCAUAUGAGCUGAGCUUAAGACCAGCGAUCAACUAAGUGAAGAUCGGAUGUUGCUUGACCAACUCAUGAUGUGCAUAUUGUUUAUGCUUGAUUCACAUUUUCAUUUUUCUGGAAAAUGAUACGAUAUUCAUUACAAUGAAGAGAAUACAUAAAAAUGAUCAGGUGUAAAAAAUAUCAAUUCGUUAAAACCUUGCUGGGAUUCCUAAACCCUAAUUCACACUUGAGAAAAAGGGUUUUUCUUGUUCUUUCCCCCCAGGAGAUUUUAGGGUUUCUUAAAGUUCAUUUGGGAGUUUGAUUUAGUAAUUGUCAAGGUAUUCCUAAAUCUCAUUGGAUUCUAUUUAAUCAUAUUCCAUGCUUGGGUGACUAAUCUGAACUCUUUUAAACUUUUUAAAGUAGUCUUAAGGGGCCAAAGACAAAGGCUUAUCUUCCAAAGCACUAUUAUCUUAUUCUAUAUUCUCCACUUUAAGCGAAGCCUUGUGCAAUGCUCAAAAACCAAGUGCAAAGUAUAUGAAAUUUGAAAAACGAUUCUGUAUAAGUAAGCUAAUACAAGCUUAGAAUUCGUUAUCAAUCAUUAAAUCAUCCCAUAGAAGUUAUUAUGUGCUAUUUAUACAAAAACACUAAUUUUUUAAAUCGAGCCUUUCACGACAAUCAAAUUGUCAAAUCACAAUGCAUGUUUUGUACUUCCAUACCCUAAUAAUUUAAAGGGGUACCUAUAUACAAGCGUGUUUACAAUACAUACGGUGGAUGACCAGAUUCAAAAACCAAUAAAUUCAAGUACAACAUUUUAAUUAUCAUUUUUGUGGAUGACUCCCUCAUAAUUUAAACUUAAGACAUUUUUUAAUGUUGAGAAGAGAAGUAUCACUAAAUGAAUAGUUGAACGAUAACUUAAUUAGCUCUAUAGUACUAAACAUUGCCAUAUAUGAUCAGGAGUAAGGCAUGAAUUCAGGUGUCUGUACAGGUAGGUUCACAAAACAAAACAAUAAAUGAUGAACAUGGACAACAUGUGAAGUCAUGCAGAUGGAGAUGGACUGUACAUGCAUUGCAGUGAGCAGAUAAUAAUAAUAAUGAAUAGUUUAAGAAGCAGAGACGUGUUAUGUAGUCUAUGUAUCUGAAAUGUGAAGCAAUCUGACAUUUCAACCUAUAGCUAGGUAUAUGAUCGAGUCCUCAGCCUCCUGCAUUCACUGUACCAACCAAUCCUGCUACUGCUAAACAUGAUUGAUCCUGCUCUAAGAAAUGGAACUGGAUCCUCCUUGAGCUCAGGAUGAGGAUCCUUCUGAGCAGUCCAUUCGGACCGUUGAAAUUUAAUCCAACGGCUUCAAAUAGGGGGUUCCUCUAAAAGUUAUAAUAAUUACAGCCGUUGGAUCAAGUUUGAACGGUCCGGAUGGGUUACUCAUGAAGAUCCCCAUCCUGAGCUCAGAAGAGGAUCCAGUUCCCUAAGAAAUGCAAAUGCCGCAAGCUGACAUAUUAGUUGACUAUAAUAUAUACAUACUCUCUCGGUCUUUCACCUAUAGCUAGUAGCUUAUUGGUUCUUGUAUUGUGAAACCCUAAUGAGAUAUUUACUUACAUAACGGGAAGUAAAAAAUCGAGAAACUUAUGAAUAAAAGAAAUGUGGAAUGAGAACUGGAUACAACGUACUACUUUCCUUAGUUGAUGUAAUUAUUGGUUUUGACGAUAUUGGGUUAUAGAUUAUAAGAUGAAAUUCACGUACCUAAUAAAUGCUGAAAAGUCAGGAAUUGUAGUGAUUUACUUUGCUCGAGUACCAAUUCAUGAUAAGUAAUAACAUGCAAUAGGUUAAACAUCGGCCAUCUUGUGAACGAGAGUUUAUACAAACACUUAGGUAUUGUUUGGUAUGCAGAUGGGAUGAGACAAAAUGGAAUCGGAUGGGAUAGGACGGAACGGAACGGACAGGAAGCAAAGAUGUCCUCGGAUGGAAACAAGGAGGAAGAAAAAGGAGACGGAGAGGUUAUAAUUUUGUGUUCCAUGGAUGUGGAACGAGUCGUUCCAGGGGAUGAGGGCGAAUGAAAAUUCACUCAAAAUUAGUCCUGGGAAACAACGCGUUCCACCCGUUUUAGGCGCACCAAACGUGGGACGGAACGUCUCGUUCCCCUUUAUUCCGUCCCGUUCCACGUACCAAACGGUACCUUAAUCAACAGUUACAAAACAAAAAAUCAACUUCAACGGAUCCAUGCCCAUGCACGGUGCACCCAGAUUGCAUUUUCCCCCGAGAAAUAAUUUUCAAUUUUAUUUUCAAAAACAGAUGAUAUAUUAGUAUAUUAUCAGGGGUAUUUUGGGGUCAGGAGCGUAUACAAUUUGGUACGGAGUUGCAGUCUGUUUCCUUGACUAUUCCGACCUACUAAAUUUGAACAUCCCAACCUCAAUGAUUAAAAAAAAAAAUAGAAAUUCACAAAGCUCAAGGAAAGAAAAAUUUGCAAAUUUCAUGAAAUGAUUAAAUAUUCAUAAAUAUGAGAAAUUUUUAAUUAUGAUCGAAAUACGGAUGGUACACCACGUGUUUUUAUGUAAGUGAUGAAAAAUUUUAUUUUUUAAGUUAUUAACUUUUUAACACAUGUAUCCCACCAUUUAUAUAACGACAUGUAACGUAUCAUUCCGUAUGACGAUCACACUACAAAAUCUUUCCAUAACUAGGGCAUCAAAAGGUCUUUGGUUAAUUUGCUGUCCAGUCUGUUCAUUUGACCUUUGAACCCCCCCCUUUUAUGCUUUCCUUUCACAAUUUGUGCUCAACAUUUCUUCAAGGUCACCUGAUUAAUUGUCCCCCAUGUAAUCAUAACCCCUUUUUGUAUUUAAAUACAUUUAUUUUAUUUAAAAAUGGAUGUUUGACUAACAAAAACGUUUUUUGUCGUAAGAAAACGUUGUUAUUUCUUCUUAAAAUAAUGCCAAGAAGGGAAUACGAAUUUGUAAACUCUCAAGUUCACACUUUUUUUUCGUAAUUUGGAAUAUAAUCAUGUUGAACAAAAUAUUAUAAAUUCUCUAGAGAAAAUGAAAAUACCGAAAAUAGGGUCUUGUGUUAAAUGCUAAACCUGAUUAAGUUUCAGAUUGUCUGUCACCCUCGGCACGCAUUUAGACAUCACUAUAAAGGAUUAAAACAAAUAAAAAGAAGGGAAAGAGAGAAAUUUGAAGAAACAGCAAAAGAAAGCUUCAAUUUUUUUCAUGCUUCUGUUUUACUGUAUGUAAUGUUGUAAGGCAGUCUCUCUCUCUCUCCCUCCUCCUCAUCACCUACCACUGACAACUCCACCCCUUCUUAUUAACCCCACCACCACCAUUUGCUCUCUCCAGAAUUCCAUGUGCCUCUUCUCUUCUCCAUUCCCCUUGGACUGCACAGACACACAUUAGCCUCUGUUCUUGUGAGUUGUGAACCCCCAUUUUUGUUUGGAGUUUUUCAAAGGGGCAAGUGCUUGUGGGGAAGAGUGUUGCUCUGCCUCUGUCUCACCAUCUGAGCUUGGAUACAAAAACCUAUUUCCCAAUUGAGAAAACCCAGUAAGGAACCCCACCAAUAUUUACAUUACAAAUAAUGGGAUUGAUUUGGUUCUGUGGCAGCAGCCCCAUUUCCAAGCUGGUUUUUUCUGGGUUCUUUGGAGAUCUAGAAGAUUGAGUUGAAGAAGCCUUUCAAAUUGAAUUUGAAGAAUAAAGGUACCGAUUCAGAAACUUCCAGUGUAUGGAGCCUCUCUAUAUGGUUACUUUUGCUGCAUUUAUAUACAUUAUAUAUAUAUAUAUACAUUAUAUAUAUAUACAUAUAUAUAUAUAUAUAUUCCCUGUUUGUUUGCUGAGCUAAAUGUGGAAACGAUUAGGAAAUGGAGUUUCUGAAGAUUUUACUGUUCUUGUUGUUAACCUGUAGAAUGUUAAAAGUUCAUGCUUGUUUCAACUUUUGUGGGUAAUGUAGAACUGGACUGAGCUAAGCCAAGCGGUUGUUGUAUUAGGCUUAUUGGGUUUCUGCAGUUAUUGGUUUAAUUGGGUUGGGUAAUAAAUGUUUAAAGUUUUGGUCUUUUCGAUUGUGUAUAUAUUGGACAAUAUGGAAUGAUGUGGGAAAUGCAUUAGUUGGUCCUGUUGUUAAUAUGUUUUCACUGUAUGAAAGUGGGUGGAAUUGGAAAGGAGAAAUCUUUGUGCAUUUUUUCCUACUUUUCCUUUGGUUUGUAGUUUGAAUGUCAUAUUGAGGCUGAGUUUGUUUCCGUGAUCACUUUGGUGUUAUGUGAUCUGCGUAGUCUUUGUGAGAUUGUGGAUUGUGGUUGAGUCCGUUUCCCUGACCAUGUUGGUUUUCCGCUCUCUCUCUCUCUCGCACUACAUAUUUGUUUCGUAGCACACUAACUUCUACCGCUUUGUUUACUUUUAUUAUGUUCCCAAUUUGUGAAUAUGUGUUUUGUCUUUGAAAAGAAAAAAAUUGAUGGCAUUGAAAGAGGUGAAAUUUUACAUAGACAAGCAGUUAAAUUCAGUAACAAAAUGGUAGAUAUGCAAAAGAUAGAGUUUUUUAUGCAUGGAAUUGGAGUUUCUAAUUUCUUUGUUUUGAACUCUGCAGGGUCCUUUUUAUCAAGAGUAAAUGGCAUCUGGUCUUGAUACUGUAUUAACCAAGAAGACAUUUGUCUUCGGUUUAAAGGUUUGGGUAUUAACGGGGAUCAUUGUGGGAGUUUUUAUAGUGAUGAUUCUUGCGGUGAUAUCAAUUUGUCUUACUUCGCGAAAGAGAUCCAGAAAGUCUACUGACAUGCUUCCUCUGCGCAGAAUUCCAAAUGAUUCAAAGGAAAUCAAAGAGAUUAGGGUAGAUCAAGCUUGUGCAAAUAACUACGUACCCCGUAGUAGUUCUUUUCUCACCCUUGGCGAUAAAUUCAGUGACAGAGAGUCUGAGAAAGUUUUGAUCCAUAAGAAUGGAGAUGGUAGCAGUCGAUCAGGCUCAUUUAACAAUGGGGAGAAGGAAAAUGUUGGUUCUCAAUCUGGAGAUGAGUGUGGUGCAGCUUAUAUGUAUGAGCCUUCUUCACAGCCUAUAACUGCACCUUCACCUCUAUCUGGUCUACCUGAAUUCUCUCGCCUUGGUUGGGGUCACUGGUUUACAUUAAGGGACCUUGAGUUCGCAACAGGUCGGUUUUCAAAGGAAAAUGUCAUUGGUGAGGGUGGAUAUGGAGUUGUUUAUCGGGGUAAUCUGAUUAAUGGAUCUCCUGUGGCUGUGAAGAAGCUACUCAACAACCUGUAAGAUGCAUCUUAUUUCAGUAGCUUUAUGGAUUUCUGUUUUUUCUAUCUUCUGUUUUCCUUACAAUUCAAUUGCUUGGGCUUAUAACAUAUAUAUUUUCAAUCAUCACACAGAGGACAAGCAGAGAAGGAAUUCAGAGUGGAAGUUGAGGCUAUUGGGCAUGUACGACACAAAAACUUGGUUCGACUUUUGGGAUACUGCAUCGAAGGAACCCACAGGUAUUUCUCUGUAAUUUUAUGUAAUGACUUCUACAUGGUAAAAUACAGGCAGUCAUGUUAUUAUUUGCUGAGCACCUUGUUUGGAUAAAAUAGAGAGUACUAUGUCACAUCCUUAGUUACAUGUAUAAUCCAUUCAUACUUAAAACAUGUGUGUUUUGUUCAGGUUGCUGGUUUAUGAAUAUGUCAACAACGGAAAUUUGGAGCAAUGGCUUCAUGGAGCGAUGCGUCAUCAUGGAUAUCUCACAUGGGAGGCACGCAUGAAAGUUCUCCUUGGCACCGCUAAAGCGUAGGUCUUCCUAUACCUUUGUUUGAGUUUUUCAUCCUUGUGGUUUAUCUUUUUCUGACUCUUUUUUUCACAUAUUUCAGGCUGGCUUAUUUGCAUGAGGCCAUUGAACCCAAAGUUGUGCAUCGAGACAUUAAGUCGAGCAAUAUCUUACUUGAUGAUGAUUUCAAUGCUAAGAUAUCUGAUUUUGGUCUGGCAAAGUUGCUAGGUGCCGGGAAGAGUCAUAUUACAACUAGAGUUAUGGGUACCUUUGGGUGAGUACCUUUUCUCCCUUAGGAACAGUUGCAAUUUCUUGUACGAAGAUUCUUGUGUUGGUAGAAGAACACUAUAUCAUAAUUCUAGAGUAAUCCUUUCUUAUCGGUUCCUUUCAUCAUUCUGUUUUUCAGAUAUGUGGCCCCAGAAUAUGCCAACUCUGGCCUUCUAAAUGAGAAGAGUGAUGUUUAUAGCUUUGGGGUUGUGAUUUUGGAAGCAAUCACUGGAAGAGAUCCGGUGGAUUAUGGUCGGCCAGCACAAGAGGUAUGACAAAAUUGUUACUGUUUUGAAGUGAGAAUUUGGAGAUCAAAUAUGCAUCUUAGUUUUGCAUUCGUAUAUUGAUUAGUUAAGGAUGCAUGUCAUAUUCGAUAAUCUGCUUUUAAAUUCAUUUUAGUUUGCACAGGAAAAUUCUUUGCUUCCGAACAAAUGGAUACCCCAAAAAAACCUUGGAGUUGUUUGAUAUGUUCUGUGACAGCUAACUAUCUUUAUAUCUGCUUCCUUUAGGGGAACAAAAAAGAAGAAAAAGGAAUGAUACCUGUGUAGUAACAGUUGCCCUUACACCUGCUGUGUGCAUCUUGUAGGUAAAUUUGGUGGAUUGGCUCAAGAUGAUGGUUGGAGGCAGGCGUUCAGAAGAGCUGGUAGAUCCGAACAUUGAGACCAAGCCAUCUACGAGUGCCCUUAAACGAGCCCUCUUGACUGCACUGAGGUGUGUAGAUCCAGAUUCUGAUAAAAGGCCUAAGAUGGGUCAAGUGGUUCGCAUGCUUGAAUCGGAGGAGUAUCCCAUACCUCGAGAGGUACGUUUCUGAAAUCAUCUUUGAAAUAACAAUGCUAAACAGACCUUAUAUCCAUUUGACACAAAUAUAGAUUUCAUUCGAAUUUUUGGCUUGCGUGGCUUGUUUUUUCAAUUCAUCUCAUCGUUAUACUCUGAGGAGUUCAUAAGUUGAUCUAUGUAAUGUAACUUGGCUGGAAUUCAGGACCGAAGACGCCGCAGAAGUCAAGCAGGGAACACAGAAGCCGAGUCUCUAAAUUCUGAUACAGAUUGGAGUGAGAAGCCAACUACAAAGACAGAUAGCAGAAGGAACCGUCGAACAUAGGCAAAUGGCGAAUCAAUCAUAGAAAUGCAAGGAAUACAAAUCAAAGGGGACAUGUUACACUCGUUUAAAGCUUUCAUAUUCUUCAGCCUACCAUAGUUGUGAUCAAAGGAAGGAACUGAAACGAGAUAAAGGAAAGGACCAGAACGAAAGGAACUUUUUUUUACUUGUUUUUUUGAAUAUAUAAACCUACUUAUAGGUGUUGAGAGAUGGUUUUUGUGUAUGGAGUGGCACUAGAAGGGGAUGCCUUAGCCAUCGAGUGUGUACAGUUAUCGGUUUUUUCUCUUCCUUUUUUUCUUUAGGUGAUUGUAAUUCAUGAGAUUUUUUCUGAGACAUGCUAAAGUUUACAGGAAGAAACGUUUUUGGCUUGCAUUGUGUGUUUCUACUACCAGCAUUGUGUUAGGUUUACGACCGCGACGGGAGCUUGGUUGAAUGUCAAGCCAUGUUGCCGUGCAUUUGAAGCAAACUGUGAGAUGUGAAACUCAGCACAAGGAAAGGCAGUCAUAUAAUUGCCAAGUUCAAUAUAAGGGUUGCGUGUCAUGUGAUUUUGGAGGCUAAAAUUGCACAUCAUGUGCUUUGAUUUAUUGCUAAGCACGGGAAGGCUAUUUUUCUCCUUUCAUGCUCCCAACUUUUCUUGAGUAAUUGCAGACACACAGUACCAACACAUUUAAUUGUUCGAUUUGAUUUAACGCUCGUUGGUCAUUCAGUUUAAACCGUUGGAUCAAAUCCAAGGCUUUGUAUUUUUACAGAUAGGAUUGAAUAUGGCUAUGCAUUUUUUGUUUUUUUUGUUAUGCUUGGCAAUAUUAACCAGACAACGCUUCAAAUUAAAAUGGUGUUUGAACAUGUUAUCCAACAACCAAAAGGGGUCAUGAGCAUUAUGGGAUGAUUUGUUCCGCCGAAUCCAUGGACUAAACAAAUACGCAUAUGUGAAUUAAGCCAGUUGAAAAAGGCUCCGUGUCUAACCCGUGCAUCCAAGCUCAAAUCACCCUCCUCAUAAAUUAGAAUAAUUUAAAAUAUCAUCUCGCCAAGAAUAAAAACAUAAAUACACUGUUUGGUCCCCUCACAACAAAAAGCUAUAUUCUGCACUAUGUUUGGAAUCUUAUUCUCUGCAAAUUUAUGUGCUGUUCCAGGAGACUAAACAGACACCCAAGAAAAGGUUGUUGAUUUAGAAAAGUCGAAUAAUCCAAGGCUCCAAUAAGGAACUUUUGAACAGGUAACAGAGUCACCGUGAAUUACAUAGGGGAUCAUUAAGAUUUUGAUGAGCAAAAGGAACCGAAGAAUGGUAUGAUCUACAGAAACUGUGUUUACAAAACGAAUCUCAAUAAUGUUGUCUGCACGAACGAUUGACAGGUCGGGAAUCCAGAAGCUUGUUGUUUCAAUGGUGGGGAGCGGACCGAGCAUGCAAAAGAGGCUGUAGAGCCUUGACAACAAUGCUCAUAUUUGGCCGGAAAUCAGCUUCAUAUUGGACGCACAAGGCGGCAACAGCAGCCAACUGUUUCAAGCACACAAAUUGUGAUCAGUGGAUUUGAAGUAAACCAACUGCCUGCCUUUUCAAUUAGUCUAUAACUGGCCAGACCAAAAGUAUGUCGUGUUCUUGUCCAUCCAAUCAACAAUUUAAAGAUAACAUAAUUAUAUAUGUGUGUAACUGUGUAUACAUAUUAAGGAAUCGCAGCAAUGGCAAGUAUUUCUUGGAAUCAAGUAAACUGGUGGUGAAUAAUUACUCAAUGUGUUCCCGAUUACCUUUGCAACUGCCUUGGAAGGGUAUUCUCCAUUGAGUCUAGCAUCAACACACUGCUUCACCUUAUCCUCACUGAGUUUUGGUGUUGCCUAAUAGAAUCAAAAAUUCGAGAAAAAAACUCAGCGAAAUGAAAGAUGAAAACCAGUAACCAAUAAAAUUCUCCGCUUCCACCCGUCCUGAAUGAAUAAAACAAAAGAUGCAAGAACCAAGCAUGAGUUACAAGUAGACAAGAACUAGGAUGAAAUUAGUACCCAUGUCACAAGGCUCUGCUGCCCACGCGGCAAUGUGUGAUCAACAGGUUUACGCCCAGUCAAGAGUUCAAGCAACACUACACCAAAGCUGUAGACAUCACUUUUUGAACUCAGCUGUCCAGUCAUUGCAUAUCUGCCAUUCGGAAUCACAGACAAGAAUUACAAGGGGAUAUAUGCCAAAUCAAAAUUUUGGGCGUACAUCAUAACGUGAUUAUACGGUACAUCAAGGAAGAAAUUACUCUGGAGCAUGAUAACCAAAAGUCCCAAGAACACGAGUAGAAUGAAGACGUGCUGCCAUAUCAGGUGCUUGAUUUGACAGAUCAAAAUCAGCAAUCUUUGCAACAUCAUCAUCAAAAAGCAGUAUAUUGCAGGACUUAAUAUCACGAUGGAUUAUAUGAGGCUGCGCCUUUUCAUGUAGAUAUUCAAGUCCUCUCGCUGCUCCUACAGCAAUUUUAACCCUUUGUACCCAUGACAGAACCGGACCUGGCUGUGCUCCCUUAACACCUUUCCGACCUAUAGCCACAUAAAGAGAAACAAAUUUCUAUUAGCAUAGAGAUGAAGGCGAUCUUACUAAUUAUCAAAGAGAUAAAGCUCAAAAAUUUGCAGCUGAUGAGCAAUUUUCUAUUGUUUGGAGGCCAACCCGCUCGUUUCGCAGAUUACAUGAAACACUAGGCGUCAUUAAACACAAACAACUAUCAUCAACUAAUUGACCUUCAACCUAUAAGUUAUUAAGCCUCAUUCAAAAUUUGUAAACCAAAAAAAAAUUCUGUGUGCAUAAAGCUUCACUAAAAAAAGAUCUAUGUGGUACUUGAUUAAAAAUUUACAACUUUUGGAGGCUGUAAAUAACACCACACGAUAGGAAUGUGGAAAUGUUACUUACCAUGGAGAAUAUCAUGAAGGGACCCCUUAGGAGCAUACUCAUAGGCAAGGAGACGGAGAGGGCCAUCAAUACAAUAACCAACAAGCUCGACAGCAUUCUCAUGUUUUAGUCUUGAAACCAUGGAGACCUGUAAAUUUAUGCUCCAAGCAUUAAAUAAAUUUGAGUAUCAAAUAGCGUACCAUGUCAAGUAUCAAACACAAAACAUUCCGCAGACUUAACCUGCGAUAAGAAUUCUCGCUCCGGUUGUUUACUGGAGUCUAACUUCUUAAUAGCUGCAGCAGGCCCACUUUUCAGAACACCAUGAUAUACUCUUCCAUAUGAACCCUCACCGAUUAAAGAUUUCGUGCCAAAGUUAUCUGUCAAAUCUUUCAAUUCAUCCACUGGAAUGGCAGCGACAGCGAUGGGGAGGAUAUUUACAACCUGAGUAUCCUUGGGUGCAGCUUCUUUCUGAUAGUAACCUCCACUAUUGCCUAAAUUUCAAAUGUCGAGUUUUGCAUCAAUCAAACAAUAAGCCGUAAACAGUGGAUAUCUAAAAUCAAAUGGCAUAGAAGUUGACCUGACUAAUUCCAACUGAAAAAGUAAUGGAAUAUGUCAUUAUUAUCAAUGCACUCAGAAUAAGAACAUCGUAUAUAUACACCCACGCGGUACCUGCUGAGUGAUUUGUCACAUGCGGUCGAGUCUCAGAAGCUUUACGGACAUCAUCUUGUACACAACAACUGAAGCAGCUCAUGAUGUUUUUAUCUGAAGAAACAGUUGAAAACCAUCUUAAGCAAUCUUACGUUGACAGACCGCGGGCGAUAAAAUUUAUCUAACAAAGAUCAAUGGUUUCUGGAUAGUUAUAAAGUCUGGCUUAAUUUCAGACUAGUUCAAUCUGUUAUAAGUUACUAAAACCUCAAUGAAUUAACAUGCUUUAUUCUAAAUCAAUGUUAUUCAAACAAGAGAAACGAUGAAGAAGCACUUGGAUAUCACCCAAAAAAUUAAAAAAACACAACCAAAAAUCUGUAUCAAAAGUUAAAUCCAUCAAUUUAUUCAUUUCACAAAUUAAACCAAAUCAAAGUAAAAAUUCAAAAUUCCCAUUUAAGAUCCAUCAACAAGGAGAGAUUCAUUUUUACAACAGAACAUAAAAUUCAAAGCUUUCUAUUUCUACAUGUUCCUCUUGAGUCCUGUCUCAAAAAAACAAAACAGAUACACAAUAAAUCAAAAGAAAAAGAAGCCACAAUUAGAAAAAAGUGCAUCUAAAACAAAUAAAUUUACAAAAAAUAAAAAAUAAAAAAAAAGUAGCAGAAUUGUGGGGGAAUGAUAUCUCUCACCUUGGUAUGUUUAUAUGGUUCUUCUGGCAAUUGGGUUUUUUGAGUUUUGAGUCAAGUGUUGGGAUUGGAGUGAUGAGAGUGAUCAGGCCGGCUAUGGAGGCCCGCAGGAGAGGGAGAGGGGAAGGAGGCGCACGUCAGCAAUGUACAGAAGGCAUGCAAAUGGGGAGGUUGGGAUGUCUGUCUGUCUCUCUGUCUCUCUGUUCUGGCUUUGACUUACGUUAGAAGAGAGGACACAAAGACAACAACCGAAUUUUGUGUUUCCACUCUUAAACUCCUCGGUCUUCACGAUCUUCUGCGCAUUUCGAAACUGUCAAAAACCAGUUGGGAUGUUAAAUCUUUUUAAUUUUUUUUUUAAUUUGAUAUAAAUAUCUCUUCACUCAAUUGCGUUCUUAGUUUAAGUUCUCUGAUUUAUUUUUAAGUGUGCAUUAACGUAAGAUAUCGCUUCUAAACAGUACAAGUAACAACGCCAUUUACAGUUAUUAAUUAAAAUUUUAAUAAAUAAAAAUAAUAGUGCUGUUUUCUAAAAAAGUAAAACAUCAAAAGUAUUAAUCAUACUAAAAACUAACAUUUGUCUACAUACUUUGUAUGUAUGUACAUAUUUUUUUUUUAGAAAAUAAGAAGGAGAGAGAAAGCGUGUAGGGUGAGAGAUUUUUGUUUUUGAUUUUGAUUUUUUGAUUUUUUGAUUUUUUUUAAAUAUUGAAGGUAUUUUAACAUCACAUGUAGGUGAUGUUUUAAUAAAAAAUAAUAAAAUUUGGACCUAUGAAAUUACAUUAUUGCCUAUCUUUUUUUUUGGUGUCAUAGAAGACUAAUUUAUCUUUUCACUCUCUUUUGAUUGACAAAGAGAGUUUUAUUAAUUAGUAGAAAUAUUAAGGCCAUCUCCAACCGAUGGCUGGCCAGAUGGCUCGUCUCAGCCCUCUGGCCCUCCAAGAUUCUCCAAGAUAUUAAUAAAAGGGGAUGAAUAGUGAGAACAAGUUCAACCCAAAAAAGAAAAGCAAUAGAAAAAAAAGAAAACUAAUGAAAAAUGUUUGAAAACUUUGAGUUUUAACGAUAAGGGUGAAAUAAAGAUUAAAGUGAAUAGUACUAAUAUUGACUUUUUAGUGUAAAAAUAUUAUUUUUUAUUAAAGUAAACAGUACCGGAAACUUUUCGUUAAAGUUCUUAAAAAAAAAAAGAUGAAAACCCAGUUGACGUGUUAUUUUGAUGAAAGUGGCUGGCACAUUGUUUGUAUAUAUUACUCACGUACUUUCUAUACAUAUUAAACUACAUAAAGCAGAGCAAAGCAAUUAUUCCUCUCCAAAAUUCUUCUACCCAAUCUCAGUUUAUAUGUGCAUGUUACGCCUCGUUGCAACGUCAUCUUGAGUCAUGGGUUGUUCAUUUAGAUUAGUAAAUUAUUUCGCUCCUUAGAGGUGUGCGAUGCAAGAAGAUUUGUAACUAACUCGUUUAAUUACGAAUAUUUACAUUUGCAUCGGAUGAUUUACGGUAUUAAGUUCAAACCUCUCCUUGACUCUUGUCCUUUGAUUUUAAUAUAUGUUAAUUCCAGAUUAAAUUAUGUUAAUGUGAUUUGCAUUACAUUUUUAUAUGCACCGCCGUUUUGAAGAUGUGGAUUCUGGAGGGAUUGUUCCUCUGUGUAAGUAUGUCUUAAUGGGCUUUUAAAUUUAGAUGCUUUGUUAGAUAAUUUUUCAUUGUGGCUGAAACGUUAAAGCGUACUCCAUAUAUUAUUAUACAAUUAGAAGGACAUUUAAAAAAAAAAAACUUUCUACUGAUGACAUGUGAUGUAUUGUACUAUGUUCUAAAUAUGCUGAAAAAUUUCUCGCCUCAUUGACCGUUUUCAUUGACUAAACAUCGAUUUCUUUUAAACUUUUGAUUAAAAUGCUUUUUUCUAGUUAAUUAAGCCAUUUUAUGUACAAAAUUACACUUAUGAUAUAUUUUCUUUGUCAAAAGAUAAAGUUUUAUUGAAUUCCAAUAUAAACGUUUUCAUUUUCAGCAAGAAUAUUAAAAAAAAAUCUGGAUCAAGAACAUCCCACCGGAAAUCACCUCCAUGCGAGGUAACAUAUGAGGCUACAGCAUCCAUAACGACAUUUCCUUUUCGCUUUACAUACAAAAACCUCACCUCUCCUUGUUGAGACACCAAACAUAUAAUGUCACGAAUAAAACAUUCCAAACUAGCAUCUAUAGAAUACGCUUCUUGAAGCAUUCGAAUCAACGACUGAGAAUCAGAUUCGAUUUCCACCAACGCAGCACGAAUCGCCGCAGCUUCAGCCAUAGCCGCGUUGUUGAAGAAUAAACCCCCUGCGCCACCCGCCAUUUGCAACAACCCUGCGAAAUCCCUCAUAACCCAUCUGUAUCCUCCCUGUAAAGACUUCCCACACCAGGCACCGUCACAAUUAACCUUUAGUACACCAUAGGUGGGCCUCCUCCACCGUACCUGCUGCUCAGCAAAAAUAGCACCAUUCGUUUCCACAUAGGAGUCAGCAGCCUGCUGAUUGGUAAUAUGGCAUGCUUUAAAUUCUAGGAGUAGAUGCCGCACCAAAUUAACCCCAUCCAUAGGAUUAAUUAAUGUACCUUUGAAAACCAUUGCAUUUCGACUCUUCCAGAUUCUCCACUAGACAAACACGCACUCCUGCAAAAGAAGACAUACCAUUGCUAAAUGAAAACGUACCAAUGCCAAAUUAAAAUAUAUCGACGCUAAAUCAAAAUGUAUUGAUGCGAGGUGAAUAAGUCUCAACACAAAAUGAAAACGGUCAAAUUAAAAUGUAUCGACCAAAUUUAUUUACCGGUAUUAGACAAAGUACGGACCUAAUUUAUUUACCCGUUCUAUACAUGUCACUUCAAGUAAUGCUUAGAAAGUACAUGCCUACUAACACACAAUUAACUUUAUAAAUUAAAUAUGAAAAUAGACGUACAAAUCAACAAUAUUAAUAAAAUCGCUUUGAAAAAUAUGUAUAAAGUUAAAUUGAUUAUAGAAACAAACGUACCAAUCAACAAUAUGAGUAAAAUUGCUUUAAAAAAUAAUAUAUAUAUAUAUAUAUAUAUAAUCAAACGAUUGUGGUGGCACUAGUGGCGGUUGUGACAUUCGCUAAAUUGCUCCGGUCAUUAGUAUGGAUAAGUAUGUAAAUGGAUAGAGAUAGGGAAGCAAACUCAAGAUGUAUGUGGUUCACCCAGAUUGGCUACGUCCACGGAGUAGAGGAGUUCUCAUUAGUUGUGAAGGGUUUACACAAGUACAUAGGUUCAAGCUCUCUUUUAGUGAGUACAAGUGAAUGAUUUAGUACAAAUGACAUUAGGGAAUAUUGUGAGAGAAUGAUCUCUAUUUAUAGAAGAGAGUUUCUAGUUUCAUUCUGACUUUGACACGUGUCGUGUUGUGAUUGGCUUCUGAUGUUGACACGUGUCGCGAUAUGAUUGGCUUCUGAUGUCGACACGUGUCGCGCUGUGAUUAGCCUCCUGGUUGGAGGGAAACUCUUCUAGGUCCUUGAUAGUAUAACGUUGACCCGUGCUCAGUAGUUUCGGGAUUGGUCAAGUAUGGUACAAACAGUGCUCCCCUAAGUUCCUGAGUGAGGGAAGCUCCUCGGUUGGGGACUUGCAAGAUCCAAGCCAUUGAGUAAUCACGAAACUUCUAAGUACCGAAGUGUGGUAUCAUUUUCACUUGUCUUAUCUGUCUCAUACGUAGAUGUGGCAUCUUCUCUGGAAGUACUUUUCCUCCAUCCAGGGGUGAUAUCUUUAACCGAUGAAGAUGCACAAGGUAAUGUAUCAAUUUCACUUGAAGCUUACUUGUAGUUUUGGGCUUGGUCAAAUGCGAUACAAAACCCUAUAGUAGGAGCCCCCCAAGUCGCCGAGCUAGGAGAUUUGCCGAAUGAGGUAACAGACAAGGUAAGCAAUCAGACUUCCAAGCAAGCAACCUGGAUCGGAGGUUCGUCUUCGGAUUCCGGUUGAUUGUUCUUCUUCUCCUUAUGUCGUAAACAACAACAAGGAUAAGGAGAAGCAAAUGGAGAAUAGAUGAUAUGAGAUACUUUUACUUUUGAAGAAGUAUUUUUCCACAUGCGUAUUCUUGAACUGGGCUGGAGGGUUUUCUAGUUUCUUUCAGAGUAUAAGGCUAACUCAAGAAUUUGAGGGUCAAAACAAGUCCAUCAAAUCUAGAGUACGUUUGACCUUGAUGAUAUGUGAUACUUUUGUUGUUGACAAAGUAGUGGAUGUAUCGACACGUGUUCUGUUACGCUUGUCUCCACAUGCUUCCUUGUAUCCUUCUCACUUGCCCUAUCUGUUCCUCAGGCAGAUGUGGUAUCUUCUAUGGAAGCAUAAGAUGUUGAAGAUGAGUACUCGAGAGCAAUGUCAGGUAAGUAAUCAGGCAAGGGGUUCCAGGCAGUCAGUUCCUGACUGGAAGCUUGAUUCCAAGUGCUGACUGAUUGCUCUCUUUCUCCUUGUCUUGCAGGUAAGAACAAUGCCAAAGGAAAAGACAGGGAAAAAGCAUGAUAUGGGAUACUCUUGCUUUUAACCCUGAUGAUAUGAGGUACUCUUGCUCUGGUGUGGCUUGUUUGCAUAGGUAUUAUCGGGAGGAAAAGAAGCUGAGUAUUUCGAGAGACUUUGCUGAGAGUGCCCUCUCGGAUGUGAAGAAAAGUUGAGCAUUUUUUUUAUUUGCAGGUCUGCCUAGCUGUGGAGGAUGGAGGUCGACAUAUAUAGGAGUCUCCUUAACAACAAGUAGUAGUGCUAUUCAUUUACCCUUCUUGGUCAUAGCAAUGUAGUGGGAGCUGCAAGCUUCACGUGUUUUAACUUUGUCAAAGCACUUUGAAAAAGUGGUCUGUGGUAUCUGGAAAGCUGAUGUUGCGUGUGAAGAUUGCAGACAAGCUUUAUCCAAGGAAAUCAGGCUCUCGAAGUUCGGAGAGCGGUGCCUCUUCGGUUUUCGAACAGGCAAUCUUGUCAAGGAUCUGGCUUUCGAGAUUCAGAGAACGGUGCUUCUUCAAUUUUUGAGAACGCAAUCCUGUUUGGGGUCUAACUCUUGAGAUUUGGAGAGCAGUGUCUCUUCGAUUUUUGAGAAAGUAAUCAUGUUGGGAGUCUGGCUCUCGAGAUUCGGAUGGCGGUGCCUCUUCAAUUUUUUAGCACAUAAUCCUGUUGGGAGUCUGGCUCUCGAGAUUUGGAGAGCGGUGCCUCUUCGAUUUUUGAGAAAGCAAUCAUGUUGGGAGUCUAACUCUUGAGAUUCGGAUAGCAGUGUCUCUUCAAUUUUUUGAGAAAGUAAUCCAGUUGGGAGUCUGGCUCUCGAGAUUCGGAGGGCGGUGCCUCUUCGAUUUUUGAGCACGUAAUCCUGUUGGGAGUUUGGCUCUCGAGAUUCGGAAAGCGGUGCCUCUUCGAUUUUUGAGCAAGUAAUCUUAUUAGGAAUGUUUUCUCGAAUGUGAGUAAAGGUUGGGCAUUUUUGCCAGUUUGCCUUGCCACGGAGCACGGAAGUUGACACACAUUGGGACUUUCUACUUAUCAAGGAGUGGAGCUGUUCCUUUACCCUUGUGGGUAAUAGUAGGGUAGCUGGACCUUCAAAAUUUAUGUGUCUAAACUUUGUCAGAGAUUUUUGGCAAAGUUAUAUAUGGUACCCGAGAAACUGAUGUUGCGUGUGGAAAGUGGUGCCACUUCAAUUUUUGAACCAAUUACCCUAUUGCCCUUUCUUUUAUAAGGGCACCAAUUGUGUGCAAGGAGUACAUUCAGAGAGUUAUUGCUUGUAGGAAUUUUCCCCUUACUUCAGAGAUUUCUUUCACCUAAUUUUUCCUUCAUCAUUUCUGAGAAUGUCUGACCCAUAUAACCGUCGUUUUGACUUGAACUUUGGUGAAGAGGUAGCCAUACCUUCUCAAGACAACAUAUAACGGCCAUCUUUCUUAUCCUCUACUGGUCCUCUUACCGUUGGAGACUCUGUGAUGAAGAAUGAUAUGACCGCUGCGGUGGUGGCCAAGAACCUUGUUACUCCCAAAGAUAACAAACUACUUUCCAAACGGUCUGAUGAGUUGGCUGUUAAGAAUUCUCUGGCUCUUAGUGUUCAGUGUGCAGGUUCUGUGUCUAAUAUGGCCCAACGCCUAUUUGCUUGAACCCACCAAGUUGAAUCAUUAGCGACUGAAGUGAUAAGUCUCAAACAGAAGAUCAGAGGGCUCAGGCAUGAGAAUAAACAGUUGCACAGGCUUGCACAUAACUAUGCUACAAACAUGAAGAGGAAGCUCGACCAGCUGCAGGAAUCUGAUGGUCAGAUUUUAGUUGAUCAUUAGAGGUUUGUGAGUUUGUUCCAAAUGCAUUUAUUGCCUUUGUCUUCUGGGGCUGUACCGCGUAAUGAAGCUCCAAAUAAUCAACCUUUGGUGCCUCCUCCUUUUGGGAUUCUGCCUAGUACCGAGGCUCCGAAUAAUCAUCCUAUGGUGCCUCCUCUUUUUAGGGCUAUGUCGAUUGCUAAGACUUCUCCUGAGCAACCUUUGUGAAGGCUCCCUCUUAUUUGUUUAUUUUGAUUCAUGUAUAUGUACAUAUUUGUAAUUUAUCGGAGAUAUCAAUAAACAAGUUUUGCUUCAUUUCAACGUAUUGUGUUAAAUACAUCAAGGCCUUCUUCACUUAGUUCUUUGAAUUUUUCCUUUUGUUGAAACUUGUAUGUUGAAGCUUUGUGAGUGAAGCAUGUAGGUUGAGGUAGUGCUCCCCUAAUUUUCCGAGUGAGGAAAACUUCUCUUUUGGAAACUUGAAAAAUUCAAGUCACUGAGUGGUCGUGAGACUUCCGAGUAUCAAGGUGCAGUAGCAUAUGGUAGGAGUCCCCCAAGUUUCCGGUCGAAGUAGUUGACGAAUGAGGCAUUUCCUUUCUAAGUGGUAGCUCAAAACUCCUUCUUCAUAUAUAUUUGUUAUGAAAGUUGUUAGACUCAUAGAAUAGGAGGCCUAGGCAAUUUUUAUUUUAUUUUUUUGAAUUUUUUUUUUUCGAUUUUUUUUCGAAUUUUUGAAUUUCCAAAAUUUUGAAUUUUUGAAUUUUUGAAUUUCUGAAAAUAUAUAUAUAUAUAUAUAUAUAUAUUUUUUUUUUAAAGCUUUGUAAGUGAAGCUUUGGUGUUGAAGCUUUGAGGUUGAAGCUUUGUUGGGCACCAUGAAUUGAUUUUGCUUCACACUAUCUUGAUCAAGAUAGUGUGAAACUUUUGUAGGUGAAGCUUUUGUAUUGAAGCUUUGUAGGUAAAGCUUUUGUAUUGAAGUUUUGUAAGUGAAGUUUUUGUGGGUGAAGUUUUUGUGGGUCAAGCUUUUGUAGGUGAAGCUUUUGUAUUGAAGCUUUGUAAGUGAAGUUUUUGUGGGUGAAGUUUUUGUGGGUCAAGCUUUUGUAGGUGAAGCUUUUAUGGGUCAAGCUUUUGUAGGUCAAGCUUUUGUAGGUCAAGCUUUUAUGGGUCAAGUUUUUGUGGGUCAAGCUUUUGUGGGUGAAGCUUUUGUAGGUGAAGCUUUUGUGGGUGAAGCUUUUGUGGGUGAAGCUUUUGUGGGUGAAGCUUUUGUGGGUGAAGCUUUUGUAGGUCAAGCUUUUAUGGGUCAAGCUUUUGUGGGUCAAGCUUUUGUAGGUGAAGCUUUUGUGUUGAAGCUUGCUUUUGUGGGUGAAGCUUUUGUAGGUGAAGCUUUGAAGUUGAAGCUUUUGUUGGGUACCAUGAAUUGAUUUUGCUUCACACUAUUUUCAUCAAGAUAGUGUGAAGCUUUUGAGAAUUUGUAGUUGUCCUCCAUUGAUGAAGCUUUGGAGUUGAAGUUUUAUAGGUGAAGCUUUGGAGUUGAAACUUUUGUUGGGUACCAUGAAUUGAUUUUGCUUCACACUAUCUUGAUUAAGAUAGUGUAAAGCUUUUGAGAAUUUGUAGUUGUCCUCCAUUGAUGAAGCUUUGUUGAAUUUCCACACUGUUGAGCAAGAGAUUGUGAUGCAAGCCACACCUUGUAUUAGUCGAAGGUUUGGAUGAACCAUAUAAAUUGAAUUUGCUUCGAAGGUCUAAGAAUUGUAGUUGCCCUCCAUUGAUGAAGCUUUUGUUGGCACCAUAAAUUGGUUUUGCUUCACACUGUCAUGAUCAAGAGUGUGUGAAGCUUUUGAGAAUUGUGGUUGAACUCCUUUGGUGAAGCUUUUUUUGGCACCAUAAAUUAGUUUUGCUUCACACUGUCUUGAUCAAGAGUGUGUGAAGCUUUUGAGAAUUGUGGUUGCCCUUCAUUGAUGGAGCUCUUGUUGGCACCAUAAAUUGGUUUUGUUUCACACUGUCUUGAUCAAGAGUGUGUGAAGCUUUUGAGAAUUGUGGUUGAACUCCUUUGAUGAAGCUCUUGUUGGCACCAUAAAUUGGUUUUGCUUCACACUGUCUUGAUCAAGAGUGUGUGAAGUUUUUGAAAAUUGUGGUUACCCUCCAUUGAUGAAGCUCUUGCUGUUGGCACCAUAAAUUGGUUUUGCUUCACACUGUCUUGAUCAAGAGUGUGUGAAGCUUUUGAGAAUUGUGGUUGCCCUCUAUUGAUGAAGCUUUUGUUGUCACCAUAAAUUGGUUUUGCUUCACACUGUCUUGAUCAAGAGUGUGUGAAGUUUUUAAGACUUGUGGUUGAACUCCUUUGAUGAAGCUCUUGUUGGCACCAUAAAUUAGUUUUGCUUCACACUAUCUUGAUCAAGAGUGUGUGAAGCUUUUGAGAAUUGUGGUUGCCCUCUAUUGAUGAAACUCUUGUUGGCACCACAAAAGCUUGACCCACGAGGCUUAUGUAUUGAUGAAGCUCUUGAUGCAUAAAAUCAGUGAGGACUUUGGUACAACAUAAAGUGUUAAGUUUGUGACAUUCGCUAGAUUGCUCCGGUCACUAGUAUGGAUAAGUAUGUAAAUGGAUAGAGAUAGGGAAGCAAACACAAGAUGUACGUGGUUCACCCAAAUUGGCUACGUCCACGGAGUAGAGGAGUUCUCAUUAAUUGGGAAGGGUUUACACAAGUACAUAGGUUCAAGCUCUCCUUUAAUGAGUACUAGUGAAUGAUUUAGUACAAAUGACAUUAGGGAAUAUUGUGAGAGAAUGAUCUCUAUUUAUAGAAGAUAGUUUCUAAUUUCAUUCUGAUAUUGACACGUGUCGUGUUGUGAUUGGCUUCUGAUGUUGACACAUGUCGCGCUAUGAUUGGCUUCUGAUGUCGACAUGUGUCGCGCUGUGAUUGGCCUCCUGGUUGGAGAGAAACUCUUCUGGGUCCUUGAUGGUAUAACGUUGACCGGUACUCAGUAGUUUCGGGAUUGGUCAAGUAUGGUACAAAUAAAAACAAUACCAAACGAAGCAUAAAACCUAUUAACAAGAAGUUGAGGAAUCUAAUUUCCUCAUGUCUUAAUUAGCAUCUUAACACUAAUUAGCUCGCAAAGAUUUGACUAAUAUACAUAACAAUAAUCAAUCUAACCGAUGAAGAAGCCAUGAAGCCACUCUUCAAUGUUGACCUUCUCCUCCACGUCAAAUUCUCAAUGUUAACAAUAGGUCUUAGUUCAAUUGCGAGAAUAUUCAUGGCUGAAGCGACCGGCAUACUCUCGUAGUGACUCGUCCGGCUUCUGGCAAAUAGUGUACAAGUAAUCUGCAGAAUGCAAGUGAUCGAUCUGGAAGAUGUGUUGAGAGACAAACAGUUUCCUUAAUUCCUCAAAUGAGUCUACUGUCUCAGGUGGAAUACGGCAAUACCAGUUUAGAGCUCCGCCAGAAAUAGUGGAGGGGAAGAGAAGACAUCGCUCUUCGUCGGUGUGCAUUCGAUAUGCCAUGGUGGACUCAAAGAGGUUAAAGUGUUCAAUUAGGUCCUCCCUUCCUGUAUAGAGUUGUAAACCAAGCUUUUGUUUUGUCUUCGCUUGAAGGGGCGUGUCGAUGAUCCUUCUUAUGAGAAGGCCAAGCCUGGGUUGGUUCCAGUCAGGUAUCUCGGCCUAACGUUUGGCAUUCAACUUGUUUACUUCCUCAAGGAGCUGUAGGGCAAUGGGGUCCUGAGUGGAGUCAUGUGUCACUGGAAUUUUCUUUCGUAAGUCUUCAUCGCCUCUUGGAAGUAGGAAAGUUUAAGCAAUGACGUGUGGUUUUUUCAUGGACUCGCUGUACUGACUUUUAGGGCAAGUAUGUCGGAAUACCUCAGAGUCCCCCAUACCUUCAUGUUCCUCUGGGACCAGUCAUUCCUUCCCUAGAUUGGCAGUUGGCCUGGGUCGUGGGAGGGGAUCGAGUCUUUCAGAAACCCUUGGGUCAUUGAUUUUCGAGCAUAUGUGGAGGGGAUUUUUUCGACGUUGCUUUAGGAAGUCUCGGCAGUCACGAUAAAUGGUUUUCGAUCCUUCCAACCUUUCUGCAAGGAGGUGUCUUCCUCCACUUUUUCUACUUCGGGUCGAAGCAUCUGGGUUGAAAGAAGUCUCAUGUUGAUCAAUGUUUUGAUGAUUAGCUCGCUCCUCAUCAGGGAUACCCAUGUCGAAUGGAGGUGACCCUCCGUGUUGGGGGGCACCCAGAUGAUAGUUGAUGUCCAUAGGGGUAACGAGCUUCCGUGUUUGAGUACGCUUAGUUUCGUGGAGUGUCUUAAAGAGCUUCUCAUACUGCUCCUGGAGGACCUCAUUCUUCAUUUCUAUCUUGUUGUUCUAAGCUUUUAGCUCAUCGACUUUAGCUUGAAAAGCAACCAUCUUUCCUUCAUUCUUUCGUUUCUUCGCACUAGGUGCAAGAGGGGUGUCAUUCUAUGUGCUGUGGCUUCCUUCGCUCCCCAUGUUGGAAAGGGAUGCCUGGUCAAAAUAGAGUGUACGAAUGGUGGAAACCAGCUUGGCAAAGCUGAAGAGAGUGGGAAUAAGUGUCGUUCCCACAGACAGCGCCAAAUGUUGAUACACAAAAUCAGCGAGGACUUUGGUACAACAAAAAGUGUUAAGUUUGUGACAUUCGCUAGAUUGCUCCGAUCAUUAGUGUGGAUAAGUAAGUAAAUGGAUAGGGACAGGGAAGCAAACACAAGAUGUACGUGGUUCACCCAGAUUGGCUACGUCCACGGAGUAGAGGAGUUCUCAUUAAUUGUGAAAGGUUUACACAAGUACAUAGGUUCAAGCUCUCCUUUAGUGAGUACUAGUGAAUGAUUUGGUACAAAUGACAUUAGGAAAUAUUGUGAGAGAAUGAUCUCUAUUUAUAGAAGAGAGUUUCUAGUUUCAUUCUGACUUUGACACGUGUCGUGUUGUGAUUGGCUUCUGAUGUUGACACGUAUCGCGCUAUGAUUGGCUUCUGAUGUCGACACGUGUCGCACUGUGAUUGGCCUCCUGGUUGGAGGAAAACUCUUCUGGGUCAUUGACGGUAUAAUGUUGACUGGUGCUCAGUAGUUUCGGGAUUGGUCAAGUAUGGUACAAACACAAAAUGUAUUGAUGCUAGGUGAAUAAGUCGCAACACAAAAUGAAAACGGACCAAUGCCAAAUUAAAAUGUAUCGACCAAAUUUAUUUAUUGGUACUAGAUAAAGUACGGACCCAAUUUAUUUACCCAUUCUAUACAUGCCACUUCAAGUAAUGCUUAGAAAGUACAUGCCUACUAACACACAAUUAACUUUAUAAAUUAAAUAUGAAAAUAAAUGUACCAAUCAACAAUAUUAAUAAAAUCGCUUUGAAAAAAAUGUAUAAAGUUAAAUUGAAUAUAGAAAUAAACGUACCAAUCAACAAUAUGAGUAAAAUUGCUUUAAAAAAAUAAUAUAUAUAUAUAUAUAUAUAAUCAAACGAUUGUGGUGGCACUAGUGGCGGUUGUGGUGGCAGUUGUGACGAUUGUGGUGGCGGUGCAGUGGUGGUGGUGGUGGCAGUGGCGGUGAUGUAAGGUUAGUGUUUAUAGUGGUAAGUGGUGGCAAUCAUUUUAUUCUCCAAGGAUUAAAUGUGUGUAGAAGGAUAAAAUAUGUUAUUUUAAAAAACUAAUGAAGGUAUUACAAGAAUUGAAAAUUUUCAUUAAAUGCUCAAUUCCUUUUAAAAACAACCUAUAUGCUUCUUUUAAAAAUUGUUGUAUGGAGACUAUUGUUUUUAAAAUAAACAGAAUAUUUUAUUUUUACCAAACACUUUUUACUGCUUAACUAUAAAUGAAACAAAUUUCGAUAAAAAAAAAACAACACCAAACGAAGCAUAAAACCUAUUAACAAGAAGUGGAGGAGUCUAAUUUCCUCAUGUCUUAAUUAGCAUCUUAACACUAAUUAGCUCGCAAAUAUUUGACUAAUAUACAUAACAAUAAUCAAUCUAACCGAUAAAGAAGCCAUGAAGCCACUCUUCAAUGUUGACCUUCUCAUCCACGUCAAAUUCUCGAUGUUAACAAUAGGCCUUAGUUCAACAAUGAGCAUAUAUUAUUCCGUUAUACUUUCAAAACCAAUAUGAACUCAAACAUUCGGCUAAAAUACACCUCAUAUUCGAACAAUAUAUUUUGUUAAUUGUGAAAGGUGAUUUGGAAGAUAAUUGUGAUACUUGAUGCCAUGCGCGCUCUCGAUUUCUAACUACUCAUGCCGCCAUUGUCAUUGGGUAUGACCGGUGACAACUUGGUGGAAACGUAGCAAUUCGACACGAUUAUUCUCCAAACAUAUGAUUGUUGAGAGCCUGAAUCCUAUGUAAGGGUGGGCAACGGUUAUGCCAGACGGGUAACCGCGGUUAUUUACUUAUAACUGUUUAUGCUCAUACUCGCAUAACCGUUUACCCAUUUGGUAAUUGCCUAAAUUGUUAUACUCAUACCUAUAACCGUUUAUAAACGGUUAACCAUACCAAUAAUCGCAUACCCAUUUAACCGUAACCGUUUAAUACCCGUUUACUCAUUUUUAACUUGUUUAUCUUUUUCCCAUUUUUAACUUGUUUAUCUUUUUUUUUUACCAUUACCCAUUUUUCACCCAUCUACAUGUUUUUUAACAAAUUGAAAUUUUAAAAAAAAUUUGUCAUAAUUUUUUUUGACAAUUAAACACCGUUAUAGGGGUACAUUCAUUAUACAUUUCCUUAUUUUAAUUUUUUAAGUCCUUAUACCGUUUCAAUAAUUGAAAUAAUAGUUUACAGACGAUAUUUUUAAGGGGUGUGAUAUCCACACACCCCAUUUUACUUCUCACACACCUUUUUAAUUUUCGACCGUCGGAUCAGAUGAAUUGAAGAAGAUCAACGGACAAUAAUUAUUAAAGGUGUGUGAGAAGUAAAAUAUGGUGUGUGGAUAGCACACCCCUAUUUUUAACUGUUACCAAUGAAGGUAAUAUAAUAUUUGCUAAGUAUUCUUGGGUUAUGAAAACUGUUUAGAAGACAGUAUUUUUGAGUUAUUUAACCCAUAGUGCAAAGUAUUAACAUAAUAUAUAUAAUGAGCUACAUUAUUUUAUAAUUAGCUAUAUAAACCAUGCACUAUAGUCAAUAGCAUCAGAGGUGCAAUUUGGGCUGAGCCAACCCGAACCCGCCCAUGUCUAACCUGACUUUAAACUCGAAUAAGCGAAUUUUGUUGUUGUUAUAACCCGCCUGAACCCAACCCGAUUUCAACCCGUUCAUUGAUUGGGUUGGAUUGGGUUGAUCAUUUGUCCAUCCCAACCCAAUCCAAUUAACCAAACCCUAUUAGGUUGAGCUGUGCAACAUACUUCUCAAUAACCUUUGCACCUUUGCACCUUUGCACCUUUGCACCUUUGCACUUUCAUGAGAACCUACUGAUAUGAUAUACAAUUUGACUUGAAAGGAAUCAUAUUAAGUUUAUUUUGCUUUUCACAUCACAUCCUGUAGAACAACUUCCUUUAUUAAAUUAAUAUUGCAACUAUUCGACCUCUCUUUGAGAUCUGCUUCACAGUUUGAGUUGUGAUUGUUUCUUAUGCUGAUUCAGACGAAGUAGGCUAUUGAGCAAGUAAAUUUGAGGGAAAGUGAUUUUAAGGUCAGUUGUUUGCUAAUACAAAUAGGUUGACAUCAUUGUUGAAAAACAUUAAACACUACUUGAAAAAGUUAGGCAACCCAAACUCAACCCAAGUAAAUCCAAACCCGAUUAAACCCGAGCCCGACUAAACCCGAUUAAAACCCAAUCCGAACCCGAACCCGAAUUGUAAAAGUUGGGUUAGGAUUUGGUUGAUUUUCCAACUCGCCCGAGUUGCACCCCUAAAUAGCAUUGAUCUAAGUUUUGUCCUAUAGAGAACAUGGUUUGUGUUAAUUUUACAUAUAUAAAAUAAAUGGGUAAACGGUUACCUGUUUAUAACCGUUAUUUAUACCUAUAACCGUUUAUUUAUCUAAAUAGUUACCUAUAACCAUAACCGUAAAGUUUAAAUAAGUGGGUAACUGCGAUUACAAGGUAUUUUACCCAUAUUCCCAUGUCAGAAAGUAAAGCAUUGCCGUAUAAUUUAAAUUAUCUUAGAUCAGUUGAUUUUAGACCGAAUGUUCACAUUCUAAAAUUUCUAAUAACGUCUGCGUUGGUUGUGAUAUGAGUUCUGCACCUCCGAUAUUGUAAAGCAUUAAAUAAAGGCCCAAUUACAAAUUCAUAAUUUUGGCCCAUGGUUUUUGGGCCCAGAGUAAGGUUGCGUAAUUUCCAGGGUCAAGUUUUAAAUUUGAUGCUUAAAUAGCAAGCCCAACCUUUUGCAAUCUCUUACAUGGGCAUUUUCCAGUCUUUACUUUUCAUUUUCAUUUUUACUUUGGAAUUCUAAUCCUGUAUAACAGUACAUGUGGAAAAUCUAUAUCUUUUUUUCUUUUUCUGCAUAUUCCUGUUUAGUUUUGUUAUUUGAUUUUCUAAUACUUUAUUUCAUUCAAAGGUUAGAAAUGAGCAAGAUUUGUGUGUGGGAGAAAAAAGUGUGUGCGACAAUCAUUUCUCAUUUCAUUUUUUAUCGAGGAGAUAAGAGAUUCAAACUUAAAAUCUCUUCUAACAUUGAGAAGUAUCACUAUUGUACUAACGACUAGUUGGUAAUCUUGCACAUGUGUUCAAAACCAAAAAAUUUCUAUUUUGUAUAAUGAGAUGCAAAAUUUAGAUUGCAACGAAGUUCUUCUUUUUAUGCAUGUGAGAGUGAAAUUGCAAUAAAUCGAACAACUUCAAUUACAUAUAUAAGAGUUUCUUUUCUUGUUUGUUAGAAAAUUUUGUGCAGAACGGUUUCAUAUUACAUAUGUAUCUUUUUACUUUUUAUCACGUAUCUUGUCAGGUGACUUCGCAAUGAGAGAUAGAAACACGUCAAGAUACAACGAUUGUUCCAAGAAAGUUUUCUAGUGGUAUGAGAAAGUUAACGAAAAGGGUUGGGACUUGGGAGGCGUUACGUCGUUAUCUGUAACGGUCUUAACAUGGAGCCAAGAUGGGAUGGUAGGGUUUUCGUGUGCAUGAAGGAUGCAGAUGACCUGAUCUGCCUUUCCCUUUGUGCUUGUGACCUCCUGCAAUUUCCAUAUCGACAAAACUUUUGCCCCUUGAUGGAAAUAUCCAACUUUGUGGGGGCCACCAGUCCAAUCCAUGCAUGGAUCCGGCCCGUUCAAUUUUCAUCGCCAGAAUUCAGUUGAUCACCUUGAUAUCAUGACCUAAUUCAAUCAUCAUUUGGAAGACUUUUUUGUCAAAUAAAACGAAAUAAUUGAUUAAUAUGAUUACAAGAUUAAUUCUUCAUUUUCAACAAUAUUGUAGGAUUUAUUUACUAGAGUGAUAGAAGAUUUGAACUUGAAUCCAGACCGCUUUAAAAACUCGUAAAAAAAUAGUAUCAAUGACCAUUUCCUCCUGUUUUGGAGGCAAAUUUGGUCCACUGUUUUUGUGCAUGAAUAAUGGUUGCCUUUAGUAUUAUUUGCUACUUUUUCUUCAGUAAAACAAUAAUACUGUCACUUUCUAUGAUGCCCAUUUCACACUAGCAUGCCCUGGAAGAACUAAAUAUCUUUUGUCAACAAAAAUCUUCCAUAGGUUGUUCCAAUCCAAGCUAGCCUUGGGUUGUCAUGAUGAUUUUGGUUUUAAUACAAAGUAAAUGGUAUAUAUCAACCGACCAACUGUAUAAGUUACUGUCAGUCGUUAAUAUAUGAACGUUGGUUCAUAUAAAUCUCAUAGGUUCCAUUUGGUGUACGAAAUGAAAGGUUGUGAGUAACAGUUAUAUCCUUAAAGAAAAUAUUGACAAAUUAUGUAAUGUACCCAUCCUGCAGUCCUCAUGUUGGCCAUAACCCUACCCAUGUGCAAAUACAAGUGAACAUAUAUCUCUUUUAAUGUAAUCAAAAUUAAAUUGAAACUUAAAACUUAAAUAAGAUUAGGGUUUUGAAUAUUCUAACGUGCAUGGGUUUGGUGACAUAGCAGGUUUAUUCGGUCCCUCGUACACUAGCAAAAGAGCUUGAAAUUAAUUAAUAUAAUUUUAAUUAAAUUAAAUAAUAAUGAUUAAGCUGAGUAAGAAGGAAGAAAGAUCUCCUAAUUAAUCAUCUCCCAAUUGGAUGCAUGACAGUAGCAUUUGGCCCACGUUCCGGAGUAGGCUCCAUCCUCCAUAACAUGCACAUGAGCUGCCAACCAUUUGGUCUCUCUGGGACCGCAUCAUAUUCAUCUGCAGUUAUUUGGAUUCUCAUACGAUCGACACAGAGAGAGAGAGAGAGAGAGAGAGAGAGAGAGAGAGAGAGAGAGGUUUGCAUUGUGAUGAGUGUGAACCCAUGAGACGUUGCAUAGUAUUAUCUUCUGCUACUAUCCCUCCCCAUUGGUUCUGCAAACCCAACACCAACCAAGAUAAGCGUUAGGCUAGUCGGUCGCCUUACCGCUUCUGGUGACGGUAUACUGUUGAUGUAUGUAUAAAUAAUGAACGACUGAGUUUAGUAUUCAUCUAUCUCUUUUGAAAUACCAAACGUACAAUAUGUGACAUUUGUGUAACAAAAGCCGUCUCCUUAUUCUUAUACUUCCAACACCUAGAGUAGUACGUAGCAGUGGUAGUCUUAUCGCACUUACUGACCUUUUUGUUUCAAUUGAUUCUCUCGAUUGAUAAGUGGCCGGUGUUUGGUCCUAAAUAGAAAUUAGGUUAAAUUAUAAACAUAAUCUUUUUCACAAAUGUAUGUUUUACAAUAAGGUAGAAUAAUUAUGUUGACAAAAUUGAAGGUUUCAAUGUACGAUAGAUUAAUUGGAAUGUAGAUGAUUCUCAGUUGUUGAGGCAUUCACUUUAUUUGGUGCGGAUGUAUAAUUGAUGGACAGUCGUUCAUGCACGUGUGUUUGUAUGAAGAUAUGUAAAGCAACCCUCUAGAUAUGAAUAGACAUAAGGUCUUUGUAAGUUGGGCUACUACUAUAUAGCGAAUUAAUUUUAUGUUGAAACCUCAGCUUUAUUCAUGAUAUCAAAGUAGGGUGUUUCAUGUGUGAAGCCCAACGGCUACACGUGCUUCACAUCACUCAUUUUAUUUUGUCCAUGUGCUAAGCUUAAAAAUUCGUCACGUGAUGAGACGUGUUGGAGUAUUAAUCCUACAUCGAAAAGAAGGAAACUUGCAUUGACAAAUAAGAUACGCUAAUACCCAUAUUAUCAAUUAAUUUUAUAAAUUUUAUAGUAAAACCCAAACAUUUUUCAUAAUUUUCUUUGGAGUUAACUAAAGCCAGAAGUUUGUGGUGUUGUUAACUCACUACCUAGGAGUGGACAUUUUAACCGGUAAAUCGGGUCGAGAAAACCAAAAGAAUCGGGUUUGACAUUGUCACAUUCUUGUUGCAUUUUUUCCCAAAUACCGAAUGUAAUGUGCCAUUCUUGUUACGGACAAGGAUUGUCUGCCCUCCUAGUUGUGGUGCCCUUCUAUGCCCUCCUAUUUUGUGCGGUCACGGUUAAGCCACGUCAACAUUUUAUAUUAAUUUUUUAAUGAGAUAAUAAGACAAAAAACAAUAAAAAUAUAAAAUAUUAACGUGGCUUAACCGUGACCGCACAAAAUAGGAGGGCAUGGAAGGGCACCACAACUAGGAGGGCACCUUGUCCUUCUUGUUACAAAAGCCUCUUUAUUCUUAUCCAAUAGAAGUAGUACGUAGUCUUAUCUCACCUAAUGGUCUUUUCUGUCAAUUGAUUCUCUCAGUUUAUAUAUAAGCUUUGUUUGUUUCAAAAUACAAAUUAGCUAAAUCAUAAACGUAAUGUGUUUCUGUUUGGAUCUUACUGUACACCAUUGAUCUGUUUAAUUGAGGCUGUUGAAUUUUAAUAUUUUUCUUAAAUAUUACUAUUGCUGAUUCGAAUUCAAUAGAGAAAACCAGGCAUUAUCCAUUGCUGGUUGUUUGUUGGAGAUCCAUUUGUUGAUAAAGACUUACUCAAGUGAUGGCAAGGAUUUUCCAACUUGGCUUGAGUAAAGAAAAGAUAAAAGAAGGUACCAUCCAUUUGUGAUAUUAUCCCUUUGGCCAAUUUGAUAAUUUAUUCUUUUUGGCCAAUUUGAUAGUAUUUCCUAAUAGAAUGCUCAGUGUUCAUUAAGAUAAAGAUGGCCAUCAAAAGGCCUUUGGUAGCCACGGUAUGGACUUUACAACACGUUCAAGCGUAUUAGUCCUAUAAAUACAUAAAACCGUGUAAUGAGAAGGCAACCUUCAACUUAACAUACAAAUAUGCCUUGCACAAAUCUCGCUCUAGGCGAACACUUCUCACACUCAGAGAACUAACUAACUCACAUUUUGAGAAAUCACUAACUCUCCACUUUCCUAACUACUUAAAGCUCGAUUGAUUAUCUAUCCAAGUCUCAGCUGACGAGGAGUCCUUGAUUCUUUAAUUGAACGAGGUCACUUUACUAGCUUUCCAACCAAAUUAAGUGUUUUAUGCUUGGUUACUUCUGGUACAUUUUAGAGUUCGGUAUUCUGACGGUUGAACAACAUUUACCAUCAAGACAUUUAUCUCUUUCGAGUACGAGUAUCCUUACAGUUUAACUCCGAACUGAUCAGAGCACUUAUAUUUUCACAAAUAUAGUCGAGGCGGCCGAACCUGGUGCAAAAGAUCAUGAACUUCACAGUGACUAACAACCUUUUUGACAUCACCACCACAUUCAUUCUACUAACCGACCGAGUUCGAUGGCAAGUUAGCACGACCGCAUUCAUCAUAAUGACGUAGUUAGCUUUUUGUUAUUCAGUCUACGUGUAAGUAAACUUGAUAGUUUUUAAGGUCAACAAUUUCACAAAUUGUGCUUUACAUUCUAACAAGUUUUACGAUCUCAACUUAUACUAGACGAAGGCGGACGAUCGAUUGUUAGUUGUUGCUGCGAGUUUCAUUGUGAUUGCGGAUGUAUAAUUGACAUACAAUCGUAACGUGUGUUUGUGGGCAAAGCAACUCUCUAGACAUCAAAAGAUAAGGUCUUUAGUUUUAUUCAGAAUUUGAGGUGUCUAUAUAAGUCACAAAAACCAAGAAACCUCUCGAACUCGUACCUUGGAUGCAGUGGAUGGGUUCCUAUCACAUGGUUGUCGCCAAAGGCAACAGAAGAGUACUCGCUAUAAUACUAAAUUAACAUGGUCCACUAGACGGUGGCUUUCCACCCUUUUUGUCGAUCGUGAGAGUAUGAUUUGGCCAAAUGCACUGUUAUUCUCCCAAAGUCGAGGUCAAUUUAGUAAACUAAUAUAUAGAAGUUUUUAAAAGUCACUAGUCUAGUAGCGGGUAGAGGCCUGUCGCUUAGGGGGGCCUAGGUAAUUUUUUAUUUUUAAUUAAUUUUUUAUAUAAUAUAUAGAUAAAUAUCUACUUAUAUUUUUUUUAAAAUAUAACUGUAUUGAGAUACAUUAAUUAGAAAAUGGAACUAUAUAUAAAUUAUAAAGUAUUAGAAUUGAAAACAUGGGGAAUAAACAUAUAAUGAGUGUUCAUCUCAAUAUUUAACAAGUUUUUUACAAUUUAUUGAAAAAAUAAAAUGUAAAAUGAAAGUUAUCUAUUUUCUAUCUAAAUGAGAGUUACGAUCUAGACGAGCGCCUACGCAGAUCUAGACGCUCUUUCUUAGUUUUCAAACGUCUAGUGAUCAAUCAAAGCGAUGACUACCUGCUUAGCGCCUAGGCAGGCUUAAGCGAAGCUAGGCGGUAAUUUUUAAAAGAAUGUGAUAUAUAGUUAGUAAUGAUAGCUACAAGGAAGAAAGAAACAACCCCACUGUACGAAACCAAAAACACUAAGCUACGAUGUGUUCUUAUCAUCUUAAGUUGUCCUACGAAUAAGUUAUGAAACCUAAUAUUAUGUUGUUGACCUAACCAAGUAGCUAGUAGCUAGUAUCGUUCACAUCAUCACUCCUAAAGUAACUUGAGGUAAAUUAGUUGCAAGAUAGCUAGAAUACAGAUCCGUCAAGGGACAUUUUUGUAAGACACAUUUUUAUUGAAAGCGCUACAAAUUUUUAUCGAAAAUUCAAGUACAUCUUGUUGGAGCAUAACGUGGUAUUGUUUGCAUACAUCAUGUAAAACUUUUACAUGUUAGGAUUUAACAAAGCAAGUAUUUUACGUUUUCAUCUCUCACACUUCAUUGUGAUCGAAACUCAAAAGAAAGAUGAUAAUAAGGUCAACUAGUACCCUAAUGAAUAUGAUUUUUAAUUUUCCGUGUAUUGCAUUACGGUUAAAAUGCAAGAUUUUUCCAAUAUUAAACUAUCAUAAGUAGUGUGUGAUGUCAGAGAUAUUACGAGACGAAGAACUUGCUGGUUCUAGUAUGAAAAUUGUUUUUGAAAUUUUGAUUUAAAAUGAUUCAGUCUUCAUAGGUGUCGGCGGGUUGGAUUGGUUUUUAGCUUAAAAGACCAUUUCUGUCCAUUAAUGUUGGUAGUCAGUUGAAUCAAUUAUUUUUUCUACGUGUUUAAUCUUAAACAAAAUUAAAAAAACGGUUUGUUUGGGGAAGGCUGUUAUUUAUUUUUAUUAAUUUUGAAAAAGUCGCGGUAAAAUCCCGGACAACUGUCAGCAGCUGGAGUCACUGUCAGUCGCGCUUGCACGCCGCCGUAGCUUAUUAAACUCCGGUCACUCACUUCCGCUCGUCUUCCGCCGGAAACGCCCUUUUUUUUUUGCUCGAUCAAUAAAAAUUAAAGUUAAAAAAAAAAGAAAAGAAGAAGAACGUUUCUGAAUUACCAAUCAGCUCUUCAACUUCCAUUGGCCACAGCAGUACAGAGCACUGUGUCUCUCUACUUUCUCUCUCUACACACUCUCUCGUAUACUUUCUCUCUCUAUACAGAGAGAAACACAGCACGAGAGCUCUCUGUUGGUAUUUUUUACGGACGUACACGCGGUUGUGUAGGCGUAGAUUCCUUUGCCCCCACUGCGUCAUAUAAUUUUAUCAAUAAAUAAAUGCCAAAAAGCUCUCUCUCUCCCCGCUGAAACCGCAUUUAUACACAGAGAGAGGGCCUAUUCCUAACGUUUUCCUCAUUUUUAUGUGCUGCUUUGGUUUGCCUAUAUUCACUCCUCCUCCGGGGAUCUCAGCCGUCCUCCGCCGCUCUUGCGAGAAUUCACCGGCUCAGCUGUCACCGGCAAGUUUCUCUCUUUGCUUUGGUAUUUAUUUCUGCUGAAAUUUUAAGCUGUUUUUUGUUUGUAAAGUUGGAAACUUUGCUGUGAUGGAAUUGAUGGGUUUUGAGUAUGUUGAUUUUGUGCGGAUUUUGAGGGCAUAAGUGGGUAAUUUGUGGAUUUUGGGCAGAUGGGCAGAUGGGCAGCUGUUGUUUUAGCCCAGUGCAUACGUGGUCUACAGUGUACUGCUUUUGGAUUUCUGGGGAACCUAUAGAGAAUAAUUGCCAGAAAGAUAUGGUCUUGUAGUGUAAACUUAUUGAUUUCUGGGUGAAAUCGAAGGUUUCAUAUCUGGGUUUGUUUUAAUUCGUUGAAUUGGGGAUUUAUAUCUCGUGGAAUUGGACUAUUGGCGUUAUAAAAUUCUGGAGUUUUUGUGGAAUUUGGAUUUAUGGAGGCUUUUGGAGGCAGAGCUCGGAAUUUCUAUGGUACGAUGGUGCCGGAUUUGAAGGGGGCUGGGAAAAAGAGUUUGGAAUGGGAUUUGAAUGAUUGGAAAUGGGAUGGUGAUCUUUUUACCGCUAGUCCUUUGAAUGCUGUACCAUCUGAUUGUAGGAGCAGGCAGUUGUUUCCGCUUGGGCUGCCGGAAACUCCCUCCACUGCUGGUUUGUCCAACAGUUCUUCUUCUGGUUCGGACGGUAUCUGUCCAGGGAAUGAGAAAGGUAAAAGAGAGCUGGAGAAAAGAAGAAGGGCUAGUUUUGUAGAAAAUGAAGGGCUAACUGAUGAAGUUGGGUCUCUUAAUCUCAAGCUUGGCGGGCAAGCUUACCCAAUCAUGGAAGGAGAGGUACAACAUGGGAAGAAGACGAAGAUAGUUGGGACUACUUUAAACCGAGCAGUUUGUCAGGUGGAGGACUGUAAGGCUGAUCUUAGCAAUGCCAAGGAUUACCACCGACGACAUAAGGUCUGUGAUAUGCAUUCUAAGGCAACUAAAGCGGUGGUGGGAAAUGUUUUGCAGCGGUUCUGUCAGCAGUGUAGCAGGUUAGUUCAAUUCUAUGGUUGUCCUUGUAUGGUGAGAAAUAUUUCAAAUUUUCUUCAGUUAAGUUCUACGUCGUUUAUUCGGUGCUUUCUUAUAGACAUUGUUUCUAGAAGAUGAAAUACAGAGUUUGAUUUGUAAGUUUUAAAAAAAUUAUUUGUUGCUCUCAUGAUUUGGGUCCAUAGUUGUUCAUCACUGUGUUUGGUAUAGUCGAAUUUUGAAGAACUUUUUUGUUGAAUUUGGAAUGUGGUUAUACUUAUGGGCAGGUUUCAUGGCCUUCAAGAGUUUGAUGAAGGAAAGAGAAGUUGUCGUAGACGUUUGGCAGGCCACAAUAGGAGGAGAAGAAAAACACAUCCUGAUACUGUAGUUAAUGGAGGCUCAUUGAAUGAUGAAAGAGGAAGCAGUUAUCUAUUGAUUAGUUUGCUGAGAAUACUCUCCAACAUGCACUGUAAAUCUUUGUGUUAUUGCACAUUCAAUUUUUGGCUGCUUUGCCUGACAUUAAAUUGAUAUGCUAAGUGUAUGUUAAGUGGUUACCGGAUUGUGUGUUGAUUGCCAUAGACUGAUGUCAAAGUUCUUGUGGUCUUUUGCUCUUAGGUUUUGUCAUUAUUUGAUUGAGGCUUGUAGCAAAAUGAUUAUGUCAAUUAACAUUUAAUAACUCCACUCAUAAAUUUUUAUUUGUAAACAUACAACAUAUUACUUGAUGAGUCCUUAACUGCUUAAGGUGCUCUAUUUUUGUGUAUAAAUGACAAAGUGCUAGUUUCUCUGAAUUUAAUUUGAUGAAAAUUUGAAUAUUGAUGCUUACGCAUGAAAAGUUUUCAGUUUUUCAGAGGUUGAUUUGAUAGAAAGUUAGAAUUUUGUGCAGACCUUCAUGUCGAAAAAUAUUUCAAUUUUUAUAAUCCAGAUUACACCUUGUGUGCUUGAAUUUCAUCCCUUGAACCCUUGUUUUUUGCACUUUCUUUCUCUGAUUGUUGGACUGUCCAUAUUUCACAUUCUAGGAUGCAUGAAGGAAGGGCCUAUUAAAGGGAAUUCUAAUUAGGAAUUGUUAUUUAGGAAAUUAUGUCUCAGUGAUCAUGUUAUUAUAAUAUUUAUUUGAUUAUGUUUGUGUUUGUUUUUCUUCUCAUAAGUGUCUUACUCAACUCCACUUUUGAUGCCUAAAAUGCAGCUAAUAGUUCAGAUCAAACAAAGGAUCAGGAUUUGCUAUCUCAUCUUUUGAAGAAUCUAGCCAAUCUUUCUGGUACAGUUGAUGGAAGAAACAUGUCUGCAUUGCUUACGGCAUCUCAAGGUUUAAUAAAUGGCGGGGCAUCAAUUCAGACUGCACAAAAGGUCCCAGAUACAGUUUCCAACGGCUGUGAACCAAGUAAGCCUUCUGUUUCAGCCUCUAAAAUGGAUGAUUAUAUUAAUGGUGAGGACCCUUCAAGACCUAUACGACAGUGUUCUACGGUACCUGCAUCAGAUUUCAGGAGAAUAUCUUCAGUUGAUGCAGAUCAUGGAGGUCUACAAGUUGUUUCAGGUCUAAAUGCCACGAAGCCAUUUCCUUCAAGAGACAGUGUUCCAUCCACAUCAGUUGCACCAGAAGCUACAAUGGGGAGGAUGCAGUUAAAUGGCAUUGAUUUAAAUAAUACAUAUGACGAUUCCCAGGACUAUUUGGACAACCUAGGGAAUUCGCAUGCCCCUGUAAAUUCAGGGACAGUGGCUCAUGGUUUUCCCUUUUGGAUGCGUCAGGAUUCGCAAAAGUCUAGCCCACCUCAGACAAGUGGGACUUCAUGCUCAACUUCAUCAAGUUCUAGUGGAGAUGCUCAGGUAUAUUCUUGUUGUACUUGCAUCUCGUUCCUCGUUAUUGCUUGGUAUAUUAAUGCUUGUAUAUGCCAUAACCUGUCCUUUUCUGUUGGAUAAAAGAAUAGCUUUGUUCUCACUUUAAUUUGGCAUUUAGGUGACAAUGCUUUGCAUUCGACUUGUCCGUUUGUCUAGCCAAUUGAUUGAAAAAACAUGAAGUACUCGGCAUACCUAAUAAAUACUUCUGUUGUGACGUAAGAGUCAAGAUGGAUUCUCUUCUUUUGUAUAGUGCUUUGUAUGUAUAAAUGUGUGCGUAUGCUUCUGCUUGAUAAGGUUUAUAGAGUUGUAGUUAAACUACAGGAGGUUGCAGGCUAUAUCAGUUAGAGUUGAGUAUUUUUUAAAUAUUUUUUAUUAUGAAGGCCAGUGUGUAAAAUGUUACUGCACUGUUACGUCUCUUAACCACUCUUUUUCUGCCGUGUUUCAGAGUCGCACAGACCGUAUUGUUUUUAAACUCUUUGGAAAAGAUCCAAAUGAUCUUCCAUUUGUUCUACGAGCACAGGUAAUAUUUGGUGCCUUGAUUUAAUUCUUCACAAUGUAACUUGUGUUUCCUUGCACAUACAACAAUUUUAUGAAAUAUUUUGAAUAUCCAGAUUCUCAACUGGUUGUCCCACAGUCCUACUGACAUUGAAAGCUACAUAAGGCCGGGAUGUAUCAUUUUGACAGUUUACCUCCGUCUAGAAAAAUCCACGUGGGAGGAGGUAUGUUUCUGUGCUGAUGCCAAAAUGUUGAUUGCUGACCUUGUAUCAGGGAGAUCUCUUUUCUUGUCCUUAAUUGUUAUGUUUGCCUGCAGCUCUGCUGUAAUCUGGGAUCCAUUAUAAAACAACUUUUACAUGCUGCCAAUGAUCCUUUUUGGACAACAGGAUGGGUGUAUACUAGGGUGCAACAUUCUGUAGCAUUUACGUACAAUGGUUUGUUCUCUCUCUCUCUCUCUCUCUCUCUCUCUCUCUCUCUCUCUCUCUCUCUCUCUCUCUCUUAAUUAUUCAUUCAUAUAUUUUCUAGCUCAUUUAGUGAUUUACCAAUAGUUGUGUUAUGAAAGAAAAGACAUUUUAAAUAGUUAUGUCUGUACUGCAGGUCAAGUUGUCUUAGACACACCCUUACCUCUGAAAAGCCAUAAAAAUUGCAAGAUAUCAUGCAUCAAACCAAUUGCAGUUUCUUUAUCCGAAAGAGCUGAAUUUGUAGUAAAGGGGUUUAAUCUUUCUCGUGCCACCACAAGGUAUCCUUAUCUUUCAUUCAAGCUUCAUUAUGUAGACCACUCCAGUGUCAUAUGUUAUUUCUGAAUUAGUAACUAUCAGGAUAACUGGGAAGGAGGAAAGUACUAAGUCCUAGCUUGUGACAGGUUGCUCUGUGCUCUGGAAGGGAAGUAUCUAGUCCAAGAAACUUGUUAUGACUUGAUGGAUGGUGCUGAUACAACCUUUGCGAAUGAUCAGCUACAGUGCCUCAGAUUCUCCUGCUCUAUACCCAAUGUUACUGGCCGAGGACUCAUUGAGGUGCUGUUCCAUUCUUAAUAUAUGUUUUAUAUUUCCUUUGAAGUGUGCUUAUCAUUACUUAUUUAUUUAUUUUUAUUUCAGGUUGAAGACCAUGGUCUCAGCGGCUGCUUCUUUCCAUUUAUAGUUGCCGAGCAGGAAGUAUGUUCAGAGAUUUGUACCCUGGAGGGUGCGAUUGAGGUGGCUGAGACUGCAGAUAACAUCCAGACAGAACCUGAAAAGUUGGAAGCCAAGAACCAAGCGUUGGACUUUGUACAUGAAUUGGGUUGGCUCCUUCACAGAUGUCACACUAAAUUUAGACUUGGUCACGGGGAUCCCAACUUAGAACUAUUUUCUUUUAGACGGUUCAGGUUGCUUAUGGAGUUUUCCAUGGACCGUGAUUGGUGUGCUGUAGUGAAGAAACUCCUGGGCAUUCUGCUUGAGGGUACCGUUGACACUGGAGAACAUCCUUCUAUUGAGCUUGCGUUAUUGGAUAUGAGCCUCCUCCACGGAGCCGUGCAAAGAAAGUGCAGGCCUAUGGUGGAACUCUUGUUAAGAUUUGUCCUAGACAAAGGGUGGCAACAAGUUGACGGGGACGGCAGCAACUUCUUAUUUAAACCCGAUGCAGUUGGGCCCAUGGGAUUGACUCCUCUUCAUGUUGCAGCCAGUACUGAUGGAUGUGAGAAUAUAUUGGAUGCCUUAACUGAUGAUCCUGGAAAGGUAAUUUCUCAUUGUCUUCUUUGACAGUUUUCUUUCUAAUUGGAUGUAAAAAUCAGAACAGGUCUGCAUCAUUAUCCAUUUUUCUCCGUACGUGUUUGACCGUUUGCUCAUACAAAUGACUCAUGUCAGCUCAUUCUGUGUCUCACAUGAAUGUUGAUAUUUCAAAUCGUUGUAUUUUCAAGCAUACAAAUGUUGAUAUCUUUGCUUCUUUAGGUGGGAAUUGAAGCGUGGAAAAAUGCUCGAGACAGUACAGGAUUGACACCAAAUGAUUAUGCAUGCCUGCGAGGCCGCUACACCUAUGUCCAAAUUGUCCAGCGGAAAAUCAACAAGAAACAUGAAAGCGGGCACGUGGUGCUUGAUAUCCCUGGCGUUAUCUUAGACAGCAGCAGCAAGCAGAAACAAUUAGAUGGGCAUAAGUCCUCAAAAGUCUCCAUCUUGGAGACCGAAAGGAUCGAUAUGAAAGCAAUGCAGGCACAUUGCAAGCAAUGUGAAAUGAAACUAGCAUAUGGAAACACAAGGUCGUUUGUGUACAGGCCGGCAAUGCUGUCAAUGGUAGCCAUUGCUGCUGUCUGUGUUUGCGUGGCCUUGCUCUUCAAAAGCUCGCCUGAAGUCCUUUAUGUCUUCCAGCCCUUCAGGUGGGAACUCUUGGAGUAUGGACCGAGCUAAGGCAGUUUACGCGUCUCAAAUUUUAGUUACUCUGGCUUUAGGCCGUUUGUGUUAAUCAUAUGUAUAAACGGAUAACUCAAAUUUUAGUUACUCUGGCUUUAGGCUGUUUCUGUUGAUCAUAUGUAUAAACCGAUAACUCUAUAGGGAACAUAAUGUACCAGUUUUCGUAUCCGUUAAGAUUUCCACGAGAGGUGUUGCACUGUAUGUAUUAAUGAUAGUUCAUAUAAAGCGUGUAUAGGGAAAGAUUGACGUAAAUAGUACUAUUGACCAAUUGUUGAGGCAAUAGAUUGCUGCAUUACUUCCAAAAACACAUACAAACAUUGUAUUCGAUGAGGCGGAAGAUUCGGACUUGAAAAUUCUUUCGCUUUUAAGUCAGCUUUCUUAAACAGAAGACAAUAUUUAGUAGGGCGGCCUGACUAAUAAUUUCUUUCGCUUUUAAGUCAGCUUUCUUAAACAGAAGACAAUAUUUAGUAGGGCAGCCUGACUAAUAAGUAGGUUAGACUACUCUUGCUAAAUUUUAUGCAUUGAGAGUUGUAUUUACGUAAGACUGGAUGGUGACCAAAUACAUAGAAUCACGUUCCUUCAUGAGGGGAUAAGGCUGUCUCACAAAGGUUGGAGCUUUGUGCUUACUUAGAUACAUGAAUCUCGUUCUUUCGUGAGUCAACUUUUCAGGUUAUUCAACUCAAAUGUUAUGAAUAAAAUUGGGCCAAAAUUAGAUCAAACAGUUGUUUUUCUCCAAAUAUUUUUAAUUUGGUCAAAUGCAUGAAUCUCGUUCUUUAGUGAGAUAACUUUUCAUGUUAUUCAACUCAAACGUUAUGAAUAAAAUUGGACCAAAAUUAGAUCAAACAGUUGUUUUUCUCUAAAUAUUUUUAAUUUGGUCAAAUCCAAUCCGAGUCUAAUAUUAACUAGCAAAAAAAAAAGCAGAAAAAUGGAUUUUACAGGCUAAUAAAAUAAUAGGAAAAGGACUCCAGUCACAGAGACACGUUGACUCAUAUUUUGACAUGAAAUUGUUUUCCACUUCAACAAGUCAUAUUCAUGGUCCUUACAUAGUGUACACAAUUAUUACCUUGUUUAAUCUUUUUCAAUUAUUUUGUCGUUUUGAACCUUUUUUCUUUGGUUUAAUUGCCAAUAAUUCAAGCAUUAAAUCUUGAUCUCGAAAUGGAACAAUUUUCCGGUGUACUAAGAUCACGUUCACGUAAAAUUACUGGUUCAUUUAAAUUAUAUUACGUAGAUUUGUUAAUAUUAAGUUUAGGUUAAAUCUCACAAUAAUUAGUAAUAAUAUGACGAGAAUUAAACUUGAAAUAUAUCACUUAUAAUAAAAUAAAAUAUCAUUAGUUUAAAUAUUAAAAUGAUACACCUCGUAACUUGUAACGCUGUUAAUUUCUAAUCGAAAUCAAAAGGAGACGCGUCAUUUGAGGCCACCACCUCUCUCCUCUCACUCUCCCCACUGAAACCGAAUUUACACAGUAAGAGAACCCUUUUCCUAACCUUUUCCUAAUUUUCAUGUGCUGAUUAGCUUUGUCUCGGGGCCUAUAUUCUCUCUGCCUCAACUGCGAUCUCAGCCACUUCUUCGUCAGCUCUCAGUUCUCAGCUCAUCUCCCAACAAUUCACCAACCUGCCGGCAAGUUUCUCUCUCUUUACUCUCUCGCUCUCCUCUUUAUUUCCACAAAAAAAGAUUGGGUCUUUCAGUUCUUUCAGCUCAAGUUUCUUUCCAUGGAGUUGAAAGCAUUGACUAGGAUGUAAUUGUGGGCUUGCAAAUACGGUAUUUUGUACUGACUUGUUGAGAGAAAAACUGGGUAAUUGGUGGAUUUUGGGUUCUGGGCAGCUGUAGCCUGUAGUUUAGCUCCAUUUUUAUGCUGGUGUGCUGUUCUUGGUUUUCUGGGGUUCUUGGAAAGAACAAUUUCCAGAAAUUUCUGGGGCUGUGGUGUUAUUGACUUUUUGUUUUGGGGUGAAAUUUAUAGUUUUAUCUCUGAGCUGUAGUUGUUGUUAUUGUUCAAUUGGGUGUUUGUAUCUGGUGGAGUUUGACUAGGGGGCAUUGUAACAUCUCUGGGUUUUUUGUAUCUUGAUCUAUGGAGUCUGAAUUCGGAGGAAAGGCUUGUAAUUUUCGUGGUGUGAUGGUGCCGAAUUUGAAGGGGGUUGGGAAAAAGAGUUUGGAAUGGGAUUUGAAUGAUUUUAAAUGGGAUGGUGAUCUUUUUACUGCUAGUCCAUUAAAUUCUACACCAUCUGAUGGUAGGAGUAGGCAGUUGUUUCCGGCCAGGCCAGAAACUCCGUCGGAUGCUGGUUUGUCCAACAGUUCUUCUUCUGGUUCGGAUAAUAUCAGUCCGGGGAAUGAGAAAGAUCAAAGAGAAUUGGAGAAACGGAGAAGGGAUUUUUUUGUGGAAAACCGAGAGUUGAAUGAUGAAGCUGCGUCUCUGAAUCUUAAACUUGGCGGGCAAACUUACCCCAUUAUGGAAGAAGAAGUACAAACCGGGAAGAAAACAAAGACAAUUGGGACUACUUCAAACCGUGCAGUUUGUCAGGUGGAGGACUGUAAGGCUGAUCUUAGCAAUGCCAAGGAUUAUCACCGGAGGCAUAAGGUCUGUGCUAUGCAUUCUAAGGCAACUAAAGCGCUGGUUGGAAGUGUUAUGCAGCGGUUCUGUCAACAGUGUAGCAGGUUGGUUCCAUCCUAUUGUUAUUUAUUGUUUGGUUGAAACAUUUCCCCGAUUUUCUUGAAUUAACUUGAAAUACAGAGUUUGGUUGUGUAAAUUUUGUUGUCAUGCGUUUGUUGUGCAUGGCUGUUCAUCAAUCUUCUUACGGUAUGGUUGAGUUCUGCAGAAGGUUUUUUUUGUUGAAUUAAAUGUAACAGGGUUAACACUCGUGGACAGGUUUCAUGCUCUUCAAGAGUUUGAUGAAGGGAAGAGAAGUUGCCGUAGGCGUUUGGCUGGCCAUAAUAGGAGGAGAAGAAAAACACAUCCUGAUACUGCAGUUAAUGGAGGCUCUUUAAACAAUGAAGGCGGAAGCGGUUAUCUAUUGAUUAGCUUGCUGAGAAUACUUUCAAAUAUGCACUGUAAGUACUUGCCUUAUUCAUUGUACACUUCUGUCUUAGUGAAACAUUGUAUCUCAGAUUUAUUUGAAUCCGCAUAUUAUGCCAUUUAUAAAUUGCAGCUAGUAGUUCUGAUCAAACAAAGGAUCAGGAUGUCAUAUCUCAUUUGUUGAGGAGCUUAGCCAAUGUUGCUGGUACGGCUGAUGGAAGAAACAUAUCUACAUUGCUGCAGGGAUCUCAAGGUUUAUUUAACAGUGGGACAUCUGUCCAGACUGCACGAAGGGUUCUAGAUAUGAAUGCUGGUGUUAAUACUGAGGACCCUUUAAGGUCUAAAGGACACUGUUCGAUACUACCUGCAUCAAGAGACAGUUCUGAAUCCAAAUCAGUUACACCGGAAGCUACAAGUAGAAGGUUCCAGUUAAAUGAUUGAUUUAAAUAGUACAUAUGAUGAUUCACAGGACUAUGUAGAGAACCUAGGGAAUUCUCAUGUUCCUGCAAGUCCAGGCACUGCAUCUCUUGGUUUUCCUUCAUGGAUGCAGCGUGAUUCUCAUAAAUCAAGCCCACCUCAGACAAGUGGGAAUUCAGACUUAACUUCUACUCAGUCACCGUCAAGUUCUAGUGGAGAAGCUCAGGUAUAUCCUUGUAAUUGCAUCUAUUCCAUAAUUGCUUGGUAAUAUAAUGCUUAAAAAUGCCUUUGUCGUGGAUGAUGCUCAGCCCACUGUAAUUCGUCUUUUUUUUAAUCUUUUUUUCCAUGAGACCAGGGAUUAAUAUAUCAAUUGUCAUUAAUCAUUAUACGGCGUAUAACUUGUCUUUUGUUUGGAUAGUAGAAUACCUUUGUUCUAUCCUUGAGAGUAGUUAGGCAGUCAUGUAUUGUGUUCUGAACGUGUCUGUGUAUCUUUCCAUGGAUUGUCAAAAUAAUGGCGAGGUUAAGUGCGCUCGCUGCUUGGUUAUGGGAUAUAUGUAAGAAAUGCUUCAAUUGUGACUUAAAGUUGAGAUCAGUUAUCUCUUCCUUCAAACCAAUAUGGCAGUUUACAAGCGCAACCACACACACAAACAUACUUGUUGUGUAUACGUCUUCUUGAUGCUGUUAAUAGAAUUGAGGUUAAAGUUACCUGGUGGUUUCUGCAGUCCUAAUGGAACAUGCAUUAUUUAUGUAAAAGGCCAGUAUGUAGAAUGUAUCUGCAAUUUUACGUUUCUUGACUGCUCUUUUUCUGCCACAUAUCAGAGUCACACAGACCGAAUUAUUUUUAAACUAUUUGGAAAAGACCCUAAUGAACUUCCACUUGCUCUGCGAUCACAGGUACUAUAUUUCCUUUGAUUUUUCUAGUUUUCAAAGUACUUUUCAAAGUAUUUUGGUGUUUCAUUCCACGGACUCCAUGAUUUUUAUAAAUUAUUUGAAUAUCCAGAUCCUCGACUGGUUAUCUCACAGCCCUACCAACAUUGAAAGCUACAUAAGGCCGGGCUGUAUCAUUUUGACAAUUUACCUUCGUCUAGAAAAAUCCACGUGGGAGGAGGUAUUCUCGACUGUGGAUGGCAGAUCCUUGUAUGAGGAAGACUUUUUCUUCAAGUCCUUAAUUUUGACAAUUCACCUCUCCCAGACCCUGAUUAAAGCGGGAGCCUUGUGCACUGGGUACGACCUUUUUUUUUAUAAUUAUUUUUGCUUACAGUUCUGUUGUCAUCUGGGAUCCAGUUUGAAAACACUUCUUGAUGCUGCGGAUGAUCCUUUUUGGAGAACAGGAUGGGUGUAUACAAGGGUGCAAGAUUAUGUAGCAUUUACAUACAAUGGUUUGCCUCUCUCUCUCUCUCUCUCUCUCUCUCUCUCUCUCUCCCCCUCUCAUUUCGUGUGUGCGUACACAUUUGUGUAUUUAGGGUCUAUAGAAGAAUCUUGCUGUUUUAGUUUUCCAUUAUGCUUUAUUGAUUUUGGUCAUGCUUUGUUUUGUUAUUUCUAGUACAUAAUGAGGAUUGACCAAAAACAUUAACCUUAUAUGAGAGAAGCAUUUUGAUUAGUUAUGUCCAUCCUGCAGGUGAAGUUGUGUUAGACACACCCUUGCCUCUUAAAAGCAAUAAAAGUUGCAGGAUAUCAUGCAUCAAACCAAUUGCGAUCUCCUUAUCUGAGAGAGCUGAAUUUAUAGUAAAAGGCUUUAACCUUUCUAGUUCCACCACAAGGUUCUUUCAUCUUUCAUUCAUGCGUCAUUACUUUGUUUUCAAUAUUCCUCUCUAGUUUUAUAGGAUAACAGAAGAAAUACUAAAUUCUAGAUCUUGAGUCUUGACAGGUUACUCUGUGCUCUAGAAGGGAAGUAUCUGGCUCAAGAAACUUGUUAUGACUUGUUGGAUGAUGCGGAUAGCACUGUUGAGGAUGACGAACAACAAUGCCUUAAAUUCUCCUGCUCUAUACCAAAUGUUACUGGGCGAGGAUUCAUUGAGGUGCUGUCAUAUUCCUAAUUGUCCCUUUCCCCCUUCCUCCUCUUGUAAUGUGCAUUUUGAACGAGCCGUAUUUUAUAAGUCCGGAAUUUGUUUAUAAAUCUUCUUAUGAAUACUGAGUAUAGAUUUGUUUCUAGACAGCGCCUUAACUGAAAUCCACGGUUCUCAUUUUAUUGGUCAAAUUUAUGUCAGGUUGAAGAUCAUGGUCUCAGCAGUAGCUUCUUUCCAUUUAUAGUUGCAGAGCAGGAAGUAUGCUCUGAGAUUUGUAUGCUGGAAGAUGUGAUUGAGGUGUCCGAGACUGAUGAUGAUAUCCAAUCUGGACCUGAAAAAGUGGAAGCUAAGAACCAAGCCUUGGACUUUAUACAUGAAUUGGGUUGGCUCCUACAUAGAAGUCGCGUUAAGUUUAGACUGGGUCAAUUGGAUCCCAAUCUAGAUACAUUUCCCUUUAGACGGUUCAGAUUGCUCAUGGAGUUCUCCAUUGACCAUGAUUGGUGUGCUGUGGUGAAGAAACUCUUGGGCAUUCUGUUUGAUGGUACUGUCGACGCUGCAGAGCAUCCUUCCCUUGAGUCUGCACUACUGGAUAUGGGCCUCCUCCACAGAGCUGUGCGAAUCAAUAGCAGACGUAUGGUGGAAUUCUUGUUAAGAUUUGUCCCAGGUUUAACAGGAUCUGAGCAGAAGGAACAAGUUGACAGGGACGGCAACAGUUUCUUGUUUAAACCUGAUGUUGUUGGGCCCAUGGGGUUGACUCCUCUUCAUAUUGCCGCCAGUACUGAUGGCUGUGAGCAAGUAUUGGAUGCCUUAACUGAUGAUCCUGGAAAGGUAAUAUCUCCGUUUUUUGAAUUGCAACAUAAUAUUUUUCUUCUAAUUCUAUGUAGAAAUCACUUUGCGCUGGCUACAACCUCCAUCCCAUCUCCAUACCCAUUUGAACUCUUGCGCCUACAGUUGACCUGUGUCUGUUCUCAUACUGUUUCACACACGUGUUUUGAUGAUUUUAACUCAUUCUAAUUUCCAGCAUGUCAGGUUGCUCACGGAUUUUAGAUCUGUAAUCAUGUCUUCUUUGACUUUGAGCUCUCUCUUUAGCUUUUCCACUGUCUUCUGCCUAAACAAAAUACACUGAUUCCAGUUAUUGAGUUGUAUUUCAAAUUCUCAAUUAACCAAUCCUAGACAAAUUAUGCAGUCUUGUAUUUUCUUUGGCUUGCGAAACAUAUGAAACAUAAAUCACCGUAGAAAAGUUAAAUGCGCCAUUCAAAUUGGUAAAGAAAGCAGCACCCCACAUCUAAAUGCAUGCUAACUCUUUCACAGCUGAAAGCGGCACCCAAAUUCUACAUUCAACUUGAAAUCAAAUAGGACUGCUGUUAAAAUUUUUGACGAUAAAUGAAUUAUGAUUCUUUUCAUCGUUCUAGUUUCAACUUUCAAGCAUGUGUUUAGGACUGCUGUCAUGAAAUUUCUUUAGUGUCAGAUAAUCCAUUCAUCAAGUUGAUAUGGGCGUUUUUUUCUUUAGGUGGGAAUUAAAGCAUGGAAAAACACUCGAGACAGCACAGGAUUGACACCAUAUGAUUAUGCAUGCCUUCGAAGCCGCUACUCCUAUGUCCAUAUAGUCCAGCGGAAAAUCAGCAAUACACUGGAAAGCGGGCAUGUGGUGCUUGACAUCCCUGGCCUCACGUUAGACAGAAAUGGAAAGCAGAAGCAAUCGGAUGCGCAUAAAUCAUCAAGAGUAGCCAGCUUGGAAACUGAAAGGAAUGAUAUAAAAGCAAUCUUACGACACUGCAGGUUAUGUGAACAGAAACCAGCUUAUAGCACCACACGGUCACUUGUAUACAGGCCGGCAAUGCUGUCAUUGGUGGCUGUCGCUGCUGUCUGCGUUUGCGUGGCCUUGCUCUUUAAAAGCAAUCCGGAAGUUGUUUUCGUGUUGGAGCCAUUCCGGUGGGAACACUUGAAGUUUGGUUCAAGCUAAGGUUAUAGUUUACGUGUAUUAAUUUAUAGUGACUCUGGUUAUACAUAGACCAUUUCUUUUCACGUGGAUAGGAGUAUAUUUUCUAUCUGAUUUUUAUAUGUAUAUCUAGGGCCACUCAAGCCAACAAGACUCUUCGCAUUGCAAUGGUCGGAACGUCUAUCGUAUCUGUAUUUGUAUACCUAAGCUUCCAAAAUAAACAUGGGCUGUCAUGGAUUUUGGUCCACCAGGUUUGAUUGUAUUUGUAUUUGUAUAACAGUGUUACAAACUGGAUGACACAUAAUUUCUCUGUUUGAUAUUUCUUUUUUUUUUUUCAAAAUAAACAUUUGGCACGAGGUGAUUCGGUGUUCGAUUAUUAGUGCAUUUACUGUAUAAAUUAAAUUUUAAUUUUAGAAAAUUCAGCAUUUUUGUUGGUUAUAUUGGAGGAAAUCGAACUUUGGUCUACUCUAAUUCUAACUUAUUACCAUACCCUCCUCCAUUAUUUGAGCUCAUAUAAGCAUAAGCACACUAAACAAGGUUAAGUAUAGAAGAAUUUGGGAAUUGAGAAUUAUUGUUUGAGCAUUAUUUCAUGUUUAGUGCAAAUUGAGGUUGAAUUAUUUUCUAAUUUUAUUAGUUUAAUCAUUUGGAUGAAUUUGUUCAUGCUUCCAUAUGAAAUCAUUAUUUUAUUAAAAUAAUUUAUUAAUAGUUCGAGAAAAACUUAAAUGGAGGUGCUCACGUCAUUCAUCACGCAUUCACAUUCACAUUCGUUACACGUUUCUCAUAAAAACAUAAAACUCUUUCAAAUGAAUAGGUUUCACUGAAUUUGGAUAAUAUCCGACUUUACAUAAGUACAAGUAUCAAUGCACAUGAUUCCAACCAGUAAUUAUUAUCUUAUUUGAAUUACUUACCCCGAAUCAGACCUGAAAAAGUGUAAUUUAUUCAAAUUUUAUUUUCUGAAAUUCAAAAAAAUAAAAUAAAAUUUGAGGAUAAGAAAAUAAAGGGUAAAGAGGUCAUUUGCAUGCCCUGCCUCCUAAAAUCCACCUCACUACUCACUACCCCGUCACUGCUCUAACAAUUUUGCAGGCCAAAGCCAUCCAUGGCUUCUUCAAUCUCUCUCUCCUUCUCUUCCUCUCUCCUCCCUCAUCCUCUUCCUUUCAACAAAUACUCCACCGCCACCGCCGCCGCCUCCCAGAAAUCCCAAUACCCCAACUUUAAGCUGCUCCUCCGCGCAUUCGCCAACCCAGCUGUAAGCCGUCGCUCCACUCCAUCUCCGUCUUCCGACACCAGAAAGAGGCACUGGAAGAAAGGUGAAUACCCAGGCGUCUCGGAGACGUCGGCUCCGGCGAAUUACAGAAAAACCCCUGGUCGUUCCACUUCAUCUGAGUCUUCCGACACCAGAAAGAAGCACUGGAAGCGAGGUGAGUUCCCGGGCGUCUCGGAGACGUCGACUCCGGCGAAUCACAGAAAAACCCCUGGUCGUUCCACUUCAUCUGAGUCUUCCGACACCAGAAAGAAGCACUGGAAGCGAGGUGAGUUCCCGGGCGUCUCGGAGACGUCGACUCCGGCGACUUACAGAAAAACCUCCGCUCGUUCCGCUUCAUAUCCGUCUUCCGACAACAGAAAGAAGCACUGGAAGCAAGGGGAGUUCCCGGGGGUCUCGGAGACGUCGAUUCCGGCUAUUUAUAGAAAACCCCCUUUGAAAAAUGUGAAGAAGAAGCUGGACCGGAAGAACAAUGCCAAGGCCUGGGUCAACACCGUCACGGAGGCCCUGUCAGACGCCAUUGACAAGAAGCAGUGGCUCCAAGCUCUUGAGGUUUUUGUCUUAAUCUAAACAAAAAUUAACAAAUUUUUCAUCUUUUUUCUUAUGUGUUUUUAGUUUGGUGAAUGUAAAUUGAUGCAAAAUUUAAAAAAAUGGUAUUUUUAUGCUUACCAAUUUAGUUUCUUGAACCAUGUUCUUGAAAAAUGUGAUCUUUUUAGCUGAAUGAUUUUAGUGGAAUUAUAAUUAAUUGGGUGUUUUUGUUUGGAAAAUGUAUGAUGAAAUUGGGUACUAUUACGUUCAGGUGUUUGACAUGCUUAGGGAACAACCAUUUUAUCAACCGAAAGAAGGGACUUACAUGAAACUCAUUGGUAUGCUUGGAAGGUGCGGCCAACCCAAUCGUGCCCGCCAGCUUUUCGAUACAAUGGUUGAAGAGGGCUGUGAACCAACUCUUGACCUUUACACAGCCUUGCUCGCGGCUUAUUGCCGGAACAAUCUGAUUGACGAGGCAUUUUCUGUUCUUAACCUGAUGAAGACUCUCCCGCAAUGCCAGCCUGACGUUUUUACUUACAGUACCUUGAUAAAGGUUUGCAUUGAUCAUUUGAAGUUUGAUUUAGUUGAGUCCUUGUAUGAGGAAAUGGCUGAGCGGUUGAUAGCUCCGAAUACAGUCACCCAAAACAUAGUGUUGAGUGGAUAUGGUAAGGCCGGGAAGUAUGACCAGAUGGAAAAAGUGUUGUCCGGGAUGCUGGAGGGUACAAGUUGCAAGCCUGAUGUCUGGACAAUGAAUGUUGUCCUUAGUGUGUUUGGAAACAAGGGUCAGAUAGAUAUGAUGGAGAGAUGGUAUGAGAAAUUCCGUGAUUUUGGGAUUGAGCCGGAAACUCGCACUUUGAACAUUCUGAUUGGUGCUUACGGGAAGAAAAGGCUGUAUGAUAAGAUGUCAACUGUGAUGGAGUACAUGCGCAAGCUUCAAUUCCCAUGGACAACCGCAACUUACAACAAUGUGAUAGAGGCUUUCGCGGACGUAGGAGAUGCAAAAAACAUGGAAUACACGUUUGAACAGAUGCGUGCUGAGGGCAUGAAAGCAGACACCAAAACAUUCUGCUGCCUUAUUAAUGGGUAUGCCAAUGCAGGCCUCUUCCAUAAGGUGGUUAGCUGCGUUCAGUUGGCUGGAAAGUUUGAGAUACCUGAGAAUACCACAUUUUACAAUGCGGUGAUAGCUGCAUGUGCAAAGGCAGAGGAUUUAAUGGAGAUGGAAAGAGUUUUCAACCGGAUGAAAGAGAAGCAAUGUCAACCGGAUUCCACAACAUACUCUGUCAUGGUUGAGGCAUAUAGUAAGGAAGGUAUGAACGACAAGAUCUACUACUUGAAGCAGGAGAUUGGUACUGAUGGUAAUCAAAGUGAUCAGAUUAGUGUUGAAGAAAAUCAAAGUGAUCAGAUUAGUGCCGAAGAGAAUCAGAGUGAUCAGAUUAGUGUGGAAGACAAUCAGAGUGAUCAGAUUAGUGAUGAAGGCAAUCAAAGUGAUCAGAGUAGUUUUGAAGAUAAUCAAAGUGAUCAGGCUUUUGGAGCUGAGUCUGGCGGUGUUGUCUAGUUGAGAUCUUUGGAGGCAACAGUAUGCUCCAAAAAUCCCUAAUCUCACAGGGCAAUUCCAUUCCCCGCAGUUCUUCUAAGGCAGCAGCAAACUCUUAUUGUGAAAUUGCCGAUCGAUCAGGUAAUCAAACAUUUCCAUUCUCGGAUGGGUGUUAGCAAUGCUGCUUCCUCCAAUUUUAUGUUUCUGGUGAAGGACUGUAUGGAUUGAUCUGAUAGACUGAUAACCCGGGUGAAACUUUAUGGAAAAUGAUUGUACAUACAGAGUUGAUAAGUGUCUCUCUCCAAACUUGAUGCGAUCUCUAAACUAGCAUGCAAAAUUGUACGACGAUUUGUAAGAGUGUUUAACUGUGUUCAACAGAGGAAUUGCUUUUUGUUAUUGCCUGAAAUGUUUUGAAUGUAACUUCACGUAUAUAUUGUCUGCAGCAGCUGCUGGACAAUCAUAGAAGGUGGUCUGUAAACACGUUGUUUUUGAAAAUUAAUCGCUCUUUUCGGUACAUUUUGUGCUGCUGUUGUUCGAAUGUUUUGGCACUUGAGGCAGACAAUUGAUCUGCAAUUAUCCCAAAAUGUAAGGGUCCAGCUCAACAAAACGCAGGGGUAAUUUGAUCAAAGAUGUAAGUUUUGUUAUAUUGACUUUUGAGUAGCAUUGGUAGUGUAAUAAACAAUAUCAGUAACGUUGAAUAAUAAUAAAUUUUACUUGGAUGCCGGCGUGUGUAGUAAGAAUAUGUCCAAAGUGGUUUGGACAACGACAUGAUGGUGCGUUAACUAAUAUGAUCUUAUCACGUGAUGAGAGAUAAAGGAGAGAUGAAUGUAUUCGUGACCUGGAGGUUAUUCUACACGUAAACUUGUAAAGAUAGGCAAACAGGGUGCUUUUUGGUUGAAACGAAAUGCUGAAUUGUUUACUCUUUCUUGUGUAAGAAGAGAAGACUUGUAUCGUAAUCAGGUACUAAUUGUUGUCUUUUGGUCCCACCUUACCUCACACUAUAAAUAAUGGCAUCUAAACCCGAUUAUUCACAGAGAAGCUUUCACAAAAGCAUAAAACUCUUAUAUUUUGGUUUCACUCGCCUCAAACUAGUCUCCCUCGUUGAAAUAGCUAACCUAGUUAGGAACUGUACACAAGUUUCUCUCGUAUCGAAGAAAGUCAAAGAAGUUUUUAGCUCACAAAAGCACAUAACCCCCUAUAUAUUCCAUUUGAAUCACCAUUUACAAAAUUUGUACUAACUUUCCAGUCGAAGAUAGGAUAGUUUCGACAAGUAUUGAACGGCUAAGAUAACUUUAUUUAUUACAUGAAUGGCUAAGAUUAAAAACAAGGGCACGUAGACGAAUACAAACAUCUUCAAUGAGAGGAUCCACCAUUUCUACCAUUGGAAAUUUAAUUUCCUUACAGAAUAGGCGAAAAGUGAAGCGAAAACAAUCGGGAAAGCAAUGAGAACAAUCGCCACGAGGAAUAAACGAUCGUGAUGGAAGCCAUAGUAGUCUUGAAGGAAGGAAGCAACUGUUUUCUGCUCCCCAAAAAUCAAAAUCUCUUUGUUCAUGUCUCCAUAUUGUGAACUGAGGAGGGCAUUUAGGGACCAUGAUGUAGGACAAAUCCAAUAGAACCAAAUCCACCACUUGGGAAUUUUCUGCAUAAAAUAUAUAGAACAUGGUCCGCUAGGCUCACAGUAAACCGUCAUAUUAAGGGUUUAUUUGGCACUGCUUCUUUAGAAAGAACUUUUGCUUAUAAAUUAUAAGCGCUUUUUCUGUAAGUUGUUUAAUAGAGUUAUGUUGCAAAAAAAGCAGUUGGGAGGGCUUCGCAUACUAAAAGCUCUUAAAGUUUUACUACAUAGUCUUUUGGCUUUUCUAGAAGCAGUCUCAAACAGGGCUAAAGACUAAAGAGAGAGUUAGAUUUAGUUACCGGCCCGAGCACAAGGAAGCCGGAAAAAAGAUUCAAUAUGGUGUAGAUUGCCGUUGCGAAAAUGGAAGCUACUUGCAGGCUUGUGCUAAAAGAAGCUAUCAGCAUCCCAAGGUAUACAAAUUAGAGAAAUGUAGAGAAUGUUGCAUGGAAGUACCAGAAAACCUUAGUAGCUGACCAAUAGUACCCUAUUGUAGGGUAUGUAAUAAUGACAUACAGAAUUGCUUGAACCACUUUGUAAGUUAUUUCAAUGGCCACCUACAACAACAUUCAAAAUUUCGACAUGUUAAAAACCUUUCCACUACAAGCUACGUUAUAGUACCAGUUAAAAUGUACGAACCUGUGCAAACGAAUGAGCGUUUGAUGAGUACAUCCCAGCAAAUCUUUCCCGGUACAGAACUGCGCGCUCAGUAGCCACGUAAGGCAGAACCGUCGAGCAAUUGGUUGUGCCCAAAAAUAUUACAGCAAUGUACAGUAACCCAAGCACGUUGAACAAAUCAUGCUCAUUGUUUCUUGAGGAACAAGAAAAACACAGGAUUUAGCGUUGUUGAGCAAAAAUUGUACAUAAUAUGUAAACAAAUAAUUCUCUCGACAUAAUUUCACCCUCGUUCAUUUUUCGAAGAGGGUUUUAUUAGUUUGAGUUUGAUUCAUUCUAGGUUACGCGCCUAUUAAUUACAACCUUUCUUUUGGGAAAGGAAUACCCUUUGAUUCUAAUAUGAAUAAAUCGUAAUUUGAGGAUUUGGGUGUUUAUUUGAUUUUGUGACUGUAUCUAGGUAGAGCCCUAGAUUGCCUACGUACCCUCGUUGAGGGAUCAAAUCACUCGUAGUUCCUUAUGUGUUUUGUUGGGGUUUGACGCCUUGUGCAGUUUCAGCUCAUGCAGAUGAGGAUUUUAAGCCGUUGGAGCUUUAAUAAAUUUGAUAUGGUUUUAUGCCAUUCUGAAAUUUGAUACGGCUUCGUGCCAGUUAACAUAGCUUCGUGCCACUUGAGAUUUUGUUGCGGCUUCAUGCCAUUUGAUAUUUGACUUUUUCUUCGGCUUUACGGCUUCGUGCCAUUGAAUUGGCUUUGAGCCAUUUGAGGCAGCUUUGUCCCAUUUAAAGUGGUUUUAUGCCGCUUAAACGUUGAGUAAAAUUAACAGGUUUAUUUCUGAUAAACCCACUAAUAUUUUGGCAUUUGACUCUGGCUUGGUACCAUUUCUUACUCCAUGUUUAAUUUUACUUUUCCUUUUUCGUUUGCCCUUUCUUCUGACAAAUUUGUAGAGAAUCAUGCUUGGAAUAAAAAAAAAAUUUCCUCUGUUCCUUCAUGGGAUUUACUCCACAAGGGUUUUGUUCAAAGCAGCAGAAGUGAAUUUAGUUUAUACAAACCAGGGAUUCAUCUUGAUUUCUUGGUUGCGUCUAAAAUUUGAUAUCAGACUGCCUACGUAUCCUUAACGGAAUCAAACCGGCGUAGUUCGUAACUUUUGAGACUCAUCGCGGCUUUGUGCCAUUUGAUACUUGAUAUGGAUUCGUGCCAUUUGAAGUUUGACGGAGCCUUGUGGCAUUUGUGUCUUGUAAAUAUUUGUGAUGAACCCACUUUUACAUUGGUAUUUGACUUUGUCUUCCUUUUCAUUUAUUUUGUCUUGGAACCCAUUUUAUUUUGCCUACAAGCCCGUCACUCUAUUGUUGCCCUUUAUUUUUUUGCAUGGUAGCACAAAAAAAAUCCUUGCUUUCAUAUGGAAAAUAUAAAAGCAAGAGUCAAAGCUCCUUUAUUUUUACCAAUGCCUUUUUCAAGCUUUUAAGUCCCUUGCUUUUCUUCUUUCUUUAUUUUUCUUUUGUCAUUGCCGUAUGUCUCCCUAAGAACAACUCCACUUUUGGAGCCCUUUCUCCAUGCAAUCCACUAUUCAAUCCACCAUGUAAACAGUAAUUACCCUUAAUAAACAGUAACUACUUUUGUAUCUCAACCCUUGCACUUGAAUACCCUUGGCAAUAGGCAAUAAAAUAUUAAUUUUUAUAAUUAAUAUUAUAUUAUUUAAUUUGUACAAAUUAAUAUUAUAUUAUUAAUUUAUCUUUUCCAAUCUCUUCCCGAAACUUCUACCAUUUUUGUUUUCUUCUUCCUUCCCACUCUCUCACUCCCCUCUCCCUCAUUGUCUUCUUUUUUUUCUCCGGCCGACAGUCUACCUCCCCUCUCUCUUUUUCUCCCCCAUUUCUCCCUGUUUUCUUCCUCAAACGAGGAAGCUGCGAAUUUUGAGAGAGAGCAGCACCGAACCCACCCGCCUCCCGCCAUGUCUAAAUCCACUGAUGUGUCUUUCUUCCUCCUCAUGGUCCUCUGCGGCCAGGCCCAAAGAGGCCGCCUGCUUCUUUCCGACUUCAACCAAUCAACGUCAUCCGAUCUGAUCUCCGAUAGAGUCCACCACCACCACCGGUCCCACACCCUGGCUCCCUACCUCACUCUCGAGAACGCCCUUUCGGCGGAAGACUCCACCUGCAAGCAGACCUACGUUUUCCUGCCUUGCACCACCACUGUGAUCGACAACCUUUCCUAAUUCCUGACAGAAAAAAAUUAAAAAAAAGGACUGACGCCAGCCUGACGUCAGCCCCUACUCGGGCUGGCAAUUCCUCAUAGACCCUUUGCUCGGGCCUUGGCUGCUGCUUGGGCUUGCUCACGCUGGAGCUGGUCGACAGGGCCUUGGGCUCUUUCUUCUCCCCCCGUCCCUCGAGCAGGAGCUUCCGCUAAAGCUGCUCUAAUGGUUCGAAGAUGAUGGAAUCCAAUUUGAAAUGGCACAAGUUAAAUUUCCAUAAAGAACUCCCAUAACUUUAUUGACCCCUACGUGAGCAACUUUCCAUGUGAGGUGCUGAUUUCAGUUAGCAUUCUUCUUUGAUCUUUUCAAACCCAUUUAAACAUGGGACUUCGAACCUAUCUGACCUAAACUUCUGACCAAUCUGAGAGCAAGCCUUACUCUUUUCUUUGUUUGACUUCAAAGGUCUCCAAAUUCCAAUAAGACUUUAUCCCAUACUUUAAAUGGGGGAACCAUGACUUUCUUUUGUCUUCCACGACUUUCUUUUGUCCUCCACGUGAGUGGUUUUCUUGCUAUGAAGUAAAAGAAGACCACAUCAACAUUUUUUUAACUUUACUUUUGAUUUGACAAAAGCUUUUUGGUCUGGAACUCUUCUUCUCUCCUUAUGAGUUUUAAACAUUUUUUUUUCUUUGUCUUCAACCUUGAAUUUAGCUUUGCCCAACAUUUGACAAUAACUUACUUCAUCUUUGAGGUGCCACGUAUUUAGCCUUUUUUAAAAAAAACAAGCACUUUCUUUUGAGUUUUCUGUUUCCUGCAUGGAUUUGUCUUCACAGGGGUAAAACUAGUCUUCGACUAAAAUCACGAAUCAUCUUUUGCUUGUUGGAGAUUUUUUCUUCAAUUCCUAAUUUAAACAGGAAUUUGAAUGAAACUUGGUCAGUGGCAACUAGCGCCUAUUCUUCUUUGGCUGGGCUUUCUUUGGGUUUCUGUCUCAAUGAAGAACGCCAAAAGUUUUUGAAGAAGACCAUGGCCCGUCGACCGACAGAAGCUUCGGGACCAUAGCUGGGCAUGUUGGGUUCUUGUUCUCCACUUGUUCAAAUGUGCAGAGUGACGGCUUAUUCUCCGUUGCAUCUCUGAAAAGAGGAAGGGAGAUGUCGAAAACUUCUUUAGACACCCAAGAGGCUACAGGAGGUUGUGGGAAGACGAUUUGCUGCUGUGUUUUGAUGAAAUCUCCGUUGGACAUCACAAGUUGCAGGGUGUCGAUGAUGUUGAAGACAUGGCGCAGCUGCUGUCUCUGUUUGGGCUUCCGUCUAACGUCGGCGGUUUAUUGCAAUGUUGCCUUCAUUAGCUAUUUCACACCGCUGCCAUCUUCUUGCUCAAACCUUCGUCAAAUUUGUUGAUGGUCUGGACUGGCGUGCCCAACUACGUCACCUGGUUUCAUCACCUUCGGAUCACGAACUGCACUGCCCUUGGGCUUCUUCCGGAGGACUGACAGAGACGACGGUUGAAAAAUGGUGGUGUUGCCGUAGUGCAGUGAUCACCUAGACCUGGUUGGAACUUCACGGGGUGGUUUAGACCACCCCGAAGAAAUUCAUGGGACUGGGGAUGGGAGAGAAACAAAUUGUUUUUUUUUCUUCUUGCAAAGCCGAGAGAAAGCAUACAAAGAAAGAUUUAGAAGGAUAGAUUUAUACCUUUAAAUGCUUUGUAGCAUUUCCUGCUCUUUGUUCUUGCGGGUAGCACUUGAUAUCUUCUUCUUUUUUCUUCUUUUGUUUCUCUUUUGCCUUUGCUCUCUUGCUUUGCCUCUCAUUCUCUGUUGUCUUCAUUGCGCUUUUCUGUCUCUCAAUUUUUGCAGAGUACCCUUGUCUUUUUUUUUUUUUUUUCUCUUGCUGUAGUUGAUGCCUAUUUAUAGGCAUCCCAAGUAAAGGAUGAUACAUUCCUGAUCUCUUGGGAUUGUUUCCUGUUUCAUCAUGAUUUCCAGAUUUCCCUGUUUUAUUAAAACAUUCCCCUUAUGUAUUCUUUGUAGAUUAAUUAUACUUGUAAAUCAAGUCAUUGUACACUAUUUAAAUCAAUGAUAAUGCACCCUCUAGGGCAUCGAGGGAUUGAGCCAAAAUACCUUCUUUUGAGUUAUCUUUUAUGGUACUCAGAGCCAGUGACUAACGUCUUUUUUUUCUUUUCGGAUUCUUCCUACUCUUCUCCAUGGCUGCCUCAACCAGUUCGACUACUCCUUCCUCCGACAUCUUCCCUUCUGUUUCUCAUGCGAUCUCCAUCAAACUUGACUCUUCCAAUUAUCCUCUUUGGUUGGCUCAGUUGCUACCUGUUCUUCGCAGUCGUCAAUUGUUGGCUUUUGUUGAUGGUACUUCCAUCUGCCCCUCGGCGUUCUUGUCCGACGAUACCGGCAACGCCUCUUCCAAACCCAACCUCGCGUAUGCUGACUGGGUUCAGAAGGACCAGCUUGUUCUUUCUUGGAUCAAUGGCUCUCUUGGUCACCAGGCCCUCGCCGCCACUGCUCGUCAUUCCACUGCCCGUGAUGUUUGGGUUGCUCUUCAGCAGCGUUUUGCUUCUACAAACCAAAGUCGCAUUCUUCAGCUUCGUACUGCUUUCUUCCAGACCAAACGAGGUGAUUCUUCAAUUUCUGACUUUCUUGAUAAGAUCAAUGGUAUUGCCGAUCAAUUGGCCCUUGCCGGGGCACCUGUUUCUGCUGAUGACAUGGUGCCGGUCGUCAUGUCUAAUGUCGGCCCCAAAUUUGAGAACACUGUUGCUGCUGCUCAGGCCCGUGACAACCCCAUCUCCCUUUCUGAUCUUGAGGCUCUUCUUCUCGUUGCUGAACUCCGCCUUGCUGAUCCUCCUGCUCCGCCGGACUCCAGCGUCUCGGCCCUGGUAGCCUCCCGCGGCUCUUCUGCCUUUCAUGGCCGCUCCUCUUCUGAUCGCGGCGGCGAUCGUGGCUCUGGCCGUUUCUCACGUGGGGGUGGUCGUCCUCAACAUGAUGGGUCUCGCAACAAUGGUGGUGACGGCUAUCGUGGCUAUCGCGGUGCUGGUGGUUUCCAUGAUCGUCCGUUUCGCGAUCGUGGUGGUGGUCGUCCUCAGCACGAUGGCUCUCGCUUCCGUGGCUCCAACAAUGCUUCUGGGGUUCUUGGUCCAGCCCCAUAUCACGGUUCCUCCCGUCCUCGCUGCCAUAUUUGCAAUACUUUUGGUCAUGGUGCUCUUGACUGUGCUCAACGUCUUAAUUUGGCUUAUGAAGGUCGUCCUCCUUCUUCCCGUCUCACUGCCUUGACUGCUCAGCACUCCCAGCCUUGGCUCAUUGAUUCCGGGGCAAACUCGCAUAUCACCAAUGAUCUCAAUACUUUGUCUCAGUCCCGUGAUUAUCGUGGUGGUGAUUCCGUCGGUGGUGUCGUUGGCGGUACAGGUUUGCCCAUUAACCGUAUUGGCUCCUCCACUCUCUCUCAUAAUAAUAUUUCUUUCAAGCUUAAUGAUGUUCUUCAUUGUCCGGAUGCUUCUACUUCUGUGUUGUCUGCUAAUCGGUUUAUGUUGGAUAAUAAUUGUUAUAUUACAUUGUUUCCUUCUUGUUUCUAUAUUCAGGAUAUGGAGACGGGGACGAUUCUUUUUUCGGGCAAGAGUAGCAAUGGCUUUUAUCCCUUUUCCUCUUCAUCACCGACUGCUCAUGGUCGUGCUGCUUUUCUUGGUGUUCGUGUUGGUAGUGAUGUCUGGCACUCUCGUUUAGGCCAUCCAUCUUCUUCCAUUUUAAAAUUUCUUUUUUCUAGGCAUUCGAAUAAGUUGCCUGUUUCUGGCAACCUCAAUCUCAAUACUUUUAUGUGUCAUUCUUGUCCUUUAGGCAAAAGUGUUAAGUUACCUUUUUCUGCAUCAUUGUUUGUUACUCAAGCUCCUCUUGAGCUUAUUCACUCCGACGUGUGGAGUGCGUCCAAUAAAUCUGUUAGUGGUUUCCAAUAUUAUGUUCUUUUUGUUGAUAAUUUCUCUCGUUAUUCUUGGAUUUAUCCCAUGAAAUUGAAAUCUGAAGUCUUUAAUAUUUUUACUCACUUUAAGACCUUGGUUGAAAAUCAAUUCUCCACUAAAAUUAAGAUGUUUCAGUCCGAUGGUGGGGGCGAAUACACUAGUCACCAAUUCAAGAAUUUUUUUCUUCACCAUGGUAUUCAUCAUCGUCUCUCAUGCCCUCACCAUCCCGAACAAAAUGGUUUGGCGGAACGCAAACAUCGUCACAUUGUCGACACUGGACUUACUUUAAUGGCCCAUGCGUCGAUGCCUCCUGCCUAUUGGGCUAAGGCCAUGCACACAGCAGUUUAUCUUCUCAAUCGCCUCCCCUCUAAAGUACUUGGUUUUAUGUCUCCUUAUCAAAAGUUGUUUCUUAAGGAACCUGAUUAUAGUUUUUUAAAGACCUUUGGGUGUGCAUGUUUUCCCCACCUACGACCCUAUAAUAAUAAUAAACUCCAGUUUCGUUCUACUAAAUGUGUUUUUCUUGGUUACUCUCUCAAUCAUCAAGGUUCUCGGUGCUUAGACAUCUCUACUAACCGCAUCUUUUUAUCACGCCAUAUUGUGUUUGAUGAAGGUAAUUUUCCUUUCAAGGCCAUCUCUGGCUCUCUUGCCCCAUCCUCCCCGGCCUCGUCUCCUCCUCCUGUUUUAGAAAUCACUGGGCCUCUUCCGCAUGCCCCCCGACCGUCUAGCAGCCAACCGGUGGUUGUGUCCCCCUCUUUGGAGACUCAUCAAUCCAGUCCAUCAUCCGACCCACCACAGCCGGCCCUACAGGUUUACUCCCGUGACCCUCACAGGCGGGUUCUUUCUUUUGCACAAGCAGCAACCCCAUCUGUCACUCCCAGGCCCACGCCUGCUGUUGCCUCUGCAGUUCAACCUGAUGCGCCUCCCGAGGCUCCAUCUGCUGCUGUACCACCUGCCGUGCCCUCUACUUCCCAUGGUAUGCUCACUAGGUCCAAAACGGCUUCUCUUAAGCCUCAUAAAUAUGUUUUUUCUGCUGCCAUUUCUUCUUCUACCGGUCCUAUUGAGCCUACUUGUUUUAGUCAGGCCAACACUUUUCCCGAAUGGCGUACUGCGAUGGCCGAUGAAUUUAAUGCACUUCAACGUGCUGGUACUUGGACUCUUGUUCCUCGUACCGCUUCUAUGAAUAUUUUGCCAAACAAAUGGGUGUUUCGUAUUAAACAGAAUUAUGAUGGGUCUAUUCAGCGGUAUAAGGCUCGUUUGGUAGCCAAUGGUUUUCAUCAGCAACCCGGCCUUGAUUAUGGUGAAACUUUUAGUCCUGUUGUCAAUCACUCUACUAUUCGCUUAAUUUUGGCUCUUUCAGUUCAGUUUCAAUGGCCUGUUCGUCAGUUGGAUGUUCAGAAUGCUUUUCUUCAUGGCUCUUUGUCUGAGGAGGUCUAUAUGCACCAACCUCGUGGCUUUGUUGAUCCACAGUUCCCUCAUCAUGUGUGCCGCCUUCGUCGUUCUUUAUAUGGGCUCAAGCAGGCGCCCCGUGCAUGGUUCCAAUGUUUUUCCACUCAUUUGGAAGAUUUGGGUUUUCGUCCCUCUACUGCGGAUCACUCGCUUUUUACCUAUAUUCAUGGCUCUACUCGCAUUUAUCUCUUAAUUUAUGUUGAUGAUAUUUUGGUCACCGGGAAUAAUCCCUCAUAUUGUCACCCUCAUUAAGAAUUUGGGCAUCCGUUUCUCUAUGAAGGACCUUGGACCGGUUCAUUAUUUCUUAGGCAUGGAGGUGGUCCGCACUCCAUCAGGUCUCUCUCUUUCCUAACAAAAGUAUGCCACUGACCUACUUCACCGCACCAAAAUGCAUGGUGCUAAGCCGGUUCCUACUCCUGCCGUUAGUGGGCGACGGCUCAGUCUUCAGGAUGGUGACCCUCUGCCGGAUCCUAUUGAAUACCGAAGUGUUGUCGGCGCCCUUCAAUACUUGACUCUCACUCGUCCCGACAUCAACUUCGCCGUCAACCAAGUCUGCCAAUUUCUUCACCAGCCGACUUCUACUCAUUGGGCCGCCGUCAAACGCAUUCUUCGUUACCUUGUCGGCACUACUUCUCACGGUCUUACCUACAAGCCUGGUUCCUUUCGUCUUACAGCAUUUUCCGAUGCCGAUUAUGCCGGGAUCCUGAUGAUCGGCGUUCCACCGGGGGCUAUUGCUUGUAUCUGGGUUCCAAUCUUGUCUCAUGGAGUGCCAAGAAACAAAAUGGGGUCUCUCGGUCCAGCACUGAAGCCGAGUAUCGUCAACUUGCAAUCACCGCUGCCACUCUUUCAUGGUUUCGUAUGCUGUUCCGUGACCUCCAGUUUCCUCUACAUUGUCCUACACUGUUUUGUGACAAUAUCAGUGCUAUAUCCCUUGCUUCCAACCCGGUGUUUCAUGCCCGCACUCGGCAUGUUGAGGUGGAUUACCAUUAUGUUCGUGAAAAGGUUGUUCGCAAGGAGAUUGAUGUUCGUUAUCUUUCUACUCAUGAUCAGAUUGCUGACUUCUUCACCAAGGGCCUUUCUCUUCCUCGUUUUCGACUUCUGGUUUCCAAGCUUCCUGUACUUGAUUGUACUGUCAGCUUGCGGGGGCGUAAAGGAUGAUACAUUCCUGAUCUCUUGGGAUUGUUUCCUGUUUCAUCAUGAUUUCCAGAUUUCCCUGUUUUAUUAAAACAUUCCCUUUAUGUAUUCUUUGUAGAUUAAUUAUACUUGUAAAUCAAGUCAUUGUACACUAUUUAAAUCAAUGAUAAUGCACCCUCUAGGGCAUCGAGGGAUUGAGCCAAAAUACCUUCUUUUGAGUUAUCUUUUCCCAAGAAGGCUCUAGAAUUUGUUACGUGGGGGAAGAUGGAGACCAUGACCUCCUGCCACUUUCUGUUAACCCCCUUUUCUGACUCCACGUUUCUUUUUGUUGCAGAAAAUGGGGGAGCACCUGUUUUUUGCACGUUACUUCCCCCCUUAUGUAGGAAAAAAAUUAUAAAUUUUUUAUUUAUUCCUGAAUGUAUUUGUAUGUAAAGCUCAUCCUCAUCUUUUGGGUUGGAUUACAUUUUUGUUUUACCUUGAAGUUUGACUCAAUUUGAAUGGACUUUAUUUUUUCAUAUUUUUUUUGUUCAACAAGCGUAGUUUUCUUUUUCUUUUUCUCUGUGAAAUAUAUAGUAUGAAGAGGGUGGAAAUGGGUCGGGGCUUACAUUUCCUUCACUUUCUGCCAAAAGAUUGUUCCGAACCACACUGAUAGAGCGAAAAUAAACGCGAAACGUGCUAGAUUGUACUUUGGACUUCUCCAGUGGGACAAGUGUUGUUUCCACAGACAUGCCUUAAACUGCACCCAGCUAUUUUGAGCAAAAGGAGUGGGAAGGUUCAAGCCCCUUGAACCCGGCUUUGGUUCGCUCAACCGGCUAACCAACUCGACCGUGUCUCUCUGAAAAAGAAGGAAACAAACAUAUAAAUUUGAUGAUUGAAAUAAAUACAUGAUUAAUCCUAAAAUAAUGGAAAUAUUAGAGAUAUGCCCUUACCUAUACUGAGUAGAGGGUUUAUAAAUUUCAGCAAAAUCUAAACAAAGUUUUGCCUCUACUGAGGCAGAAGUAACUUCUAACAUCCAAGUUGCUGGAUUGUAAUUUUCUUUGAUCUUUGGUACAUCACGAAUAUCCUCAAAAUAUUUGACGAGUUUACUCGAGUGAUGACCGAGAACUCCAGAAUAGAUGAUUUGGCCUCCCCUUUUCAUCAAAAGUAACUGCAAAAAUCAAUGUCUUCCGUUAGUGAUCGAGUGGCUUUUAUGAUUUGGUUUAGUUUUCUUGGACUCCAUGACAAUGCUCGUUAUACUACCUCGUCAAAUGACUGAAAAAUAUCAAUGCUUGGCUUGUGGAUUGUGCAAACAGUUGUCCUUCCUGUGGAAACAACAUUCUUUACUACGCAAAUGGCAAUUGCAGCUGCUCUGGCGUCUAAGCCUGACGUAGGUUCAUCCAUAAAUAUUAUUGAUGGGUUGGAUACAAGCUCCACUGCAAUUGUUAGCCUUUUGCGCUGUUCAGUAGAUAGGCCAGUUUGUCCAGGAAUGCCAACUAAGGAAUCUCUUAUAUCCUCCAGUUCAAUCGUUUGAAUGACUUCCUCCACAAAUUUCUGCAUAGAUUAAGCAAAGGAUACUUUCUUUUAUAUGUUCCAGGAAAUUUGCAUAUUAUUGAUAAAUUGAAAGAAUAUCAUCCUACAGCUUUUAUGUCUGGAUCAGUUUCGUGUGGCAACCUCAACCAAGCUGAGAACAUAAGCGAUUCUUCUACCGUGAUCUGUGGAGAAUGUAUAUCAGUCUGCUCGCAGUAUCCUGAUAUUCUUGCAAAUGUCUUCUGGACCUUGGGGUACCCUCCGAUUCUUAUAUCUCCCACGAUACUACCUCCUGUUUCCCUUCCAGAAAGAACAUCCAUGAGAGUUGUUUUUCCAGCCCCAUGCGGUAGGAAUUCCUGGACUGAAUGCUCCUGUUAUAUCUUUAAGCAACUGAAGCUUUUUCUCCUUGAAAGCAUGCUGUCUCAUUUCCUUUUUUAAGAAGGAAUGAAGUUAAAAUACAACUAAAUAGUUUUCCAAUGAUACUAAUAUGUGAAAAUUGACUAAUGAUUUGAUUAAUUACCGGAGGUGUAUCAACAUAAUACUGCACGUCCUUAAAUGAGAUUGUCAGUGGCUCGAACGGCAGGACCAUUCUCCCUGUUUAACAAAUUGAUUUACUCUCGAAUAAUUCAGUUGUUAAAAAAAUUCCUUGCUCGUUGCUUUGAAUGGAAAAUGUGAAACUGAUAACCCGGAUAAACUGGAUGCAACAAUUCAUCUCACCUAGUGUUAUCUUUUCUCCCAUGGUUUUGAAUAAAUCGGAUAGAGUUGAUUCAUUUUCCAACGGUGCACCAGUUUGGGUUAAUAUUUAACAUUGGGCUUAUAGGAGAGAAAGCCCAAAAGAGUUCAAUAAGAAGAGUUUCGUCCGAAGCCCAGCACCAAGCCCAGACCGUCCAUCUCAAGACCAAUUGGCACUCUCCUAUUAAUGCAAAGGCUAAGUGCUUACAAGAGAAGUGACAACUGAUGAAAAUCAACCUACUCUCAGCCCAAAAGUACUUUUCAGUGGCAAUACAAGUAAAAUAUUGAUGAGUCACUACCAUUCAAUUGCUUUUGGGUAAGAACAAAGCUACAAGCGGUCGGACUAAUUCGUUUAUAAAAGGAGGAAGAGGGCUCAGAGACAAGGACACUCAAUCAAUCAAACAUACAACUUGUCUCUCAUCCAAGCAAAUACCCAGAAAGCUGUGCUUUGUCCAGACUCUGCACCCUUUUAGCCUUAGAUUUCCUUAGAAAGACAUCUUUUUUCUAUGUAAAAGCUCUGCUACAUUUUUCUAAAUGUUGUAGUAUCGAUCCCUCGUGUAUAAACUCGUUUCCAGUCAUCUCCUUUAGUACUCAAUUCUUUUGUAAACUGCAAAGAGAAGAGAUCGCAAGGCGUUUAACCUUGCUUGACAAAGUGAAAUCUUGCCCAACUCUCUUUGUUUUUAUCUUUCAAUUAACAAAUAUGGUGUUAUAAUGUAUUCCGUAGUUUAUAUUCAAGUUAUUUCCAGUCCUUUGAUGACCCAAAGCCCCAUCAGUUCUCAGAUCUGGUUCACUUAGUGGUUUUAUCAAGAAUUGAAAUGAAUUAAACUGAUGACUUGAUCAGAUCUAAGCCUUCACCCCUCAAGCAUACAAAAUAACUAAAAGUCUUUGAUCUCAAGGCAUAGAAAAUAACUUAAUGUAGACUUAAUCCAUCUACAACAAUCCUUUGAUAAACAAGAAGUCAGAAAUAACUUGGGGUGCAAGUAAUCGGCUUAAAACACACUUGUUCUACAUCUGCCAUACAGAGAUGGCAGUGGCACGCCUAAGCACCUAGUUAGUUUUGAAUGCGAGCCUCAAGGCCUAUACCUAAGGCCCCACAAAGGCACCUUUCAGAACUAACUUUGUUUUCCUCUUGCAGUAUUGUGACAAGCAGGAGCCCAACAAUCAACCAAAGUGCCAACUCCUCGGGCAGCUGUGUGCUCGAGCCAGGAACGCCCACCAACCAGAUUUCCUGCCCAAAAAGCACCAGUUUUGCGAGCUCCCCUUCUUCAAAGUUGAGAUAAUCUUUUUUUCGAAACAAUAGCCCGAUACACCUUUGGAGCUGUAUGAGGAAAAGCUUAAGUAAACUGAUGUGGAGCUGUAUGAGGAAAAGCUUAAGUAAACUGAUGAAGUGGAUUGUAAUACUUAAGUUAUCAUCUGUCAAUUAAAAUGAAUCUAAGUAAGUUAAUGCUAAAAUAAAUCCAAGAUCAGACAGCAUUGUGAACCCGAGUAAUGCUCCUACUGAUAUCCAAUAGAAAUAGCCAUCAAAGUUCAAACCAUGCCUGGUUAGAACUUUAUUCCCUAGGGUUGUGUUUCCCUCUGAGACCUAAAGAAAUGAAUUAACACUGUCAAAACACUUAUUCGACUUCGAUGAUCGGGUACUAAAAAAGUUUAUCAUCUUGAGUUGUACCUUUUGCCAGCGAGGAGCGAGGAACUCGUUUAGAGUUGUACCGAUUUCCCCAUAAGUCAUAGGUGAACACCAGAAUAGUCAACGCAACCAAGGAGGUAAAGAGGCUGCAAAACACCCCUUAUUAGUCUAGUUGUAGUUGAAUGUAACUAAAGGAAAAAUACGAUAAAUGGACUUACAUCGUGGCAAGAUGAAGCCUCCGGAUAAAAACAUUAGCACUAGGAUUAAAAUACCGCAAGUUGAUGCAACAACCAUAGUUUGGAAAACUACAGCAAUUAAACGACAUAUGGAUGUCGAUGCUUGAUGGAGAGCAAAUAGCACAAGGAACUGGAAGAAGAACCUAAAAACCAUAGCAUAUUCUUGAGGCAUUAUUAUGAUUAUUGUUCAAGCCUUUCAUGUUCUGUCGUGUGACUAUAAAGUUGAGAUCUUACGUUUUUAUGUCUGGAGCGUACCCAAUCAAAUGGUAAGUUAUUGCUGUCCACAGCAGUGAAUCAAUCACUGAAAAUGGAACCUUCAGGAUAGACUGGAAGAGAAUACGCCCAUGCUGGAUACAGAUUGAAUCCUCUUUGCUUGUAAACCACUGGUAAUCUAGUAACAGUCACAGCUCUGCAAUUCCGUUGGUCAUAAGUCGAAUAAGUGUAUAAAACAAUGAGUUCAUAAAAAAACUUGCAUUUAUCAAAUCCACGGUCCUACGGGUGCUUAUACAGAUUGCCAUUGUAAUAAAUGCAGUGAUGACAAGCUGUGGGAAAAAAAGAGAGAAAAUAUAGUAAGUGAUUUUGAGUUUAACUUCAGAAGUACAACCCCUAAAAGUGAUAUCAUUAGGCAGUAAACCUGAGCUGUUUUGAAUACGUAGAGAAAGGAAUUCCGUUUCAUGAGAAGAAGCUCUCGGGCCAUACAACCUUUGAACAACUCCCAUUUGCUCACAGAGUAAGUACUAAAUGAUAAGGCAUUAUCAUGGCACUGUGAUUUAUUGUAUGGUUUUGAGAGCUCAUCGUCUAAUUUCUUCCCCGAGUAACUUGCUCUGAAAAGUUCAAAAAAUUUGUUUGCAGAAACAUGACCGUAGGGAAUGUUAUCAUGCUUCCAGUAUUGUGCUUGAUCCUUCUUUGAGAUCACCUCUUGAAGGAAAUCUGCAGCACCCUUUCUUGGUGGGCACUUGAAACCAGAGUCUUCGAAAAACUCAACUGCGUGGCUGCGAUGACCGUGGUAAACUAUCUUCCCCUCUGCCAUUAGUAUUACAUCAUAAAAAAUAUCAAUGGUCUCGGGUGCUGGUUGGAGAAGUGAUACCAAUGCAGUUGUAUCUGUGAUAUGCACCAGCUGCUGAAGAUAGGUAACUAUCUGAAAGGUUGUAGAACUGUCUAAUCCCGUUGAUAUCUCAUCCAUAAAAAGAGCUUUUGUAGGACCUACAAUCAUUUCUCCUGAAGAUUAAACAGAAGAGGAAUGUUAUGUUUGAAACAUUUUUCUACAUGGGAAUUAGUAAUUACAUUCAAAUUUCCCUCGGAUUCAAGAUUUCACUACCGGUUGUCAGCCUUUUCUUCUGGCCACCAGAAAUGCCUCUUCUUAAUGCAUCACCAACCAUUGUGUCACUCACUACACAUACCCAGUCCAAGUAUCUAAAGAGAUUCCAAAAUAUCGUAAUUCAUUUUUCCUGUCCGAGUGAGUUAGAAAUGUCACGUUUGAACUACUUAAUGUCAGCAUUGUCCAUGUCCAACACUGGUUGGAGAAAAAUUUACCUUCAAAACAUAAUCGGUUUGGAGAUUUUCCCUUUGUCCUUCAACUGAAAUGGCCUGUGAGUAUUAUGUAAAUCUCUAAAACCUCUAACACAAAAGGGUGGUAAGAUUUACUAAAAGGAAUGUUAUGAGACUUUACAAUUACCUUCAUGUAGGUGUCAAUAUCUGGAUCGGGGACUAUUCCUGCUUCUUUUUCCCUUCUGCUGAGCUCCAUUAUUAUAUAUGCAUAAAAUACGAUCGAAAUUAAACUUCAUACGUCAAUAGAAGUACACGACUAACCCAAUAGUAAAUGCAAUAGGGGAUAAGGAAUAUGCACCAGCUCUACUGCCAACACCCUGGCAGCGGGAGGAAAAGUCAAUUGUUUCCCUCAGUCAUCUCAGGCAGGUGAAGGUCAUGCUGGCUAAUGUAAGCUGAUGUUUUUUGGGGAACAAACUCAUCUAGCUUGUAACCAUUAUAAGUGUUGUAAACUGAAAUAGAAAGGAACGAAGUUACCUAAAAAAAUGUAGAAGCCUUGAGUGGUGAAUGAUUAUUGGGAUGAGUUGCGGACUAAGUCGCUUUCUUUAAGACGUUUCGCGGCUCUACCCAAAGUGUGCAAGCAGUUCACAAACACCACAUCGUCCUAGGAUAAAACAGCCCAAAACCUUCUUCUUCUUCUUCUGAUAAAGUUCUUCCUUGUACAGUAGAAGAACCUUCGAAUUCACAUUCUCUCAAUAUGUUGCUAACCAAAACUAUAUAUUAGAAAAUAUAUCUUCUUUUUUUUCCGCAUACUUUCAAUGAUCCAGGGACUACUAUAUAUACAUUUAGACGAAAGAGAUGUUGAGGGUUUGAGAAAAUUGAAAGCAGGACAAAAUCAAAACGUAAGUCAAAUAAAACGGUUUGAUUAUGUAUCAUGACAUGAUCUUCUUCUCUAUACAAAGAAGGAAUGGCACGUUUCAAACUUAAAAGGAGAUAACUCCUUACCUAAUUGAAAAGUCAAAAUCAAUUGGCAGUUAUGCAUAGAAUAUUGGUAAUAAAACAAAACGUUAUGUAUAUAAUAUUGGUAAUAAAAUAAAACAUAAAUAUAUUUAAAUAUUUAAAUAAAAACAUAUUUACUCAACAAUCCCCCACUUGUUUUUGUUUAAAACUAUACAUCAAGCAAUAUAUCGUAAAGCUAUACAGAAGUAAAUGUGUUUCUCAACUUAAAUCUAUACAUAGUGUUAGUGAUCGAGAUUAUACUAGAGUAACUUAUAGUUUUGAACUCUAUCCCUAACAACACCACACACACAACUUUAUUAAGGUGAAGUUCAAAAAGCCAGCACAUUACAACCAUGUGCUUGUAUCCCAGUAUAGUGAACGCUCUAGAAACUUGCUCAAGAUUUCAUAGGAAGCGGCAUCACUUCCACAUUCACAUAGUUAAGACUAUCAAGGUAUUCCUGUAGCUAGAUAUCUCACUUAACAUAGAGUAUAGACCUUACUAAGAGAAAAAAAAAUCUCAACCUAAAUACGCUUCAGGAUGUCAUGCUUCUUAGGGAUGGACAUGGAAUAAUAUUCCAAACUAAAAUUAGCAAGACUUCACUCUUAUCACUUGUGACUUGUUAUUACCCUUUGAACCUAUUUCUUGGGAUCUCUAGUCUAUAGGUUGGGUUGCUAUCACAAAUAACUCAAUUCUCUAGGGCUUUAGUCCCAUCCCUUUCGAGGUUUUCCAAACCUUUUCUCGUGCUAGUCCUUUUGUCAAAGGAUCAACCAAGUUUUCUUCAUACCGUAUAUGAUCCACUCUCACAGCUCCAUUAGACAGGUAAUCUCUUACAGUGAUGUGCUUACGACGUAUUUGUCGCCCUUUCCCAUUAUAAUAAUGAUUUUGCACUUUAGCUAUUGCCGAUGUGCUAUCACAAUGGAUCAAAACUGCUGGAAUCGGUUUCUCCCAUAAAGAGGUAUCUGACAGUAGGUUUCUCAACCAUCCUGCUUCUUCGCUUGUCGUAGCUAGCGCUAUUAAUUCUGACUCCAUAGUGGACUGAGCCAUGAUAGUAUGUUUCUUAGACUUCCAUGAUACAACCCCACCACCAAGACUAAAAAUACAUCCACUAGUGGCUUUAGAGUCAUCUGAAAGGGUAUUCCAAUCAGCGGCACUGCAACCUUCUAGGACAGCGGGAAACUUCUCAUAGUGUAAUCUAAAAUUCAUUGUCCUUUUAAGGUAUCUCAUAAGCCUAUCUAUGGCAUGCCAAUGCUCCAAACUAGGUCUACUAGUAAACCUGCAUCAAACUCCUACGACAUAAGAUAUAUCAGGCCUAGUGCAAUCAGUAGCAUAACGAAUGCUACCAAUAAUACUCGCAUACUCAGAUUGUUUAACACUGUCACCAAUGUUCUUGAACAAUUUUACACUAGGAUCAUGAGGAGUACAUGCUGGUUUACAAUCAAAAUAAUUAUACUUUCUUAAAAUUGUUUCUAUGUAGUGAGAUUGAUCUAAAGAAAACCCAUGUUCAAACCUAGUUAUUUUCAAACCAAGUAUUACGCUAACUUCACCCAAGUCUUUCAUAUCAAAAUUAGCAGAUAACAAAGAUUUGACAUUAUUCACAACAUGAAUAUUCGAACCAAAAAUAAGCAAAUCAUCCACAUAUAGGCAUAUAUUACUUUCAGACUUAUAAUAGAUGCAUUUGUCACUUUCAUUUAUUUUAAAACCAUUUGAAGUAACCAAACUAUCAAAUUUUGCAUGCCAUUGUGUGGGAGCCUGUUUCAAUCCAUAAAGUGACUUAUUUAACUUGCAAACUUUAUUUUCUUUUCUUGGAAUAAUAAAACCUGUGGUUGACCCAUAUAUAUUUCUUCCUCUAAUUUACCAUUUAAGAAAGCUGUUUAACAUCCAUUUGGUGCACAACAAGAUCAUGAAUAUAAGUUAAGGCAAACAAUACACGAAUAGAUGUUAUUCUAGUCACAGGUGAACAAAUAUAAAAGAAAUCAAUCUUUUCUCUUUGUCUAUAGCCUUUGGCAAUAAGUCGGGCUUUAAAAUUUUCAACUGAUCCAUCAGGUUUUAAAUUUUUUUUAAGAAUCUAUUUGCAACCUAUUGUUUUGCAACCAGGUGGAAGAUCCACCAAGUGCCAAGUUUGAUUUGACUCCAGGGAGUCCAUUUCAUCAUUUAUAACUUCUUGCCAAAAAAUUGCAUCUAAAGAAGUUAAAGCUUCUUGAAUUGUAUUAGGAUCUUCUUGUAAGUUAUAUACAUGGAAAUCAGGGCCAAAAUCUUUAGCUAUUCGAGCUCUUUUACUUUUCCUAGGUUCUAAUGCAGAUUGACUAUGUUUUACAACAUUAGGUUCAUAAAUUUUAGAAGAAUUAGAACCCCCACUAUUUUGAAGAUUAAAAGGAAAUUUAUUCUCAUAAAAAUCAGCAUCAAGUGACUCAAUUAUGACAUGGUUUUUCAAAUCAUAACAUCUAUAUGCUUUGCUAUUACAUGCAUAACCAAUAAAAACACAUUCAUAUGCUCUACUAGCCAAUUUCGAUCUUUUUGGACCAAGUUUACGAACAUAAGCUAAACAACCCCAAGUUUUGAAAUACAAUACAUUUGUUUUCUUAUUUUUCCAAAUUUCAUAAGGAGAGAUAUUCGAUUCUGAGGUAGGAAUUCUAUUUAAUACAUAACAUAUAGUCAACACAAUUUCACCCCACCAAUAAGAAGCAGCUCCAGAACUAAGUAGCAACACUCAAUUCGCAAAGAGUUCGAUUUUUUCUUUCCGCUUUACCAUUCAUUUCAGGAGAAUAAGGAGCAGUAGUUUCAUGAAUAAUUCCAUUAGACUUAAACAAAUUAACAAAUUCAAUGGAUUCAUAUUCUUGUCAUCUAUCACUACGAAAUCUUUUAAUCUUAUGAUUAAACUGAUUUUCAACUUCAGUAAAGAAAGUUUUGAACAUGUCAAUAGCUUUACUUUUAUUUUUCAUAAGAUAGACAAAACAGUAAUUCAAACAAUCAUCAAUAAAGGUAAUAAAAUAACGUUUUCCAUUUCUAGUUAACACUCUAUCAAAUUCGCAUAUAUCAGAAUGAAUUAAGUCAAGUGGUUCAGAUUCUCUAUUGACAGAUUUAUGUGAAGUUCUAGUGAUUUUAGCUUGACUACAAUAUUCACAUUUUUCAAAAUCAGUCAACGAUAAGUUAGGUAAAAAGCCUAAGUUACUCAUGUUCUUAACCAAGAGUUUGUUAACAUGACAAAGUCUAGCAUGCCAAGUAUUAAAAGAAGACAACAUGUAAUCAGAAGUAGACAUUUUAUCAACAUUCAAUUUAAACAUUCCAUUAGUAGCAUAUCCCUUUCCCACAAAAACCCCAUUUCUAGUAAGAGUAUACGUAUUUGCUCCAAACGUUUGAGUGAAUCCAGCCUUGUUGAGAAGUAAGCCUGAGACCAAAUUCUUCCUUAUUGUUGGAGCAUGCAUCACAUCUUUCAGUAUCAUGGGUUUUCCAGAGGUGAACUUUAACUCCACCUCUCCAGUACCAGCAACAUCAGUUGAGUGCGAAUCACCCAACAACACAUUUCUUCCCUCAGCCAUAGAAUAGGUCUUGAAAAGAGAACGAUCGUAGCAAGCAUGGGGAGAAGUGCCAGUGUCCACCCACCACCCACCACCCCUCGGACUAAGUUGAUUUCUGAUAUCAUUGCAAUUAGUUGCUCUUCAACAAGAUUUGUUUGAGAAGCAAAGUUUUCCUUAUAAUGCAUGGCAGAUUGAAUUCAUCUUAAAAUUGUUGUAAACUGAAAUAGAAAGGAACGAAAUUACUCAAAAAAAAUGUAGAAGCCUUGAGUGGUGAAUGAUUCUUGGGAUGAGUCAGGGACUAAGUCACUUUCUUUAAAACAUUUUGCGGCUUUGCCCAAAGUGUGCAAGCAGUUCACAAACACCACGUCGUCCCCAGGAUAUAACAUCCCAAAACCUUCUUCUUCUGAUGAAGUUCUUCCUUGCACAGUGGAAGAACCUUCGAACUCACACUCUCUCUCAAUAUGUUGCUAACCAAAACUAUAUAUCAGAAAAUAUAUCUAUUUUUGUUCCGCAUACUUUCACUACUAAAUAUACAUUUAGACGAAAAAGACGUUGAGAGUUUGAGAAAAUUGAAAGCAGGAAUAAAACGGUCUUAGGUCCGAUUCUCGCCGAAGGCGAAUUUGAACCACUAAACCGUAGCACUAAGUGGCUCCUAACAAUGUCUCUUAACAAGUUUAGAGGUAUUUGUCUUCACUAAUAAAUGAAAAGCGUUUGAAUUUCAUGAAUGACAAGUGCAAUACAAAAUUCAAAUUAUCAUGGUUCUUCCAUUAUAUGAUUUAACCAAAGCAUACCAUCUCUUAGUGUAAAUAUAUCAUUGAACUAUCAUUGAAGUAGUUCCAACAUUCGUAUACCAUCUUAAUUAUCAAUUUACUAUUACAAAAUUUCUAUUAAUUUUUCUUUACAAACUAAAGUGUUAUUAGGCUAAGUUGUUAAAUAUUAGGAGAUGAGUAGGGAUCGACCCACCGCCAAAGUACAUAUAUAGGUAUUACUGUUUUCUGCUACUAUGAUAAAGUGUAAUAUACUUCUAUAUAUUAAAAGAAAAUUCACUGAUACAUUUCCACAUGUAAACAUUCAACAUUGGACAUAUAUAAUAUUUUUCCCUACUUCUUUGGAAAUUUAAUUUUCCAAUGCAAUAGGCAAAUAGGGAAACAAAGACAAUCCCAACUGGGAAAGCAAUGAGAACAAGAGCCACAAGGCCUAAACAAUCAUGGUGGAAACCAUAAUAAUCUUGUAGGAUUAUUUUCUAUUUAAAAAACGUAUGUGAACAUACACAUUAUUUUCUAUUAUAAUAUGUGUAAGUUUAUGAAGGGAAAUAUUCACUAAAAUGAUCAAAAAUCAAAUUCUGAUGCCAAAACAAAAUCAAAUAUUGUCAUACUGAAAAACUAAUCAUUUCAACAAAUGAGAUUCAAAUAUUUGAUUAUUUUGGCCAAUUUUCCUGUAUUGAUACCCUAACCUAAAGUAUAAAUUACUUGCACAUCCAAAUUAUAACACAUGAAUUAACAACACUCCGUCAAUUAGACUUGUGUUACAUGUAUUUACACGGUUAUUGUCAUUCCAAGUGCUCAAAUGCUAAUGGAGUUACACAAAACCAUCAAAUAUUAGAAAAGAUUGGAUUCAAGAUAUACUAAGUAUAAUGUACAGAAUGUUGCAUAUAAAGUACCAGAAAACUUUAGUAGGUGACCAAGAGAACCCUAUUGCAGGAUAUGCAACGGCUACAUACAAAACUUGUAACAUUGUAUAAUGUAUUUUAAUGGCAACAUGCAACAUUUAACACUUUACACUAUAUUUGGAUGAGGAAGUUUAAGAUUGCUAAGGAAAUUUAAAGUAACGGAAAUUGAAAUGAUGGAAUUUUAUUUUAUAGAAUAUGUGAAUUUUCUUGUUUGGUUGAGGAAAAUAAACUUGGAAUUUAGAUAAAAGUCAGAAUUUGUAAAUUGACAUGCACCAGUUUCCUUGUUUGGAUUCAUAAACAUAUAUAGGAAUUUAGAAUUUUCGGGUGAAAAAAAAACUUGGAAUUUGGGACCUCCAAUUCCCAAGUUUAAAUUCCAUGUAAAUAUGUAUCAUUUCCCAAUUUCUAUGAUUGAGUGCUUAAAAAUAACAAAUUCCGUAAUCAAUUCCAUUUAUUUUUAGGUUAACCAAACAAGAGAAUUCACAAAUUCUAGAAAAUAAAAUCCUGUCAAUUCAAUUUCCGUCAUUUUAAAAUUCCUUAGUAAUCUUAAAUUUCUUCAUCCAAACAUAGUGUUAAGAACAAUGGAAUUUGAAAUGAAAUUUGUUAUUUUAAACCCUCAUUCAUGAAAAUUCAGAAAUGACACCAAUUUACAUAGAAUUUAAAAUGGGAAUUAGAUGUCCCAAAUUCCAAGUUUUUUUCUCAUGCAGAAAUUCUAAAUUUCUAUGUUUAUGAAUCCAAACAAGAGAAUUGGUACAUGUUAAUUUUUAAAUUCCAGCUUUUAUCAAAAUUCCAAGUUUAUUUCCCUCAUCCAAACAUAGUGUUAGUUUAAAACUGUGAAGAUUUUGAUUUAUCGAUUACAAACUAAAUAAGUACUUGAAUUCUUAGGCACUUCAACGUAUGAACUUGUGCAAAUGAACAAGGUCGGCCCUGAGAUUUUGAAGGCCCGAGCUAAGCUACCAAAUAGGAGCCCUUUAAUUCUUAGGCACUCCAAUUGGUUGUAGGUUCAUAUACAUUUUAUUUUUAUAGUAAAUACUCAUUAAUUUAUUAUUAUAUCGUACUCUUAUUUAAUUAAUAAUCAACAAUAUGCUAAAGUUUUAAGAAGGUGUUUGGACCCAAAAUUACAUCAUCGGCCCGUGCAAUCAAGGCCGUUGAGUAGGCAUAGCUCUCAAUCGUCGGAUAAAAAAGCAGAGAUAAUUUUGUUAUUAAAGGAUAAUAUUAUGGUUUUUAUCAUAAUUAUCUUUUAAUGAUUUAUCUCGACAUCUUCUUAUGAAAGAGGGAAAAUAUAUCUCCAAGCUGGAAACACGCAGCACAAUUCAAAGCGAUUUGGAUGUUUGGCGUGUGGAUGUGGUUUGGAUCGGUUUUAGUUGACAAAUAUGCAUGCAUGUGAUAAGGGUGAAGUAAAAAUGGUGAUAUGCUUUGAAAAUGAGUCUACAUGUGUUGGUGAUAAGAUGGCAGCAACUGCCUUGCUGACAAUUAACAUUGGGUAUUUUAUGCUAAAUCAUGCAUAUUGGUAUAUGCUUUUGUAUUGUGGGCCAGCAUAUGUUUUUUUUUUAUGGAGCCAAAUUCAUUUAACAAUGGAUAUUUGGAACAAUAAGAAGUUUAAGUAGGCAUAGGCCUUUGAGAGUUUGAGUUUCAGUUGGUUUCUACGAAAUCAUCAAGGCCACGCCAAGCGGGAUCAUGCAUAUUUGAAAGAGAAUAUUCCUAUUAUUUUGCAACUUACGACGGCAAUCUUACGGUUAUAGAGGCAAUGACAACAUAAAGGUGGUAUUUCGAAUUCAACACACAAACUGCCAUGCACAAACUCUUGCUCUACGCGAAACCUCUUAACAACCUUGAGAUUUUUAUUUUCCUUUUUCGCCAACACAUCUUCAGUUUGGAUAAAUAGCACUAUGAAGGCAACCGGUGAACAUCUUCACUUUGGAUAAACAAUACUAUAACCGUAGAACCAUUCGACCAUGAAGCACCUUUAGUUUGGAUAAACAACAUUGCUCCGAGACCGAUUGAUUACCUAUCCAAGUCUCGGUCAAGAAGAAUUUUCAAGUCCUUACUAGUAGAGAUCAUCUCAUCAGCCUUCUCGACGAAGUGAGGUGUUACCAGGUUACUACAUUCGGCACCCUGAGAGCCCAAUUUGAUAUUGAACUUCGUAGAACUAAUAGCCUUGUCUUCAGGUUCUAGAACCUGAAGGUCGAGACGUGUUCAUUUCUCGACCGCAGUCGUGAGAUUCAGAAGUCAAUAGUGCGCCCAAUGCAACAUCAACUCAUUUUACUUACCGGUCAAGCUCGACCGUCGAGUUGGCAUGCCCCACACACAACCGAAGGACAUAGUUAGCUUUUUAAUUACUCGGCUUGUGCGCCACGUAUACUUGAUAGUUUUUAAGAUCAACAGAAGGUAAAGAGCAAUAAAAACUGAUUAACGAAUUUAACAAAUUUAAUAGCGCCAAUUGAUCCUCUUGUAUUCUUCUUGAAAUCAAUUUCACAAUAACGAAUAUUAGAAUCAUGAGAUGAUUGAUAAUAAAUUAUUGAAACAGAGAAGAUAUAGCAAAUAAGAUAAGGUAGCUGGCAUUUGAUAGCGAUUUUGCUUGUAAAACUACACUUUUUGUCCAUCCAGAAGAAACCCAUUCUUCUGUUACAUGGCUUAACCGUGACCACACAAAACAGGAGAGCACGGGAAGGGCACCAGAAGUGGAGGGCAAACAAUCCUUGUCCGUGCUUUGUCCAUCGAGAAUAAGAAAUUGUAGGGACUAGGGGCCCAUUGCUCUUUUGAGAUGCAAGUUAAGGGACCUAACAAAGGGAAGUAAAAAGCAUUGGUAGGACAAAACAAGCCGUUUUAGGAAAACAACUUGGGGGAAGAUUCUCUCAUUUCCUAAUCUCUCUCCCAUUUUCUCUCCUUCUAUUUGAACGGUUACGGUUUAGCUACGUCAAUAUCUUAUAUAUAUAUUUUUAGAGACGAUAAGACAAAAAAUAAUAUGUGGGAGAAGGGAAAAGAAGGGGAUGAGAAUAGGAGGGGAGAUAAUUCUCUUCCAAACAACUUGCCUAUACAAUUCGGAUUCUAAGACGGUGGUAUCCCAAACGAAUCUCAUCCGACUAUGUGUUUAAACAUUGCACAUGACACCACGUGAUUGUUAAAACAUUGUCACCGUAGUGUAUUGUACAUAUACAUGAUUGUUUUGAAGUAACAUCAUCAUUGUGACAUAUUCAUGACGUAUGCUUAUCUCGCCGACUAGAGUUUCAGAUUCCUAACCAGGCGGGCAUAAACGUGCUUACAGCCUAAAAGGCCUUAACCUCAUAGAUCUGAAAACACAUUUCUGUCGGAGAAAUUGUCAAGAAUAAGAUACGAACUAGAGUUUACUCCGGGCAAGAUACCUGAGAUUUUUAGCCGUUAAAGUCAUUGAAUUCUUGACCAAUGAUCUAACAGCUAAGUUCACAUUGUAUAACCGAGGCACACUACAGAACGUAGAAAAAAAUAAUGGGGAUUAAAACGCUUCAUUGGGUAGAGGGAUAAGUGACAAAACAAUGAGAAAAAACACAUCAAUUGUAUUAGAAAUGCAACUUGCCAAUGUGCACAACAACAAAUGAACAUAGUUGCUACUCCACCGCAAAACCACCUCUGUGUCUGUCAAAUCUUAUUAAUCUCUGCGAGCAGAGGUAGCAAAACAACCUUGAAAAAAAACCCCCCACAACUUUCCAUAUGUUUUUUUUGACACCCCCGUUAACCCCUCAUAAUCAUAAACUACUAAUGACACAUUCUUCAAAGAACACGAAAAUAUAAAAAUACUAAUAAAAGAAAACCCAAAUGGCGCAAUGCCUGUAUAGAGAGAGAGAGAGAGAGCGAGAGCAGCAGAGGCUUAAUUCAAUUCAAUGUUUUGAUUCGAAGGGGUGAAGACUGAAGAGCCGCCAUUAAAGCUUUAAGCUUGGGGCUUGUCCCACUUGAGUGGCUUGACAACCUCCCAGGUGAAGUCGGGGUCAUCCCUCCCGAAGUGUCCGUAGGCGGCGGUCUUCAAAAACCUUCCAUUGCCACCCCUCUUGAG